CCUAUGGUGGUAACUAGAGGAAUGCUAGUUUUUUAAGGUGAAAAAGUUUGAAUGGAAGGAUGGGGUGUAUUAUGACACCGACAAUAGAUGCAGAUGUAUACCUUAGCUUUUGCAAAUAUUAAUUAAAUCCAAAUCAAAGGUGAAUUGUGGGCGAUGAUUUAACAUAGUUGAAAUCCAGCUUGAUCUAUGUGUUCAUGUUAACUAUUUCCUCGUAUAUUUACUACUGGGCAUGUUUAAAGAAAGUGAAUGGUUAAAAUAUAUCCUAAGUAAUAAUCACAUCAAAGGAGAGUUUUGCUAAUAACUUGUUGAAUGUACAAGUGUAGUGGCAUCUUUCAUUGUGUUUGUUAUUGUUGUGAUGUCAUAUCAAUUAUUGUGGGAUGUACAGUUAUUUGGAAAUUUUAAUAGGAUUCAUUAUUAUUAUUUAUAUUAUUAUUAUUAUUAUUAUUAUUAUUAUUAUUAUUAUUAUUAUUAUGGUAUGUACAUGUAUUUGGAUACCUUUAUGGGAUUCAUUAGAAUAAGAUUGGAUGCCACUUGAUGUUUGAGAUUUUGGUACAUAGCCAAGAGCUUGUCCCCUACAAGUCAUGGUUAGUAGGCGACCAUUAGAACCUCAGCAUGUGUGUACAAAAGAUAGGUAAGUUUGACAGUUUCUUGAGUGAACCGAGUUUAUGUAUUGACUUGUUAUAGUGGUUCCUUGAAUGAAUUAGGUUUAUGUAUUUACCUGUUGCAUAUGCUGGUUCAUUGAGUGAACCGAGUUUAUUCAUUGACUUGCUAUAGUAAUUUCUCGAGUGAACCGAGUUUAUUUGUUGCAUAUGUUGGUUGAUUGAGUGAACCGAAUUUAUGUGUUGACUUGUUGUAGUGGUUCCUUGAGUGGACUAGAUUUAACUAUUUAGUUGUUGUAGAUGUUGGUUUCUUAAGCAAGUCGGGUUUAUGUGAGGACAUGUUAUAAUUAGUCUCUUGAGUGAAUUGAAAUUUAUGAUUAUUGACGUAAUAAUUUUUGGAAGGGAUUCUUGAGUGGUUCGGGCAAGAUUGCAAAUAAUGGUUAUAACUUUUGAAAUAUCUAUACUUGUGUAUUUGAGAUACGAUCAAUAUCUUUGCUGUUAAGUCAUGGUUGUUGUUGACUUGAAUUUUUGUUGGUAGUCAUGAUUCAGACUUGAGUUGUUGUCUACUGGACUUUUACUUGAUUUGGUCCCCAUAUACAAUAUAUUAUAUGUACCUUUUCUUGUGCCCAAUUCUGUUGAAUGAUAGAUAUUAAGUCACUAUGAUUUACCCACACAUUAAAAAAUCUAAAUGGUACUUGAAUCUGCCUAUGUGCAUUGUUCAAUGUCAAGAGCAUAGGUGAGUGAUCCGAAAUACUUGAAAGGCCAUAUUCCGACACCGCAUGCCCCAAUUUCAUCAUUCAAUCAGUGUUACCAAAGGUUCUAUCUAAUCUACUACACACUUUAUUCACCCAGAGUUUUUUAUUAGUCUAUGUAUAGUAGUUUUCUAUCCAUUGGAGCUCAUUAAGCAAAAUGUCAUGAAUACAAUUAGCAAAAUUCUUAAUAUCUACGUAAUGCACAGAGCUACUGGAGAUUCUGUCUUCGUGAUGUAGCAAAGCAUUAAAAUUACCAUAGAUCAUCCAAGUUUAUAUGGCUUAAAAUUGAUAAAGGUAAUGCAAUAAUAGAGAGUCAAAGGGUUUAAAAGUAAUGAACGAUAAUUCUUGACAAAUUACGGAUAAAAUUUCUUGAUAAAGAAACUUUUUUCUACAAAUAAUAUAUUAUCGUUAUUCUCACCUUCCUUCCACUUAUCAUCGGUAGUCUGUUUGGUUCUUAAUUUUCUCUUAAGCUUAUUUAUCGAAUCUAAGUCAGUACUAGAGAUAAGACAAAUAAAAAUUCAUUGUUUUUUAUGUUAGAAGCAUUGUUGUUCUCUCUUCUAAAAUACAAUUUUCUCGAUAAGAAAAUUCUGGGAGAGCUGUCGACUCAACUAUUAUUCAUGUAUUAUCCACACUAUGAUCAACACUCAAAUCCACACUAUGAUCAACACUCAACACUUAUUCAAUAGUUAUUGAAGAGUAAUUACCAUUUACCUUUCAUUAACUUAUAGUUAUAAUUAUAUUGUAUCAUAUUUAGAUAAUAUGUUAGCAUCAUUAGUUAGUUAGUUGCAGCUUUUCAUUAGUCAUGAAUAGACAGUAAGUUAACUAGGAUAUUUUUGUAGGUGAUUCUACGCACAUAUAUAUAUAUAUAUAUAUAAUAUGAGGCGGUUAGAAUAAAAAAUGUCUCAAUAAAUUAGGAGUGGAUUGGGUUGGUUUAAAUCAAAUAUGAUGUAAAUUUUACUCAGUACUCCCUCUCUCUCAGUUUCUUCAUUUUUUAAUCUUUUUAGCUUAUAUUUUUUCCUUUUUUUUUAAUCUUACCCCGUUCAUCUCUCUCUCUUAAUCUGAUUCUUAAUAACUUUUUUCUUUAACCAUACCCCAGAACAUUCAUCUCGCAACCAACAUUCGUCCUUUAAUCUUUGAUUUCAGCGGACUAUUAAGGCCAGAACUCCUAGAAAUUUACAAGUUAAUCCAUCAUUGUUAUUAAGAAGUUAAGAGGUUAAGAGGUUAACCAUAUACUAAGGGUAUCAUUUUUAAAGAAACAAGAUUAUUUAAAUGGAAUCAUAAGCAUAUUCAAAUAAAUAUAAACAUAUUUUUUGGUGGGGAAAAAUUAAAGCAUAAAUGAGACUUACAUUAUGUAACUGAGAGAGAGGUUUCCCUUGCGGGAACCCCCUAAGAACUUUGUGAAAACUUGACGAACACCUUUUUUAAAUCAUACUUAAUAUUAUACAAACUUGGUUACACACAAAGGAUGGAUUGGUUUAUGUGGAAAAGUUUAAACAUAAAGGGAAGAGGAAUAUCUUGUGAGGGAGUUUUUCUCGUUCUACCUCUUCUGCUAAAAUACAAGUCUUAAAUAGACAUAAGAGAAAGAAAACGAAUGGACUAGACUACACUACAUAGCCUAAAAAUAAAUGGCCGACACUUAAAAGAUAAGAUUCGUCAAUAAUGCAGGUCGGGUACACUUUGGGCCCCAUCUUCACAUGCAUUAUUGUUUCUUUUGACAGACGUGUGCUUCAACAGUUUUUUCCCUUUUUGAAGGGUAGUGAUAAAGGAAGUGCUCUAACACAUAACAAGACUAAUGUGGGCAUACCCUCAUGGCACACUUUAUCUUUACAUCAUAUCAUACUGCCUGAUGCUUAUUCUUUCAUAUAUCUGUCUUCUCUAUCAUUUACUUGUCUUUGUCUGACUAGGAGUCCAAGUUGUGAAGUGAGAAAGAAUCAAAACUCAUGCCUGAGUCAUCAUCUUCGUUGGGAUCUUGAGAAUCUUAGAGAUAAGAAAAGUUGUCAUUAAAUUCAUCUCCUUCUUCUUUUGAACUUGGCUUGUUAUCGUUAUCAUCUGGAUUGUUCUGACUAUCUAUGUUUGGAACUACUCUUUCUGCACUUGAGCUUGGGUUGUAUUUGCUAAUUAUAUGUUUAUCUGAUUCUUGACUAUUGAAAAAUCUUUCUAAAGUCUGUUUUAUUAUAGUCUCAAUUUUUUUUUAAUUUUCUUCUUUAAAAUCAAAGUCUUUUUCAAAGUAUUAUUACAAGUUCUAGGUAAUUUUUGUUUUGAUGAAGAAAAACCUUCAUCUUCACUUUUUGGCAAAGCGACAGCCAUUAACGAAUUAGAUGCGUCUUUACUGACUAUCGUUUGAAACGAACUAGCUGUACCUUUAUCCGAUACAGUGAAUUUCUUAGCAUUCAGUGGGGAAUGCACACCCUUCUCAUCCAUUUUGUGUUGAGAUGGAGAACUCGGAGUCUGGGUACUUGCAUUUGUUUGAGAAACAUUAAUCUUGUCUUUCAAAGACUGCACUUGUUCCUUAAAUCUAGUAUUUUCAAGAAGAAGGGCCUCUUUAUAGGCAUUAAGUCUCUUGAAGGCUUCUGUCAUUGUAGAACAGUGGUCACAAAAAAUUAUUUUUCUUGUGUCUUUCUGGAUAUUGUAUUGAGGUAUUUGAUUUGGGCUUUGUCUGAGGGCUGGAGUUAUAUAGUAAUUUGGCCCAAGGUAUCCUCUAGCGUAAUCCAUUGCUUUAUAAAAAUCAUUAAAACCUUUAAAGAGUGGGUGUUUAACCCCAUUUAUAGAUUCUACUAUUUCUAUCCAAGUUUGAAAAACACCAUUGGUUUUACCAUGUACGGCUACCUAAUAUUUAAAUCUAUUUUCUCUACUUUUAUCUUAAAAGUAUUGGCAUAAAGCAUUGGUUGCAGCUACAAAAUGUUUAGUGUCUCUUUUACUAUGUGCUAUCCAUAAAUUAUCAACUAAACAUCUCUGCGGUUUGUCUAGAACACAAUCUGAUUUAACUCUAAAUGAUAAAUUACAUGAUGGUACAAGAUUAAAUUAAUUUUCCCAAAAUAAAUUCUCUCCAUCAUUUCUAUAGAGUCUUGCGGUCUAAAAUUAAUAUUACCUAGUAGUGUCUGAGCGUAAGAGUCUUGAGUUGGGGCUUUGCCCUUGUCUGGUGGCAGUUGGCUUGUUGGUCUCAUGCUGAAAUAAAUGUUAAUUAACUCAUUUAGUCUUAAUCUGUAAUCUACUUAACUGAUCUUCUAAUUUAUUAUCCUUUCCUUUUAUGUAUUCAAACACAAUAUUUUUAUGUACAGAUAUUGUAUCCAUGAAAUUAAGCCAUCGUCUUUUACUACAAGCUUUAUCAUUUAUUUUUUGAUGAAAUUUAACUAUUGUCUCACAGUCAGUUCUUACUAACACUUCUUCUUUGUUUAAGAUGUAUAAUUUGAAACUAUUUAAGCCAUAUAUUAUUGCUAGUACUUCUAAAUCUAUGCUACUCAUGUUUCCGUUUUUCUUUGUAUAAACCGCUUUGAUAUGCACAAAUCUUUUCUUCACUUUUACUACUGUAUUUAUUGGGUUUGGCUUUUAGGAUAGCUCCCCAUCCUAAUUUACUUCCGUCUGUCUGAACAAUUAAAUAAUCUGAUUCUAAAGGGAUCUUUAAGUCUGGAAUAUUUUUGACCUUUUCUUUAAUUUGUUGUACUAAUUUAAUGUCCUCUGUAUUAAAAUAUUUUUGUCCUUUACUAUUUGUUUUUGCGUAUAGCGGUCCUGCUAUUUUUUCUAAAUCUUGAAUGAAAUUUCUUGCGUAAUUUACUAAUCCUAAAAAAUUUUGUAACUCUUUAGUGUUAUUUAAUCUAUCUGGCAUAUCUAAUACCUUUUUGUCUAUGUGAGGUUGAAGUUUUAUUCUUCCAUCCCCUAAAGUUACUCCUAAGAAAUUAAUAUGAGUUUUGCAUAAUUUCAUUUUCUUUUUACUAAUUAUUAUUUCAUAUUUAACAAAUAAUCUAAAAACUGUUUGUAGAUGUCCUAAAUGUUCUUGUAUAUUUUGGCUAAAUAUUAAGAUGUAUUCUACAUAUGCUAAUAUAAAAUUCUUGUAUUCUCCGAACAUAUCAUCCAUUUUUCUUUGAAAGAUGGGCGGAGCUGUUUUUAAUCCAAAUGACAUAGCUAACCAUUCAAAAUGUCCUCCGGGACAAGUGAAUGUUGUCCAUUCUAUGCUAUCUGGGUGCAUUUUUACUUGUCAGUAUCCUAAUUUACAGUCAAAUUUACUGAAUAUCCUUUUACCUUGUAUCCUAUUGAUUAAUUCACUUUUGUCUGGUAAUUUAUAAGCAUCUGUUCUAGUAUUAUCAUUUAAUCUUUUAUAAUUUAUCACCAUGCGAGCCUUUCCUCUUAUUUGUUCACUAUGGUUUCUUACCAUGAAGACGGCUGAUCUAUGUCUAGAAGUUGAUCUUCUUAUAACUUCUAAUUUCAAUAAUUCUUUUAUUUGCUUAUCGAAUUCUUCGGUGUCUUCAUUAUUUGUUUCUAUUGCUGCUGUCUUUAUUAUAUAUUCAGGGUUAAUAAUGUCUAAUUUACACAUUAUUUUAUUAGCACCUUAGUGUACUAAUGAUUUUUCUCCAAUUAUUUUCAUUUCAUCUAAGAUUGCUACUAUGUUAUCUAAAUCUUUUGGACUAUUUAUCAUCCUUAUUCUAUUUAUUCCUUUCUGAAAAUUAUAAAAUUGUGUUUCAAUGUUUAUUAGAGUAUAAUCUUUUUCUAUAUUCUCUAAAUAUUCACAUUCUUCAAUAUUAAUUAGAGUAUAAUCUUCUAAGUAUUCCUCCGUUAAUUCUUUCUUUUCUUCACCUUGGUUUUUAGAGAAACAUUGGUCUUCAUCCUUACAAUAUCACAACAAGAUUGAGAUUUUAAAGUUAAAUCUUGUUUGGAUGUUCUAUAUUUUCUCUCUAUUGUUGGAUAAUUAAUAGUUUGUACUGGAGUAUAAGUAGAAUUUCUAAAUAACAUUAUACCAUCUCUAGUUAUUAGACAUCCUCCUUUAUUUUGUAUUAGGAAUUGCAGUCCAAUUACAAAAUCUGUUUUUAUAUUUAAGUCUCUUACUAAUAUUUUAUAAGCAUUAUAAGUUGGUUUAUAGAAUUCGUUACACGGAUUUAUAAAAUUUACCUGUGCUUUUUCGAUAUAAUACUUAUAAAUAUUAUAUGAUCCAUCCAUUUGUACAACCGUUAUUGAUUUUUUUAGGGUUUUAAGUAUUUGUUUGCUAUACAACUCGUACAUCCUGUCUCUACCAAUCCUAAAGUUUCUAUUUCUAUAUCUUAAAUUUUUAUUUUAGAAAGUACUUUCAUCGUCGUGAAAUCCUUAUCUUCAUUACAUAUUAAAGUACUAUUUUCUUCUAUAUUCAUAAGUUCUAUUUCUAUUUGUUCUAAAUGUAUUGUUCUUUGUGUAUCUGACUCAUCUUCAUUUAUUAUAGCCUUUUUUUUUCUAAUGCAACUAGUCUCUGCUCUAAAUUAUUUACUCUUGCUUCUAAAGUUGCGAUUCUUGAGUUUGUAAUUUGGUUAUUUACUUAUUUUUGUUCAUUAAUUAUUUUUUAUUCUAUUUUUAUUUUUAGCGUAUUUUCUAUGGAAUUUACACAUGCUUCCAUAAAAUAUUUUUUUACAUUUAUCUCUAUUUUUUUUACUAGGAUACCAGUUACAUAUGCUACAUUGAUUACUAUCUAUCCCUUUUUGUCUUUGAAAAUUAUGUAUACAUUUUUGUGUGACAUUCAUUAGAUUGUUAAUUAAUAAAUCAUUUAAAUUCAACUCAUCUGUUUCUUGUCCUAUUUCAUUGAUUAAAUUAUCUUCUUCUAAAUCAACAGAUUCAGAUUUAGGUACUCAAAACUUAUUAUAGAAUAUAUACUUUCCGUAUCUGACAUAUAUUCAUCUACAUUUAAUAGGGUUUCUUAAAAAUCUUCUAUUAAUUGAGAAUUUUUAAUUCUACUAUUGUUUCUUUUGGGACAUAGGUUUGCUAAGUGAUCUAUGCUUCCACAUGUAUAAAAUUCCAGUUUAUUUUUAUAAUUUCUAUCAUUUUUAUAUUUCCAGACAUGUCUAUCUCUGUUUACAUCUAUUAUUUUAUUUAGUUCCUGAUCUUGCUCUAUAUUUGAGUGUCUUCUAGAUAAUAUUCUGAAAAUAAGAUUAUUUCCAAUUCUACUGUCGGAAAAACUUACUCUUUGUCUUUCUCCUUAUUUUUUCCUUUCGAUGGUUCUUCUUGGUCUAGUUGAAAGAAAGUCCAUUUUUGUGAUUUUCUAAUUAUAUUUUAUCUCUCUUGUCUAGGGGUUAUUUCAACCUUCUUUAGUUGAGUAAUUAAUUCAUCUAUUUCAGUAUUUUUAGGAACUUGAACUUCUUUAUCUUUAAUUAUAUUAUCUAUUUUUUUAUGUAAUUCUAAUAAUAAUGCUAUUAUUGUAUUGUUUUAUUUUAAUAUAGUUUUAUCUGCCUGACUAGAGGGAUGAUACCUAGAAAAUUCUUCUGCUUCAUCGUGAUAGCUUUUCGAUCUUUCUAAUGCCCUAUUAUAAUUUAUAUCUUCUUCACUUAUGAAAGUGAGAUUUUCUUCUAAUCUUUGUAUUAUUAUUUUUAGCUCUCUUAUUUCUUUAUUCAUGUAUUUCACUUGUUCUACAAUCUUUGUUACUAAUUGAGUGGUUUUAAUCUCUAGUUCUUUAGGUUUCUCUGUUAUAGUCUUUAUUAAUUUUUCCAUUUCUACUCUUGUAGGUAUUUUUUCUAGAUUAAAUUUAGUAUUUAAGUAUUGAAGUUUUUUAUUUAUUUUUAAUUCUUGUGAUUUUAAGUUGUCAAAAUUUUGUUUUAGUUUUUUCUAAUGUCUUUUUCUGUUUAUUUUGAGUAACUUCUAUUUCUUCUAAUAGUCUUAUUAUAAUUUUAUCUUUUUCUUGAAUUUUGUCACUAAAGUUUAUUAUUAAAUCUAUUAAAGUAUUAUGUUGUUUAUCUUCAGAAUGUAAUACGUGCUCUCCUUGACUAAAGUUACACUUUAUAAUAGUAUUGUCUUUUAAUGCUCUAUAUUUCUUUUCAGGUUGAAAUCGGAGAUCUAGAUACUCAAGAUGUUUUAAAGAAGCUAUUUUGUUAUGUUUCCCUAAAGUGCUUGUAAUUUUACAAUUUUUUGUAUAGUAAAUUUGUCUACUAGUACUGUAUUUCAUAUCUAAUUCUACAUUGUCUAUAUCUUUUAUUAACUUUCCCUGUUCUUCUAUGAGUCUACUAUUAAUGAAUCAAUUGUUAUCUUUUGUUAGGAUAUUUUCUAUCCAGGCUGGUCUCUCUUGUAGUUGCUUUAAUAUUUCUUUAAGUUCUCUUUUGUGGUUAAUUUCAUCAUAUAACCAAUUUUAUCUUAGUUGAAUUCGUCUUAUGUAUUCAAGAGGCAUAUAUUAACCUAGAGGAACUUUAUUUGUCUGUCUUUGAUAAUAGUAUGUUCUGUAAUAGGAAUUUUCUAUUCGUAUGUAAUUAUAUUCUAAUUCUUCUUUAAUAUCCUUUAAUUGUUCUUUAAGAUUUCUUAAUUCUAUCUUAUCCAAAACUUGAUUUUUGUUUAAUUUGUCCUAUAUACGUUCUAUAGUUGCUAUUAAUCUUGAUUCAUUUUUUCUUAAUUCUGAUCUAUGAUAUGAUUCUUCUUCUAUCCACUUAUAUAGUUGUCUUAUUCUUUGAAAUAUAGGUAAAUUUUGCACUCAACUAUCCCAAUUGAUGUGCUUUUCUCUUAAUACAUUCUUUAAUCCAGCAUAUUCUAGUAUUGCUAUUUUCUAUGUCUCUCUCGCAAGCACUUAACUCCCAAUUUAAGGCGCUUACUAAUUCUGGGCUUACUACUCUGGAGCUAUUGUAUAAUUUAUAUAGCCUAUUUACUUCUAUUAUUCGUUCUCUACACUUUUCUAAUUUCCUCAAUCUUUUAAUAAUAUUAUUUUUUACACUAUAUUCCCUAUAUAAAUAUCAGUAUCUAGAUCUUAUAUCUUGAAAAGAAGGAUGUUUUUUCAUAAACUUGUUUAGCUUUAAGUUGAGUAAUUAGUUCAUAUUCUAGUAUUCCAAUUAUAGUAAUUAAAUAGUCAAGUCUAUUAAUAUCUUCCUUGGUAUAAUUUAAUCUAGUAUAUUUUAGAUAUAAGUCUUGUAAUUUAUCUUUGGUUUCUUGAUGUAUGCGAGUAUUUUGUAACGGUUUCUCUUAAACUAACGCUCCCAAAAACUUCUCGCUCUUACACCAAUAAUAUGAGGCGGUUAGAAUAAAAAAUGUUUCAAUAAAUUAGGAGUGGAUUGGGUUGGUUUAAAUCAACUAUGAUGUAAAUCUUACUCAUUAUAUUCCCCCCCCCCCCCCCUUUUUUUUUUUUUUUUUUUUUUUCCCCCCGUUCAUUUCUUUCUUUAACCACACCCCGUAACAUUCAUCUGGCAAUCAACAUUUGUCCUUUAAUCUUUGAUUUAGGCGGACUAUUAAGGCUAAAACUCCUAGGAAUUUACAGGUUAAUCCAUCAUUGUUAUUAAGAAGUUAAGAGGUUAACCAUAUACUAAGGGUAUCAUUUUUAAAGAAACAAGAUUUUAUAUAUAUAUAUAUAUAUAUAUUCAGUUAUGAAUUUUAAUAAUUUCAUGUUAGAUUGAGUUCUCACCUCGAAUUCAUGGAUUUAAUGUGAUCUUAGAGCAAUACAUUUUCAAAAUUGAGUGAUUCGCUUUGAUUACCUUUCUCUUUUAUAUGUUAUAUGUAUUUUAUUAUUAUUUCAUUAUGGGAUCUGACAAAUUUUUGCAUAGCAAUUUGCUUUCGAUUGUUGAGUUUUUUUGGCAGUUUUUCUGUUGAUUGAGUAGAAAUUUAUUUUCAUUUCAUCAAAGUUUUUUUUUGCGAUUGAGUUGUGAAUCUUAGAUCCAUGGCGGUUGAACAAGGAGAAUCUAAUUCUGAAGAUGUCAAUCAUGCAAAUGGUGCACAAUAUAUGCAUCCCUUUGAUAGUCCAGGCAUUAUGCUAGUUCCAUUACAUUUUGAUGGCGCAGGAUAUCGAUGCUAGAGACUAUGUGUUUUAGCGCGCCCUAUCGGUGAAAAUAAGCUCGGCUUUAUCGAUAGAAGUUGUGAGAAACUAGAUGCAAACUCACCACAACUCCAUCAAUGACAGAGAUGCAAUGACAUAGUGACGUUGUGGAUAUUGAAUUUCUUGACUGAGGAACUUGGUAUAGCUAAUGGAGUUAAGCUAUACCAAGUAAAGAAGGAGAUCAAUGAUCUUACUCAGGGAGUGUUGGACAUUUUUGUUUACAAGGAUGGAAAAGCCAUAGGAGGAACUUAAUACACUCAAUUUUGAAUUAUCUAUGCAAUUAUGAAUGUGUUAGUGGAGCUACGAUUAAUAUACACAAGACAGAAUAAGUUAGGCAUUUGAUUCAAUUCAUGAUGGGAUUGAACAAGGUAUAUACAAUUGUGAGGGGCAAUAUUCUCAUGAUGAACUCCCUCCCAUCUAUGGGCUAAGCUUUUUCUUUGUUGAGUCAAGAGGAAAAACAAAAGGAAUUCAAAUUUGUUGGUAGAUUUACAAUGGAGCCGACUUCUCUUAAUGUCAAUACUUACACUAAUGGAAAGAAUCUCAUAGGAAAACUCUUCAAAACAAGCUUUUCUAACAACUAUUAGGAGCCAAUAGUGCCUAUACUGGACCCUUAGGAGUUGGAGGAAAUCUUUUCCUCACACAACAGCAGUAAUAGAAAUGCUUUACUUUGUGAUUACAGCAAGAAUCCAGGACACACCAAAUAUAGGUGUUACAAAUUUCUUUGGUGUCUACCAUCAAACAAUAAUCAGAAUGAAUGGUUAAUUAAAUUUAUACACUAGGACAAACAAUAAUCAAAGCUUUGGGAAUCAUAAAGGCAUGAGGCCUGUGGAAAAUGUACUUACGGUGCAUAGUGAUGUGAUAAAUGCAUAUGAAAAAGAACAACCACACAAUGAUAAUCAUUCAAAUGUUAAUAUUACAAAGGAGAAUAUGGAAAACUCAUGACCCUACUGUAGUAGUUUCAAAUUGGCAACUCAAGAAAGGAAGGCAACAUUUCCAAUGCAAUGUUGGUUCUGUGAACUUUGCAAGUAUAGUGGUUUGCACUUCUUCUAUUGAUUUUGGCAAUCCAUCAUGCAAAUAUUUUGAAUCAAGUGCUAUUUUAUGGAUUAUUGACUCAGGAGCAUCCAAUAACAUGACGUUUAAUAGGAUAUGCAUAUGCAUCAUAAAGACCUUGCCUUACCCUAUAUUGAUUUCCCUUCUAUGGAUAUAAAGUCAAGGUUUUAGAAUUUGAUGAUGUAGUACCCACCUCUAAAAUUAUUUUGCACAAGGUGUUGAACGUGUGCUCUCUCAAGUUUAAUCUUAUCUCAGUUCACUCUUUAACUUUCUAAAUGAAGUGCAUGGCUUUGUUUACUGAAGCACUUUGUUUGUUACAGGGCCCUUCAAUGAACAGGCCUCAGGUGAUUGGUAAUAAGUAGUAUGGACUCUACUUUCAUUUAUUAAAGUGCUUAAAAAUUUUUGAUAAUGACACAGACCUUAUGGACUCCAUGUGUUGUUGCUUUUAUGCUUACAACUCCUUCCAUAAGAAGUCUUUUUCUAUUAAUACCCAUGUUGUAAGCAACUACAGUAUAUCCACUAGGAACGAGUGUAUAUCCAUUAAAUUUUGUUUCAUUUCCUACUGUUUGUGAGUCUGUGUUGCAUAAUAAAAAUGCUUCUUCUGUUAAAAGUCCAUGUGUAUCUUCUUCUGUUCAAGAUAUAUGUAUGUCUGCUACAAACAAUGUGGAUUAACUAUGGCAUAAUAGACUUGGCCAUGUGACCUUUGUAAAAAUGAGACGUACGGUUAACCUUCCUGCAACUUCUUAUCCCAAAAAACUCCUUUCAUGCUCCAUAUGUCCCAUGGCAAAACAGACCAGACUACCUUUCAACCAUAGUUAGUCACUUCAAGAUCUAAUUUGAGUUACUCUAUGUUGACCCGUAGGGAUCGUAUCAUGUAGAACUUUAUGACAAUUAUAAAUAUUUCAUCACACUAGUAGAUAACUAUAGUAGGUCUACCUGGACAUAUCUUUUAAGCACCCAAAACAAUGUCUUGAAUGUACUCAAAGCCUUCACAAACAUAUAUAAAAUCAGUUUCAAAUUGCCAUUAAAAUUAUUAGUUCAGACAAUAAUCUGGAGAUCACCAAGCAUGAAACAAAUAAGUUUCAUACCAAAAGUAUCAUCCAUCAAAAAAGUUAUCCUUAUACACCAUAAUAAAAUAAUGUAGUGGAAAGAAAGCGCAGAUAUUUACUAGAAAAGUACAAGAGCUCUUUUUUUACAAUAUAAAUUACCUAUGGAGUACUGCAGUGAAUGCAUACUUACUGUAAAUAAUCUAACAAAUAGACUUACUUCAACUUAUCUCCAUAACAAAUAUCCAUAUGAGUUACUCGAUAACAGAAAACAAAACAUAACUAACUUAGAUCCUUUGGUUAUUUAUGUAAUCCCAUAGUACCUAAGGUGCAAAUAUAUAGUUUUGAACCUAGAGCCACUUUUCAUGUCUUUGGAGGAAACUUUUGGGACAAAGGGCUACAAGAUGAUGAGUCUUUCUGUAAAAUGAAUACAUGUAUCUAGAGAUGUAGUCUAUCAUGAGAAUGUUUUUCCUGUUACUCUUUUCUUUGAAAACAACUCUUUUCCUUCUAUUUUAAAGUUUGUUCAUGUCAAUACUUUUAAUGAUUAUACUAAAUUUGGCACUACCACUAAUUUGUUUAAUGAUAGUAGAAAUCAGACAAGUUGUGACACUACAUCCUAAUCUCAUUGCACUCCACCUAGUGAUCCUAUUACUCAUUUACACCAUCUGCACCACCUCUAAUUCUAUCAGUUAAAGUUGUACAAAGAGGGAGAAUAAAAUUCCUAAGCAUUUGAUUGAUUAUGUAUGUUCCAUCCCUAUAUUGAAACAACCUUAUCCUACCACCACUCGAUAUCCCAAUCUUUAUCUUACUGCUCUACUCACUAAUCAUCAUCACAUUUCCCCUAACAUUCAUGCUCACCAUACUCAAGCACUAAAGUUACACACAACAAGCUGGAAUUAAUUAUAUUGAAACCUACUCUCCGGUAGUCAAGGUGACUAUUGUAAGGACUUUAGUAGCAUGUGCUGUAAAGAAAGGUUGGGACACAUUCCUACUUGAUGUCAACAAUGCUUUUCUUCAUGGUGAUCUCCAUAAAGAUGUAUACAUGCAAGUCCCUAGAGUCUUAUAGUGCUUGAUUUAGGUCUUGUUUGCAAGCUCAACAAAUCACUUUAUAGUUUAAAGUAGGUCAACAUGCAAUGGUAUGUAAACAAAUAGAGGCCUUGUCCACGAGAGGAUAUGCUCACUCUCAUCAUGAUUGUUUCGUGUUUUAUAGAAAGUCUAAUUCUUUAGUGGAUUUUGUAGCAAUGUAUGUUGAUGAUAUCAUCCUGAUAGGAAUUGACAUCACUGAAAUUCUCAACCUCAAAUCCUAUAUUCAAGACAUAUCACAUUCAAGAUUAAGGAUCUUGGAAAGUUGCAUUAUUUCUUAGCAAGACACUUGAUACUGAAGAAGGGGUUAUCAUAUCUCAAAUAAAGUUUGUUCUUGAUUUACUGAAGGAAUAUAACUGUUUCAACUACUGUGCCUUCUCUUCUCCCUUUGAUCCCAUUGUCAAAUUUAGAGCUAAAGAAGGUACUCCUCUUCCUGAUCCAACCUAUUACAGAAAACUAGUGGGGAAGUUGAACUUCCUCACAAACACUAGAUUGGAUAUAGACUUUAAUGUUCAGCAGUUAAGCCAAUAUAUGCAGGAUCCUAGAGCUCCAUACUUACAAGAUACAUUCUAUUUGGUCAUAUAUUUGAAGGGUAAUCUAACACUAGGUGCGCUCAGGUCAAGUGAUCCUAAUUGCAUUGUAAAAACGUACUGUGAUUAUGAGUGGGACUCAUGCCUAGACUGAAGAAAAUCUUUGAGUUAUUGCUUGGUCUUAAUAGGGAAUAGUUCCAUUAAUUGAAAAUCAAAUAAGCAAUAAACCAUAUCUUUGUCCACAACAGAAGCAGAGUACAGGUCUCUUAGGAAAGUGGUGGGAGAAUUAACUUGGUUGCACAUGUUAUUCACGAAGUUGACUAUUCUUGACUCUUUACCCAUUACAGUUUAUUUGUGACAAUCAGUCAGUAAUCUAUAUUGCUCAUAAUCCUGUAAUUUAUGAGCACAAAAAACACAUUAAAGUUGAUGGCCAUUUUAUUCAAGAUAUACUUCGGGACGGGCUCAUAUCACUUCACCAUAUCUAUACCACAACAUAGUUAGCAGACAUUUCAAAUAAGUCACUAGUGUCAAACACAGUGUAAUUCUAGGUAAGUUAGAAGUGAUAUCCUCACCACCAUCUUGAAGAGGGGUAUUGUAUAGUAGUUAAGUCCUUAGUUUUGAUGUUUGACAAAGUGCAUGUUGGGGACCUGUUUCCUAAAGAUUGUGUGAUGACAAAGCUGCUACUUAAUAUACUUACAACAUAUAUUAAUCUUGAAGCUCUUGAAACGAUGACUCACUUUGCAACAAGGAACUAAUAGCUCAUCAAGUUGUAUUUUAUUUCUUUGUUGUUUUUGAGUCUUUGUAAUGUGUUCUUAAACGUUUGCUUACUGCCGCUUGCACGGUUAUUAGUAGGUGUUGUAGUACAAACCAGAUUUCUUUGUAAUCAUCUAGAGUUAGCUAAUUCCCAAGCGAGAGUUAGCUUGUUUGUCCAGUUAGAGUUAACUGGAGUCUGUGCCAGUUGAAUUACUGCUUAUGCCUUCUUGUAAUAAAGUUACUAGGAGUUAAGGGAUUAGAAGUUUAAUCCUUAGAGUUUGGAGUCUGUAUUUAACUUUCCUUAGAUAUAGUGGAUCUUGGAAAUCCUGGAGGCAAGUCGUAGUUUUUCUUCAUUGAGCCAGGAGUUUUCACGUAAAAUUAUCGUGUCUACUAUUUACUCUUUCCUUGUAAUUUAUUCUUAAGUUUCUCCUAGUUCUUACUAUCUGUGUCUAUCCGGGAACAUGUCCCAAGUUGAGGAGAAGCCUACUACAGUUCUACAUUUGGUAUUAGAGAAAGGUCUUUCUAUAAAGGCUAAAAACUUGGAAAGACUCUUGAAAAUGGUUGCUCCUCCCAAUCUUGAAGAAGGCCACUCAACUACUAGACCACCUAGAUUCAAUGGUCAGUACUAUCGGUGGUGGAAUACAAGGAUGCAUGAUUUUAUCAUGGUUGAAGAUUCAGAGCUAUGAGAAAGCACUGAAGAUGGCCCUUUUGUUCCUAUAAGUGCAGUGAAGGUUAGAGAUGUGAUCACACAGGUUCCUAAAAUAAAAAAGAAAUAUGAUGAUGCAGAUAGAAAAAAAUAUUGAGAAGAAUUAUAAGGCAAAGAAGUUGAUAGUUUGUGUUAUCGGUCCUGAUGAAUACAACAGAUUCUCAGCCUGUGAAUUAGCUAAAGAGUUUUGGGACUAUCUACAGACAGCCCAUGAGGGAACUAGUCAGGUGAAGGAGUCCAAAGUAGAAAUGUUGACCAAUCAGUAUGAGACCUUCACCAUGAAAGAGGGAGAGUCCAUACAAGAGAUGCAUACCAGUUUCAUACCUAUAACAAAUGAGCUUCAUUGAUUGGGAGAAAAUAUUAGAACCACUAAAUAGGUCUGCAAAGUUCAGAGUAUUCUUCCUAAGCAGUAGGAGAGUAAAGUCAAUGUUAUUACUGAAGCUAGGAGUUUUUUUUUAGUAUCAAACACAAUUGUUGAGUAGCAAACACAAUCCCACAUUCGAAAAAUAGAGGGAACAUGUCCAAUAUUUAAAGUGUCACCCAACUCCACUAGUAUGAGGCCUUUUGGGAGGUACCCAAAAACAAAUCCAUGAGGGCUUGACCCAAAGCGGACAAUAUCAUGCUAUUGUAGAGUUACACGUGGUCCCAACAAGUGGUAUCAGAGACUAGGUUUGGGUGUGUCGGAGUGGUGACUGCGGUUGGUGAGAAGUAAUAUCAUGAUAUUGUGGAGUUACAUGCGGUCCCAACAAGUGGUAUCAAAGACUAGGUUUGGGUGUGUCGGAGUGGUGACUGCGGUUGGUGAGAAGUUCCUGGUGUAACGACAAAACUGGAGAUCUGCAGGUGGUGCCUUGUGUCGAAAGUCUUCCUGGCGAAUGGUAGUUAGGCGGCGUGUCCCGUUGGGUGAUAACGGCGGUACAAGAUGUUUGGCAGAUCAUGUGAAGUGACCUAGUAGUUGAGAUCUACGGUUGAUGCCUCAUAUCGAAAGUCUUCUUGACAAGUGAUGGUCAAGCGGCGUGUCCCACUGGUUGGUAGUGGCGGUACGAGGAGGUCACAAGUGAUGUGAUCUUGGUUUGAGGGGGGAUUAUUGAGUAGCAAACACAAUCUCACAUCGAAAAAAUAGAGGGAACAUGUCCAAUAUUUAAAGUGUCACCCAACUUCACUAUAUGAGGCCUUUUGGGAGGUGCCCAAAGAUAAAUCCGUGAGGGCUUGGCCCAAAUCGAACAAUAUCAUGCUAUUGCGGAGUUACACGCGGUCCCAACAAUUUUCACACAAUGACUAUGGAUGAAAUUAUUGGCAAUCUCAAAAUUUAUGAGAUGUUAAAAAAAUUUAGGAAGUUGGAAAGUGAUCCCAAGGUAGAGAAGAACCUGGUUCAAAAGGCCACUAAAGAAAUUGCAAAUGCAGAAGAUGAAGAAACUACUUACAUUGCAAAGCGAUUCAUCAAGUCUUUGAAGAAGUCACAAAUGUGAAAAGCCUGGUCACUACAUCAAGAAUUGUCCCUUGCACAAAGUAGAGUACAAAGUGUAUUUCAAGAAGAACAGUGAGAAAGAGAUAGGCAAAAAAUAGGUUAAAAAAUACAACAAAAAAGCUGAAGCUGAGAGAGUGGCAAUGCAAGUCAUAGCUGCUCUAGGUGAUUCUCUCUAUGUCACUGAUGAGUUUGAGCAGCUUGAAGACGUCUCCAUGAUGGUGGUGGAGGAUGAUAAUCAGGUAUAUAAUUCAUUCUUUGCUUUUAUGGUAGACUCAGAUGAGGAAAACGAUGAUAAGGUAACACUCUUAGACAUUAAAGAAAACCUCAAAAACUAUUCUUUUGAAGAGAUGAAAUCUCUUACUGUUAUAUUAGUUGAUAUUGUAAAUGAUGUCACUAGAGAUAAGAAAUGGCUAACAUUAAACUUUGAAAAUUUAAAGAGAAGAUGGUUGAACUAAGUAUGCUAGUUACUUCACUUCAAGCAACUUGCUAGCCUCUAUCUGUUGAAAAUGAGUCGUUCAAUGAAAAACUGAAUGUAGUGUCUAUUGUAAACUCAAAAGGAAAGAUUGAAAAAUCUCAAGUUCAACUGGAGUUAGAAGACAAACUAACUAAGGUUAGUAUAGAAUUAACUGCCUCUCUUAAUUAUUGUUGAUGAUUAUUCAAGAUUUACCUCGACCUUCUUUCUAAAAUUAAAGGAUAAAUAUUUCAUAUGUUUGAAGAUUUUGCUAGAUAUGUGCAAGUGAAUUAUGAUGAGAAGAUUGCAGCCAUCAGGUCUAAACAUAGCAUAGAAUUUGAAAAUGCUAGAUUUAAUCAAUUCUCCAAGGAACUGGGUAUUAGUCAUAAUUUUUUAUCUCCUAGAACACAACAGAAAAAUGGUGUUGUGGAGAGGAAAAAUAGGACUCUUGUGGAUAUUGGGAAACUAUGCUAAUAGAUGUAGGGAUUGCUCACAACUUCUGGGAAGAGUUGGUCAACACAACUUUCUAUGUGACUAACAGGUGUCUUGUGAGGCCUAUUCUGAAUAAAACUCCCUAUGAACUUUUGACCAAAAUGAAACCACAGCUGAGCUACUUCAAGCCAUUUGGGUGCAAAUGUUUUGUACUGAAUAAUGGCAAGGAGGAUCUUGGAAAAUUUGAUCUAAAAAGUGAUGGGGGAGUAUUUAUUGGAUAUUCAUCUAUCAGCAAGCCCUACAAAAUUUACACCAAAAGGAUAGUGCAUGGAAGAAAGUGUUCAUAUUAUGUUUAAUGAAGCUGGUGACAUCAAUAAAAGCAACACCCCUAAUGAUGAUGAUGAAGAGUCAAAAAAUAUCAUAAAGGUGUUAGAUCAGCAAAAUAAAAGCGAUGAUAAUGCUGACUCACAGGGACUUGAAUUGGAACCUGAAGAUGAACGUGGAGUAGAUCAACAAAAUAAUAACAUUUCACAAGGACCCCUUUCAGAUCCUGACCCUCAAUCCAGUGAAGGAAAUAAUUAGUCUCCUGAUGGUAAUACCUCAAUGGGAACUGGUUCUAGUGCAAGUCAUUCCACUCCACUCAGAACUAGUUGGAAGCAUCAGUAUUCAUAUUCUCAUGGAAAUUUAUUAUCCCUUUUAAACUCAGGCAUGCAGACCAAGAACAGAGCCACGAACCUUUGUGCUUUCUCAGUAUUCUUGCCACAUAUUCAACUCAAAAAUGUAAAACAAGCACUGAAGUAUGCAGAUUAGAUCAAUGCUAUGCAGGAAGAUCUUCAUCAGUUUGAAUGGAGCAAGGUUUGACAUUUGGUCCCACAGCCGUCACAUAGAACUAUCAUAUUGUAACACUCUGCAUUUUUGAGCUAGAAAUCAAAAUGUCAUUCCUACAUGUGUAAGCUCUAAUUACAUGGUUUUUAUUUAAAUUCAUGUAUCAUGAUCUUUCUCCUAGUAUAUAAAGUGAUUAUGAGGUGAAAAAUAUUCAUAGAAAUGGCCUAAAGGAAAGUUGAGCUAAGAACCCUUCAUUCCUCCAAAAUUGGAUAUUCGAUUCUACCAGGGUAUACGUGGAAUGUGUAUACUUUUUAUAUACAUAGAAUUUUACAUAUCAAGACCCACCAAAUUGUAAAUAAUUGAAUUAUCUUUCCAACGAUACCAAUUUUGCCUAAAUCUGAUACCUGAGCGAAAAGUUACAGUUAUUUUCGUGAGUGAGGCGGUGAGGUCGUACGAUAAGCGUGUGAUGCACGCUCCAGCCCACCCCUGAAAUUUUCAGUUUUCGACUUCGCAUUCAAAGAGGUAUUUGGGUCAUUUUUCCACCCCUAUUUAUCCCCAAAAACACGAGAUUCAGCCCCAAAUAACCAAAAUAUACUCACUUUCUCUCAAAUUCUCUCAAGACCAAGUCCUAGAAUUCCCAAUCCAAGAUUUCAAGUCUUAAGGAAUUCACCACAAUCUUUCAGAUCUGAUAAUCUAAGGUAUGUGGGACUACUCUAAGAACCUUGGGCAUAAGUUUAAAUAUUUUAUCAAGAUUAAAGAUCCCUAAUUAUGAUUUAUAAUGAAGUAUAAGAUAUAAUUUUUCUAAGAUUAUGCAUUAUGGGACUGUUUUGACGGAAAUACAUGUUAUCUUGAAUUACUCUUCAUAUAAAUUGAAUUGUAACUAUAUACAUAUAUGAAUUUUGUGUAAUUUGUAAGAUUGAUAGAGAGCAUGAGUAUGAAAUUCCUCUCUUGUUGCUAAUUAAAGUUUAUAUAGUCAUUGUGAAUGAUUUGAAAUGCAUGUUUUAAGAUUUGAAAGUGAAAUUCUCAAUAUCAUGAUGUUUGACAUGGUUUAUAUAUGAUGAGGGGAGUUUCUUGCUAUAAUUACAUUCUUGCUUUAAAAUGGAAAGAAUUGCAUGUGAUUGAUUAAAUUAAUAUGACCACCACAUGUUUUAAAUCUUGUGAAGAGAUGAUAAAUGUCUAAGUUUUCUUGAGAUUUGAAAGUGAUCACUCUAUUGUGAUGUUAUGAAUUUAUGUGGUCAUGUGUAUGUUUUGAAAUUAAUAUAGGUUGUGAAUUUGAUAUGAUAUUGCAUUACAAGUUAGGGUAUGACGAUACCAGGUGAUGAUAUGCCCUUAACAGAAAAAGCAUUGAGUAUUUUGAAAGUAUGAAGCAUGUUUGCUUUAAAGAACUAAAAGUUGGGCUUAAGAGAGCUAGUAGGUUACCCGAAGAAGGCGCUUGAGUGUAAGGGCUCAUCGCUGGAAAUCGUAGUUCCCGAUGCGGGACUUAUGAUAUUAUAUCCUACAUGGGAGGAUAAUAAAAAAAUUAGGGCAUCUCACAUGGGGAGACUCCUGCGGUGUACUCACAUGCGGGGUAUCACCAGCUCCAAUCCUAGCGGCUAUUUGGAUUGGAGGCUUGGCCGUCGAGUCAAAGGCAGGUCCCACAUAGCCCGUGGGAUUUCAAAUUUGUAGGGUGUACUGACUAACUCAAAAUAAUAAUAAAGAGUAGGUUAGUGUUAACAAGAAUCGUUUUGAAGUUCUCUAAAAUAUGCCCAUGUAUUUUUAUUGGAAUUGUGUUCACUGAUAUUAUGAAAUGCUCUUACCUAUUUUGUAUAAGAAUAUCCUAUUUAAUAACACGUUUACUUUUUUCCCCCCCCCCCCCCCCAUAUUUCAGGAUUUUAAGACAUAAUCAUGGGGUCCUGUUAAAAAGUAGAUUGACUUGUCAAAAGUUUGCAGCUAGUGAGCCUCCCUUACUUCGGAAGACUUGGUUAUGAAACUUGUUAUUGUUAUUUUAUUUUGAUUCAUGGUCCAUCUGGGGGCCUUGUCCCAGAUUUCAGACAAAUGUCAUUUCCAGUUAUUAGAGAUGUCGUAGAUGUUAGACAUUAUUAGAGGUUUAUGGUUUCCAUUCUUGAUUGUUCAAUUGAUUUAUGAUAUUGACCAUGAUUCCGUAUUAUUUUAUCUUUCUGCAUUCUCAUUUAUAUUAUAUGAAAGUGUGUAUGAUUUCCAGAUAGAGAAGGGUGCUCGGGCCUUUAUAGUUCGUGAUACCCGUCAUGGCCAGGGCCCCGAUUCGGAUCGUGACAUAUAUGGACUAGGUGGGUAUACAGGAAUCAGAUAAAUGAGCAUGGAAACACCAUUAGGAAUAAAACUAGGCUUAUUGUGCAAGGAUAUAAUAAAAAAGAAGGGAUAAAUUAUGAUGAAACGUUUUCUCCAGUCGUCAAAAUGAAGCAAUUAGAAUUCUUAUUGGCUUUGCUUUAUUUAUAGAGUUCAAACUAUUUUAGAUGGAUCUAAAGAGUGUCUUCUUAAAUGUUUUCCUUAAAGAAGAGUUGUUUGUGAAACAACCUCUAGGUUUUGAAAAUGUUGACUUCCUUAAUCAUGUGUUCAAAUUGGAAAACACUUUGUAUGGAUAGAAGCAAGCCCCCAAAGCUUUGUAAGAAAGACUAUCCAAGUUCUUCCUUGACAAUGGGUUCAAAAGGGGGAAAAUUUACAACACUCUAUUCUUAAAGGCUAGAGGAAGAUAUCAUUUUUGGAGCUACAAUCAGCUCCCUUUGUGAUAAAUUUUCCAGGUUAAUGAGCAGUGAGUUUGUGAUGAGUAUGAUGGGCAAACUCAAUUUCUUAAUUAGGUUGCAAAUUAAGCAGAGUGCAGUUGGGACUACCGUAUGCCAACAGAAGAACAUAUAGAAACUGCUCAAUAGGUUCCAUAUAGAGGAUAGAAAGCCUAUUGACGCUCUUAUAUGCACCUCCUCUAAACUGGACUUAGAUGAACAUGGUUCAUCUAUUAAUAAAACUAUGUAUAAAGGGAUCAUUGGUUUAUUGCUCUACUUAAAAUCUAGCAAACCUAAUAUUGUAUUUAGUGUUGGUAUGUGUGCUAGAUUUCAAGCAAGUCCACAGAAAUCUGACUUGAGGGUUGCCAAGAAGAUUUUAAGAUAUCUUAAAGGGACCCCUGACCUGGUUCUCCUAUAUCCUGCUGGUGAUAAUUUUAACCUUUCUGGAUAUGUUGAUACUGAUUAGUUCCUGGUUUAUAGAAAAGGCACUGUAGGGAUGGCUUAAUAUUUUGGAUCAUCUUUGAUCUCUGGGGUACCGAGAAGUAGAACUCAAUGGCAUUCUCCACUGCUGAAACUGAAUAUAUUGCAAUUGCAUCAUGUUGUGCUCAACUACUGUGGGUUAAGAAACAACUUGAAGAUUUUGGUAUUCUCUAUCAUUAUGUGCCUUUAAACUGUGACAACACAAGUGCAAUUAAUAUAGCAAAGCAUCCAGUUCAACAUAAAAAAAGCCAAAGAAUAUUGAUGUCAGACAUAACUUUCUGAGUGAUAAUAUGGAAAAUCGAUUGAUUAAGAUGGGGUUUUGCAGUACUGGAUAUGAAAUUGCUAACAUCUUUACCAAGGCACUUAGAAGAGAGCCUUUUGAAAGAAACAAGUCAAGACUGAUAGACCAAGUUGAAUGCAUGCAGAUUAUACUCUCAAUAUGGCUAUGACUUUGUAAGCAGGUAUCUAGGUUGGAUGAUUUCACCUAUGUCUAACUCAGUCUCAUAUUUUUUGAAGAUAUACACCCAUGAUAGCGAGGAAAAGAUAGGGAGAAGAGUAAAAUAGCGCAAGUGCUGAGUAUUUAAUGCACUCAGACCAUCAUGUAGGUACCAGGUUCUAAAUUAGGUUAGUAUCACACUCUAUUAUGAAUUAGUGGUCAUAAUUCCAUUUACCAACAGACGUGUUAUGUAAAUUUUCACACUUUAAAAUGUCACACUCCCUCCUAUUCCUUAUUGUGAAAGGAGCAAAGAGUUUAGCUACUGAAUUAUUUCUGAUUAAUGGGGGAUUUCACAUAUACAAAAAAGGAGAAAAAGAGGUUGUUUCCUAAAAAUUGUCUCUCCAUUUGACUCUAACACUGCUGCUUCUUCUCAUUGUGGACCUCUAUCCAAAUAGUGUUUGAUACUUUCACUUGAUUCUUGCAUGAGUUCUCUUGAUUCUAUUUUCUCUCUUCCCUGUUCCAUCUUUCCUACUCAUGUAAGUAUUGCCUCAAUGUCCAUGGGUUAAUAUAUGUGUGUAUCUAUGCAUCGUUUACUGCUUAAUCUCUUUGAUAAUGCUAAAAGAGAUAAAUUGAGAUGUAGCUGUGUAUAGUCUAUGAAGGAGGAAAGAUGUAUGCGCAAAAGAAGUACAGAUGGGAUGUAAAGGAGAAUAAGGGACCGUGGAUGGUGAAUAAAUACAGUACAGUGGUUUUUACACUCAGGGAGAACCUUUGGGUACUCAUAGACAAGGGAAAUGUGUGAGGAAUACUUAGGGAUAUCAUAGGAAAGUAGAAUAGGUGAACAAAUAGUCUUGAGGGCAUGCGUUGCUGAAUUCUGAUGUGUAUGAUGUGUGCUAUGUAGAUGGUCGAGGUUGUUGAAUGCUUUCAUAGGUUUGUGUUCAUCAAAAAGGGAGAAAUUGUUAAGUCCUUAGUUUUAAUAUUUGACAAACUGCAUAUUGGGGACAUAUUUCCUAAAGAUUGUGUGAUGACAAAGCUGCUACUACUCAGGGAAUAGGUUGGUCUUACCUGUCACUAUCAUAGUCAACCCCAAAGCUGGGCAUAAGUACAAAGGUUGGUGAAAAGUUGGUGCUACCUUUUUGUCUCAACCAAUGACAUCCCUCCUAGGUUUUGUUAUGUCAUAAUAUUGCUCGUCUUCUCCAACAAGAAAACCAAACUUCUAUAUACUUACAACAUAUUUUUUCCUUGAAUCUCUUCAAUCAAAGACUCACUUUGCAACAAGGAACUGAUAGCUCAUCAAGUUGUAUUUUAUUUCUUUGUUGUAUUUGAGUCUUUGUAAUGUGUUCUUGAAUGUUUAUCUAUUGCCACUUGUAAGAUUAUUAGUAGGUGUUAUGGUGCAAAAUGAAUUUCUUUGUAAUCAUCUAGAGUUAGGUGAUUCCUAAGUUAGAGUUAGCUUGUUUGUCUAGUUAGAGUUAGUGGGAGUCUGUGGCAGUAGAUUUACUACUGGUGUCUUCUUGUAAUAGAGUUAUUACUAGGAGAUAAAGGAUUAGGAGUUUAAUCCUUGGAGUUUGGAGUUUGUAUUUGUAAGACACCGUGAAGUUCCCUCGUCGUUAAGGCUUUCAAAACGAAUUAAAAGAAGCCUUACACUUAGAAUUUUUGCUAAGUGUUCCAACACUUGUUUAUUUUUGAGCCUUCAACUUCGAGGAAUUAUUUAAUGACCCUACCGAAAUCCGUUUUUUGAUUUUUCAAGUUGCGUAGUGAUGGGAAAAGUAAAUAGUACAUCUCGGGCAAGUUUCAGAAUAUUUGGACCUCGUUUAGGGAGUGUUUGGAUUUCGAACCAGUGAGCCUCCACCAUAGCGGGGUGCUGCCCUGCUCUCUCCCCCGCUCUAAGGGAGGCGCCGCCCUAGUAUCCCUAUGGUCCAAUAAUUUCAGUCUUCUUCCAUUUUUUAACACAAGAUUUGGGUUCCAAUUGGCCAAAUAUUGAAAUACUCAUCAAUUUUCUCGAGAACCCAAUACACCGCCUUCCAACCAAAAAUCAAGAUCUAUCAAAAUUUACACGUUAAAUUUCAAAAAUGAUUCAAGAAUAAAAAUCCCCAGAUCGAGAUCUUUAAGAAGCACCUAAUAAUUUCAUGAAUAGAUUUUUGGAAUUAAGAGUUCAUCCAAAUUCAUAAUUUGAGGUUUGUGGGGUUUGAACAAGAAAAAUCCUUCCGUUCUUCUUCCCAAAAGUUGAUUUUAUUUAAGAUCUUAUGAUUUACGGAUGAAGUUAUGUCCAAAUUAUCUUGUUUGAGGAUUAUGAGUUUAUGAGUUAUUCAAGUUGUGAAUUUCUUGAUAUUUCUACCUAUUAUGUUUUGAAUUGAGAGUUUAUGUUAUGAGUUGUACCCUUUCUUUACGAAUUAAUAUUGUUGAAUAAUUUUAAGAAUGAUAUUGAGCAUGAAUUAUUAUUUUGAAUUAACAUGAGCCAAGUAUUGAAUUUUGGAUCCAAAGAUUUAGUAUUGAGAUUUUGAGAACAUAUUCUUGGAAGUUUUGAACUAUUAUAGUCAUAUCAAGAAUGAGUUUGGAUUUUUAUGAUGUCAUGACUUUAAGCUUUCCUCUAGCGGAUUACUUACCAAGAUUUGAGUUAAGAUUGAUGUUUUGAUAUGGAGUUAAAAUAGGAAUCCACAAAUUUCAUAUGAUUUAAACUAAAAGAAAUAUGUCUUGGUCUGCAUUAUAGACCCUUGAGUUAUUUUAAGGUGGAUUUCCUAAUGAGUUCUGAGCCUGAGUAUGGGAGUAGUAUUUAGCACCGAGUUGGGUAUGAUUUCGAGGUCUCAUAAUCCAAAACUACGUGCCACUGUAGGAUUGAGAUUUAUGGGCCUAAGGCCGAGAUAGUGAUCACUAGGUUGAGGUUAUACUCCUUGGCAAGAGUAUGACGCCUCUCCACAAUGUGAGGUUUCUUUCUUAGGAGGAGAAAACGUUGGACUCCAUGUGACUCACAUGGUUUAUGUCGGUUAGAAGAAACUCCCAAAGCAUUCCCCUACUCUAAAUAAGUCACAAGUAUAUAUGUUGAAAGUUUGGUUUUGAGAUUUCCAAGUUCCCAAUCCUAAAGUUAUAAAGUCUUAAGGUCCCUAAGUUCCAAAGAAAUUCCUUAUUUUCAAAAGAUUAAGGUGUGAGUCUUGAAAGUUGUUGUUUUAUUAUUCUACCUAGAUUUAUCAGUUGAGAAUAAAGAAUAUAAAUUUAAACAAAAAGUAUGAUGACUCACGUGAUUUAUAUUACAUGUCUCCUAUUCAUGAUUUAUGAGAGUUUUAAUCAAGCUAUGUGAGUCAUUUACAACUGCAUGCAUGUUUUCUCUAAAGAUUUAUGAUAUCAUUUAUUUAAAUGAAUAAACCCCCAUAUACUCAGUACAUUCCCAUAGUACUGAUCACAUACUCAUCUAUGUGCUAUAUUUCCUCAUAAUGUAGGUUCAAGUGCCCAGUCCCAGCAACGUCAGUGAACCCGAGCACAGAGGGAGGGCGAAAUAAAAAGAAAUGGGGGGAAGUCUAUGUUUCAGUUAUUCUUUAUUAUCAUCUGUUGUUUUAUUUCCUUUUAUUUGAGUAUGAGUCAGUUGGGGAUCUAUCCCAAUGGCUCUCUAACUCUUGAGUAAUAGAGGCUUUGUCAGAUAAGAUUAUUAGUUGUGUUUCUACUUUUUAGUAUUUGAUACUCGUACUGUGUUUUCCAGCUAAUUCAACUCUAAUUUGAUAUAUAUUGUAGUAUCAUGUUUGAUUUAAUAUCCUUCGUAAGUAGUAUAGAUAGUAGAAGGCUCAAAGGGUUAGCUUGGGGUUACUCGUAUCCUUAAGCAUCACGUAACAUUCCCGGGUGAGUUUUUGGGGAAUUACAAACUUGGUAUCAGAGCCUAAGGUUUAAAAAGUCCUACGGAGUCUGACAAGACACGUUAAGUAGAGUCUUGAUCAUCGGUGUGUAGCGUACCAUAUCUAUGAGCAAGAGGCUACAAGAUGUUUUAGGAAAAAGUCGUCUCUUUAUUUCAUAAUUCAUCGUGCUUACAAUUGUCUCUCUCUUCUAUUAACUCAUGCUCUCUUUAUGAAAGAAUAUGCCUCCUCGUCGAGCUAGUAUCCAUAGAAUCAAUGACCAGCCACCUCAGCCCGAAAAUCCUCUGAAUGAAAAUAUGUCGCAUACUAAAUUUUGGGCAGCGUUUCAGACAUUAGCCCAAGUGGUUACUGCUAAUGUUCAGGCCAAUCAUUAGGCUGCAGUUCUGCCCCAGCAAGGAAGUGAUUUGGCUCCAGCUAGACUUUGUGAUUUCAUGAGAAUGAGUCCGUCACCCACAGUUAUAUCUAGAGAAAGUGAGGACGAUCACACAGGUGAUGCAUGUUUCUGAUGAAGAAAGUGUUGAGUUGGCAUCUUAUAGGUUUAAAGACAUUGAGUACGACUAGGUUGUAGCAUGAAGAAAGAACAGAGAGAAAGAUGUAACUCCCUUGCAUUGGCAGGAGUUCCAAGAUGCGUUCUUGGACAAGUUCUUCCUGCUCGAGAUGAGGGAAGCAAAUAUUGAGGAGUUUAUGAACUUGCGACAGGGCUCCAUGACUGUUAAGGAGUACUGCUUGAAGUUCAACCAAUUAGCCAAGUAUACUCCAGAUCUGAUGGCCGACACCCGAACUAGUAUGAGCAAGUUCGUGAUGGGUAUUUCUGGUUUGGUGUUGAAAAAGUGUAGGACUGCAAUGCUAAAUAGGGAUAUGGACCUUUCUAGACUGAUGAUGCAUGCGCAAUAGAUAGAGACGAAUAAGAUAACGGAAAUAAAUAGAGUGAGGGGGAACGAGAGGGCUAGAUUCAAGCAACAGGAGUAUGGUCAGACCAGGUCCCAUGGAGGGAACCACCCUCAGUUUUAGAGCCAUUCAUCCAUGCCAUCACCUUCAUCAGCCAGUGCUCCCAUCCCCAGAGAUAGGAAAGAGCAAGGGAAUAGGUCUUCUAUGUCCAGGUUCUAGAAUAUUGUGAGUAACAGACCUCGUGGUCCUCCAUAUGGUAAGUAUGGCAGAGACCAUCCAAGUGAGUGCUUAGCUGAUCAGAGGGGUUGUUUUGGUUGUGGCAAGUUGGGUCCCAAACUUAGGGAGUGUCCGCAUGCCAAGCAGGGGAACCGUGAUGUUCACCCCUAGACUCAGACUGCUAGUGCCCCAGCUCCUGUAGCCCGUCCAGCCCCUCCUCAAGGUGCCUCAUCUAACACUACUGACGGUCAGUGCCAGAACAGAUUCUAUGCCUCACUAUCCCACCAGGAGCAGAAGGAUUCUCCCAAUGUUAUCACUGGUAUGCUUCGUGUUUUCCACUUUGAUGUUUAUGUGUUGUUGCACCCCAGUUCAAGUUUUUCUUAUGUGACCCCACUUGUUGCUGUGAAUUUUGAAGUGAAUCCCAAAAAUAUUUUUGAGCAUUUCCUUAUUUCUACUCCGGUAGGGGAGUCGGUUGUUGCUAAACAAGUGUAUAAAAAUUAUCCUGUUACUGUUUUUCAUAGAGUCAUACUUGAUAAUUUGAAAGAGUUAGGAUAUGGUUAAUUUUGAUGUUAUUCUGGGUAUGGAUUGGCUUUAUUCUUGUUAUGCAUCUAUUGACUAUUGUACCCGUAUGGUUAAGUUUCAGUCCCUGGUGACCCCGUCUUUGAGUGGUCCGAAAGUUUCGUGUCCCCCAAGAUUAAUUUUAUCUUAUAUCUCAAAGCCAGAAAGCUAAUAUCCAAAGGUUGUAUCUAUCACCUAGUUAGAGUCAAAGACAUUAAGUUUGAAGCUCCAACCUUUCAGUUAGUUACCAUAGUUAAUGAGUUUCCUGAUGUCUUUCUGGAAGAUCUUCCAGGGGUACCUCUCGAUAGAGGGAUAGAAUUUGGGAUUGACCUUCUUCCAGAUACCCAGCCCAUAUCUAUUCCUCCCUACCGUAUGGCACCUACAAAACUUAAGGAGUUGAAAGAGAAACUCAAAGAUCUUUUCGAUAAAGAUUGUAUAAGGCCCAGUGUUUCUCUUUGGGGUGAUCCUGUUCUAUUCAUGCGAAAGAAAGAUGGUUCUCUGCGUAUGUGCAUUGACUAUCAUCAGCUUAAUAAAGUUACAAUCAAGAAUAAGUACCCUCUCCCAAGAAUUGAUGGCCUGUUUAAUCAGUUCCAAGGCACAAGUUAUUUCUCCAAGAUAGACCUUAGAUCCAGCUAUCAUUAACUUAAAGUAAAGGAGUGUGAUAUCCCAAAGACAACCUUCCGAACCCGCUAUGGUCAUUUUGAGUUUCUAGUCAUGUCCUUCGGGUUAACCAAUGCUCCAACUACCUUCAUGGACCUCAUGAAUCGAGUGUUCAAGCAAUAUUAUGAUAUGUUUGUCAUUGUUUUCAUAGAUGUUAUCCUUGUAUACUCCCAUAGUAAGGAUGACUAUGUGGAUCAUCUUAGAAUUGUCUUGCAAACUCUUAGAGAUCACCAGUUGUUUUCCAAAUUUAGCAAGUGUGAAUUUUGGCUAAGGUCAGUUGCUUUUCUGAGUCAUAUUAUUUCCACCGAAGGCAUUAGAGUCGAUCCCCAAAAGACAGAAGCUAUAAAGAAUUGGCCUAGACCUAUCUCCCUAUCUGACAUUAGGAGUUUCUUAGGUCUACCUGGAUAUUACCACCAUUUUGUUGAAGGUUUCUCUUCUAUUGCGUCUCCUAUGACCCAGUUAACCCAAAAGAAAGUCAAGUUCCAGUGGACAGAUUUUUGUGAGAAAAGUUUUCAGGAUUUGAAGACUCGACUCACCUCAGCCCUAAUGUUAGCUUUGCCUAAUGAUAAGGAUGGUUUUGUGGUGUAUUGUAAUACCUCUAGAGUUAGUUUGGGUUGUGUGUUGAUGCAGUGAGGUAAGGUUAUAGCCUACACCUCCAGGCAGUUAAAACCGUAUGAAAAGAAUUACCCAACCUAUGAUAUUGAAUUAGCAGCUGUGGGUUUUGCUUUGAAAAUCUAGAGACAUUAUUUGUAUGGGGUUCAUGUUGAUAUGUUUAUGGAUCACAAAAGUUUGCAGUAAGUGUUUACUUAGAGGGAGUUGAAUCUUCAUCAGAGGAGAUGGUUAGAAUUGCUAAAAGAUUAUGAUAUGAGUGUGUUGUAUCACCGGGGCAAGGCCAAUAUAAUGGCGGAUGCCCUUAGUAGAAUGUGUAUGGGUAGUAUAGCUCAUGUAGAGAAUGAUAAGAAAGAAUUAGCUUGUGAUAUGCAUCGCUUGGCUAGAUUGGGUGUUAGGUUGCUUGAUUCUGCUGAAAGGAAUAUGUUAGUGCAGAGUAGUUCCUAAUUUUUUUUAGUUUCAGAAGUAAAGGAGAAGCAAGAUAUGGAUCUUGGUCAGACUGAAGGAGUCAAUUAAGGACCAAAAUGUAGAGGUUUUCUCCCAAGGGAAAGAUGGUGUGUUGAGAUUGCAGGGUAGAUUGUGUGUUCCUAGUGUUGAUAAUCUAAGGUAGAGAAUUAUGGCUGAAAAGCAUGGCGUGCAAUAUUCUAUUCAUCCUGGAGCUACCAAGAUGUACCGCGAUUUAUGGAAAAUCUAUUGGUGGAAUGGUAUGAGGAAGGAUAUAGCUGAGUUUGUAGAAAAGUGUGCAACAUGCCAACAAGUUAAGGUAGAGCACCAAAGAUCUGGUAGUAAGAUGCAAGAGUUUAGCAGUCCUACUUGGAAGUGGGAAGAGGUGAAUAUGGAUUUUUUGACUGGGUUACCACUUUCAUGUCGUCAUCAUGAUUCUAUUUGGGUGAUUGUAGAUAGGUUGACUAAGUCAGCGCACUUCCUACCUAUGCAUACAUCUUAUACAAUUGAGGAUUAUUCUAGAUUGUAUAUUUGAGAGUUAGUCAGGUUGUAUGGAGUUCCCUUGUUCAUCAUCUCAAAUAGGGGUACUCAGUUCACUUCAUAGUUUUGGAGAGCUUUCCAGAAGGGUCUUGGUACCCAAGUUCAUUUGAGUUCCACUUUUCAUCAUCAGACAGAUAAGCAAGCUGAGAGGACCAUCCAAACUAUAAAAGACAUGUUGAGGGUAGGUGCUCUUGAUUUCAAAGGUAGUUGGGAUGAACAUUUUCCAUUGAUUGAGUUUGCAUAUAACAAUAGUUACCAUGAUAGCAUCCAGAUGUCACCAUUUGAGGCUUUGUAUGGGAUGAGAUGUCGAUCACCCAUAGGUUGGUUUGAAGUGGGUAAAGCCAUUUUGGUCAGACCUGAUGCGGUAUUUGAGGCUAUGGAGAAGGUGAGGUUGAUUAGGGAGAGGUUGAAGAUAGCUCAGAGUCGUCAGAAGUCAUUUACAGAUGUGAGGAGAAGAGACCUUGAGUUUGAAGUUAAUGACUUAGUGUAUCUAAAAAUUUUGCCCAUGAAAGGGGUGAAAAGGUUUGGGGAAAAGGCGAAGCUUUGUCUUCGGUACGUUGUCCCUUAAAGUGUUUUGAGUCGUGUUGGGAAAGUAGCCUAUGAGAUUGAGUUGCCCACAGAAUUUUCACACCUCUUUUUUCACCCGAAAAGAUAUCGUUUUAAAGUUCGUAAGGGUUUUUAUUGUUAAAGUGACAAAACAUUAAAAAGUUAUUUUGAAAAAGGAUUAAUUACAUUUUUAUUCAGAGUCGCCACUUGGCAUAAUCCGGUGUGCCAAGUAACCUUUGGAAAAUCCUUUUCAAAAUGAUUUGACUCUUGAAAACUGGUUUGCAAACAGUGAUUCCGGCUAAGGAAUUCUAUUGACCGAGGGGAAGGUGUUAGGAACCCCUCGAUCUCGUGGUCUCUUGGUGGAGCGUAUCAACUAAUUUGACAUUAUAAAAUGUAUAAACCACAUAAACACACGAAACGAGCAAACAAACAAAUCAAAAAAAAUUCAAAACUAAAAUAAUGUCCGGUCCAAAAUAUACAAUCCAAAAAUACAAAAAUAGAAAUUCUAUUCUAGACUAAUACUAAACUAUGCUCCACCCUAAGUUCCGGGCCUUGACCAUGCACCCUCUUCCAGUACAAAUUUCUUGGGGCAUUCGCUGGAUAAAAUAAUACAGAUACUUCAGUGCAUUCCCUGGCCAAAUGAGUACAAUGAGUCGAAUACAAUAGAACAAAACCUUUUCAACACACAUCUCAAACAUUCCAUCAAUCCACAAUCUCUAGAUUCGCCUUCCCGAACCUACUAUUUUCCUACCUCAUUCGACCAAGCAUGAUACUAUCGCGAAAUUGACAAUUAGACACAAAAGCAACAAUAAUAAUGAAUCAAAACAACUAAUUUAUUCUUCUUUUAUCAAAUUUUGAUCCCCCAAAUCCAUUAACCAAUGAUUAAUACUUGCUUCAAUUAUCAAUCAAUUUUCACUCGGAAUCCAAUAUCAACAACACACAACAAAGAUUCAAACAUACCAAACAAAUCAUUCACAUUCACGUAAAAAUUAAAGGAGAGAAGAUAGAAUUGAACCUAAAAAAAAAGCUUUCGAUUAACUGAUCUUUCCGAAUAGAACCACGUCCAAUGGAACCUCAACAUCGAACCUCCAUUACAAACCCAAAUCAUCAAACUUCAAACUAUUUUGUUCUAUUUUCGCAAUCACAAACCAGAUUUGAAAAUCACAGGACCUAAACCCACUUUCCUGAUCGUGUAUGUGCGUGUUUACUACUGUUGGUCAACCUACGAGCUACGUUGAGCUUUGAAGUGACUAAAGGAUGAUAGGGAUGAUUUUUCAGACGAGAAUGGUGAGGAAAAAAUGGAUUCCGGCGAGAAACUUGUAGGAAUAGUACAAAACAAUGGUCAUUCUCGUUGGUUUUUCUGAUUUGCUCCCCCUUUUCACUAUUUUCUAUCAAUCCCUUGAUCUCUCUCUCAUGUACGCGUGUCGUCAAGAUGAGAAGAAAAGAAAGGAAAUAUAAAAUCCUCAAAAAUAGAGAGCUCCCUUUUUUGACCCAUCUCUCAUCUCCUUACUCUCUACUGGUUCUCCACUCUUCUCAAACUCUACUAGGUGAAGAGCACGUGCAACUCUGAUUAUUGUAUAAGUUUUUUUGUAUGAUGUGAAUAUGGUGAGGUCCUGAUGAAGAUGAUGAUAAAAUAAAAAGGGAAGAGACUAGGAAUUUCAUCUAUGUGGAGUGUAUAUGUAAGGGAUGAAUGUGAGAAUGUGAUGAUGAUGUGGGUCCCCCAAUUUUGUUGUUGUCCUCCAUAUUUAUGGUGAGUGGAGUGUGUAUAUUCUGUUAAGUGUGGUCCCUCCUUCUAUUUUGAUUAUUUGUAUUAUAUGCCUACUCCCUUUUUUUUGCUUUGUGUCCAAGAAAGGUAAGGAGGAGGGGGGUCAUGUGGGUAGGUGAAUAGGGGUAUGGGGUGGGGUAGGUUAUUAGGAUGAGGUGUAAAGUUGUUUAGGAUAGGGUUGUUAUUUUUGUAUUUUUGUGGGAUAUAAUCAGAUGGGCGAGGGUACACACUAAGGGUAAAAUAGUAAGAAUGCUUUCGGGGAGGGAUAAAAUUACGUGUCUACAUCAUGACCCUCUUUGCAUGUAUACACAAAGUAUUUUCAUACAAAGAAGUAGACAACGAAAUAGAAUUUUGACCCAACCAUUAUUCAAAGGAAGAAACAAAAGAAAGAAGGACAACCAAGUUGGAGAGUCGAGUGAGGUUCCAUCGAUGUUCCGGUCCGUGGCUCUGUCAUUACCUCAAAAAUGAAAAUUACAAGUUGAAAAGAUAAAUGAAAUUACAAAAACCUAUCUACGCAGCUUAUUUUGGACUCUUGACUUGAGUUUCAUCACCCUAUUCUUCAGGCUGGCUCCUGACUUUCAAUUUCUUCACCCUGUUUUUCAAGCGGGUUCCUAACUUACAAUUUCUUCACCAUGUUCUUCAGGCGGGUUCCUGACUUCCAACUUCCCUCACUUGUUUCUUAACCUUGUUUCUUGACUUUAACUUCUUCACCAUGUUACUUGACUUUCCAUUUAUUCGUUAUGUUGUUCAGGCGAGCUCCUGAAAUCACAUCAAAACUAGAAAGAAAAUUAUCCCAAACAAAGAAAUACAUCUUCUAUGACUUAAAUUGAAUGAUUUGACUAGAAGGUAUGCCUUAUAGGAAUCACAAGUAAUGACUCGACUAAAAGGUACGUCUUAUAUAAAUCAAGGAGAAUGACUCGACUAAAAGGUACGUCUUCUAGGGGUCAAGGGUAGUGACUCGACUAAAAGGUACGUCUUAUAGGAAUCGAGGGGGAAUGACUUGACUAAAAGGUACAUCUUCUAGAAGUCAAGGGGAAUGACUCGACUAAAAGGUACGUCUUAUAGGAAUCAAAGGGAAUGACUCGACUAAAAGGUACGUCUUUUAGGGGUCAAAGGGAAUGACUCGACUAAAAGGUAUGUCUUAUGGGAAUCAAAGGGAAUGACUCGACUAAAAGGUAUGUCUUUUAGGGGUCAAGGGGAAUGACUCGACUAAAAGGUACGUCUUAUAGGAAUCAAAGGGAAUUACUCGAUUAAAAGGUACAUCUUCUAGGUUUCAAGGGGAAUGACUCAACUAAAAGGUACGUCUUAUAGGAAUAAAAGGGAAUAACUCAACUAAAAGGUAUGUCUUCUAGGGGUCAAGGUUUAAUUUAAGAAGUGUAUCACCUAGCAAAUGAAAAUUGAAACCCCUGAACAAGAAAGUGUGUCUCCAAGGGAGAUAGGUUGAUAAAUUUUUACCAUGAUUAAAACCUGUGCAGUAACAUUGCUUCCUGCAUUUGUAAAAGUGAGGCAUUUUAGCCCUUGAUGUUUAUGCUUUGAAAUCCUUGAGUUAAAGGUGACAUGUGUUCCUGUUUCAUGCAAAGAAAAGUUGUGAGUUUAAGAACAAGGAGGCAGGUUUGUGGCUUUGGCUUUCGUGGCAAACACUCUUACCGUCAUCAUAUUUAACCUUGCUUCCAACCAUUACAUAUAUCAUUGACUUGAUGCAUCAUCGACCCAAACUCAGAUUAUUAAGAGUGACUUUGAAACAAAUAAAGUAUCUUUUCUUUGUCAUGCUCCUCAAAUAAACCCUUUGAACUUUGGUAUUUUCAUGAGGUCCCAAACUUGUCUGUCGACAGAACUUUCUGUAUGCCUUAUUUUGGCUCACAAUCAUAUCUCUUUCAUGUCUUGGCCUUUGUCUCGCUUUUUCUAAUUGAAGAAGCUGGUAGCCAGUUUUGAAAUCUUUUCUCACUUGUUUUGACACGAAAUUGACUAAAAGACAAGAAACGAGAAAAAGAAUGACAAUUUUUGUUUGGAUAACUAACUCAAGAAAGAUAAAAUAAAAAUAAAGAGAAGAAAAAAAAGAAAAUAAACGUCCCCUUUUGAAACAAAGAAAUUAAAAAUUCAUCUAAAAAUGACAGUAAACACUAAUGAUUAUGCCAUGUAUUUUGGAUUAAGCAGCUUGAUCUUUUCAUCUAAACUUUCUACCCAUUGUUUUUGAGUUAAUGGCCUUGAAACUAAGUUGCUUCCUUAGGUCAAUUGUAUUUAAGACCCCAUUCGGAUAGUGGUGCCUUGAAAGUUUUUCGCCAACAAACUUCUCUCAUUUUGUUUUCCUCAGUUCACCAUUGCCUUAUGGUAUUUGUAAGGGUUUUCCACUAAUGAGACUCUCUUAUCUUCAUUUCCCUUAACUCACAGUCAUUUUAUGGCGCCCGUGAGAGUUUUCACCGCUAAGACUCUCUCAUUUUUAUCUCUCUCAACUUACCAUAGUCUUACGGUGCCCGUGAGGGUUUUCACCAAUAAGACUCUCUCGUUUUUAUUUCUAUCCUGAUUUUUUAUGUUGAGGAAGACAAGUAGUUCCCAGAUGCAUCAUCAUAUCCCUUGCAUGCUUAGCCUUAACAAAUUUAAAGAUUGAUCUGAAGGUCUUUCUUUGGUUGUAACUUGGCUUUUGGAUAGGGUUAGAAAGAAAGGAUGGCAUAGGGCCCAAACGAUACUUGAAGUGGGGUAGGACUUACAACUUUUAGAAUCGACUCAAACAAUGAGGAUUAACUCAUGCCCCAGUUUCCUUUGACUGGGGUGACUCAAAAUUGUUUAUUUGGUUGGACCGAGCCCUAAGUAGGGCAGCCUACAUAUCUCACCCCCAAAAGAGGAGAAUCAGGUCACGCGUAGUUCUGGCGGCUCAUUCUUUUGCUUGAUUUUGAUUUCCUUUUCUUUUCUUUUAUUGACUCUUUUUUGGGGAUUUUUCUGACUCUAUUUUGCUUGACACUCUUUUUUUCUUUUUGGACACAUUUUUUCUCUUUUUUUUUAUACCUUUUGACUCUAUUUUUUUUCGUUCGACACCUUUCUUUUGGGCUUUGCUGACUCUAUCUUGAUUUCAAAAGAAGGGUAUGAAAGAAAAUAUGACUAAAUCUCAAAUGGGGUAAACAAAGGAUGACACGAUGUUUGGAUAGCAGAAUGAAAUGCCUUUGUCAAAUCAAUCCUUGAAAAUACAAGUACAUAUCAUGCAAUAUGAAAGUGAGAGAUGAAGAUCAUUUGUGAUAUUUUUUACAGCACUAAUUUUAACUGAGACUGUGCAUCGCUACUUUUUCUGCAAACUCUAUCUUUGUUGUACAUUCCUCAUGCUUUCGUGGAGCUAAUUUUUCUAUUCCUUUUGACGUAGGAUCACACAUCCACUAUUUGGCCUAAUUGAGAUAUGUCUUUCAAAUGCUGACCAAGUUAUUCUCACGAUUCUCAAAAUAAUUGCCUUAAUUUUCAAAAAAGGCUUCAACUUGAUCACCAAAUGCCCCAGCACUCUAUCUAUUUUCUCAAACGCUCUCUUUUUCUAACUUUAACCCUUUGAUUCAAUGCUCAUGCUUAAACUAGAUUUUAAGAUCUGACUGAAAAUUUCACUAGCAUGUCAUAUCACUAGAGUGAACAUAAAAUGUACUAUGUAUAGAAAACAAACAAACAACACAUAUUUAAAACACAAAGGAAAAUGGGACACUUCAUUUAGUUGAAACAAAAGAUAGAAGGGUUUGAACAUAAACGAAAAAAGGACAAAAAAAGAUAGAUCCCGAACUACAACCCUAAAAUAAUUUGGAUAACAGAAAAUAAAACAAAACAAACAACCAAACCUCUUCCUAGUAGGGAGAGGAGUGAAUUCUUAAUUGCUCAGCCUGACAUUUUAGCCAUUAGUUUGCAUAUUAGCAUGACUAGAGUUUCCCUAACUUCAAUGUUCUGCACCAUAAUUGAUCUAUCUUGAAUCAUCUUUUCAAUUUCUCUUUUCAAAUCUCAACAAUCUUUAAUAUUAUGACCCUGAGCAUUAGAAUGAUACACACAUCAUAUAUUAGGAUCAAAACUUCUUGAACACCGGUUAAGAGUGCACCCAAGGAGAGGGGUGAUCAUACCCCAUUGUACCAAUCUCUGAAAUAAACUGGCAUACGACUCUCCAAUUGGUGUGAAGCUUUCUCUUGACUUUAGCCUCAUUUCAUCAUUUGACUUGGAUCGAAAAUCAAGCUUAGAAGGGUUUUGGUAUGUUUGUGGAUUUAGAGAAUGACUCUGAGGAGUUAGUGUGUUCCACUGUGGGUAAGAUGGGGAUUGAAUAUGAGGUUGUACGUUAUAUACUAGAUAUGGAGGUGGAGGAGCAGAGUAUAAUGGAUUUUGGGAGUGAUUCUGUGGAGCUUGGGCAUGAACUUAGGUUUGUGCCUGAGAGUGUGACGACGACGGGGUCUUCUUGACCGUUCCCUCUGUCCAACUAUAAUAGUAGAUGCAUCUUCUUCAUUUUUUGUCUCCUCAACACUUCCUGACCUAUUUUGAAUUUCUUGAGUAGUCACUUUUAAUGUUGCAAAACUAACAAUACGACCAGUCUUAAUUCUAUCCUCUAUCAUCUCUCCCAUUUUAAGGACCUCAAUAAAUGGCUUGCCUAAUAAAGGUAACAAGUGUUGAUAAUAUGUUUUAUUAUACGCUUGAAUAAACACCUCCACUAUCUUGCUUUCUUUCAUUGGCGGUUUCACCCUAGAUGCUUGUUCACGCCAUCUGAUCGCAUACUCCCUAAAACUCUCAGUAUUCUUCUUCUUCAUAUUGGUUAGAGAUUUUUCAUCAGGGAUCAAUUCCACAUUAUAUUGAAAUUGUUGCACAAAUUCAUUAGCUAAAUCAUCCCAACUAUUCCACCUAUCAAUAUCCUGAUCAACAAACCACUCUGAGGCUAGACCCGAAAGACUCUCACCAAAGUAAUCCAUAAGCAGUUCUUCUUUGCCUUCAACACCUCUUAGUUGGUUACAAUAAUGUCUCAAAUAUGCCACUGGAUCCCCGUUUCCAUCAUACUUCUCAAACUUUGGCAUCUUAAAACCAAAAGGGAGAUGAACACCUGGAAACAUGCACAGAUCUUUAUAUAAGACACUUUUGUACCCCCAGGCCCUUCGAGAUUCUUAAUAGCCAGUUCCAAACUUCUCAAUUUUCUGGUCAUUUCUUCUUGUUCUUCUUUUAUAACAGGCUUUUCGGCAUUAAGAACAAAUUCAGGCGGAUGAGUGUAGCCAUAAAGAUCAGUCGACUUAAAUGUGAGCUCGGGAGCAUAAUGUUGAUCACUUGAAAUAUUCAAUACAGGGUCGCUUUUAGAGUGGGGAAUCACAACCGUUGGAUUGACAUUAAAAGUAGGAACUUUAGGGGCUGGCACUACAAAAGCAUGAACAACAGAUGGAGACGAGUAAGUGGUAGUUUUAUGUUGAGCAGUGAGGAAAGGAAUAUUGGAAGUGCUUGGAUAGUGUUGCCCUGGAGUAGUCCCUGAUGCAUGUUGUGGCAUGUCAACAGAAAUGGAAAAUUGUGCAUGUGACACAGGAGGCAAGCUAGAAAGAUAUUCCAGAUUAUCAGUGGGAACUGGAGGAGGCGGCAACCCAUUAGCCCAAACUCGAUGUAUUUCUAUCAUUUGUUGCCUUAAUUUUUGAAUCUCUUCAUUAGCUCUAAAUUCUCAUUCUCCGAACUCCCUGUCGAAUUAGUGACAUUAAACUUGGUAUCCUUGUUGGCCAUAACUUUUUCUGUAACUUGGUGCACUAUGGAGGAUCAGCCAAAAUGCAACAAACCAACCACCAUAAACUAACUGAACAAAAGAAACAUCAAAUGUGUUAGAGUUCAAAACCUUUUUUUUAUAUUUUUUCCUUUUAGAAAAGAUCACCGAACCCAAGAAGCGCGCCUACGUAUCUCACAUCCGAGAGAGGAGAAUCAGGUGUGCGUAGUUCGUGAAGUCUUGCCAAAAUGGUCAAUUAAUUCUUUUUCCUUUCUUUUUUCUUUUUCUUGAAACUUUAAAAAGAAAAGGAACUAACAAAUUGUCAAAAGAAUUGACAAUUUAUUUUUUUUUGCAUUUUUCAUGUUUAAACUCCCUAUACAAAAUGAAAUCUAUGAUUACCAAAGAAAAAUCUUUAUGGAUUUUCGAUUUUGAAUUUCAUAUGAACAUGAAACUUGAACCUAUUAAAGAAAAAAUCUUUUUUGUAGUUUUCUUUUAAAGAUGUAUAUGAAACAUCUACUCUAAAUGAAGAGUNNNNNNNNNNNNNNNNNNNNNNNNNNNNNNNNNNNNNNNNNNNNNNNNNNNNNNNNNNNNNNNNNNNNNNNNNNNNNNNNNNNNNNNNNGUUUGUCCAGAUUGGACAAUUAAGGAUUAUAGAACAAACAAAACCUUGACUUGAGAGACACGACUAAACGAUGAAAAUAAAAUCUUUUUGGGUUUUUAAUUUGACACUUCAUACAAAAAUGACAUCAACAACUAUGAAAGAAAAAUCUUUUUGGUAUUUUCGUUAUACGAAAUGUAAAAAAUUUCUAACAUCUUUUUUUUGCAUUUUUCUUUUAUAAAAACUCCUAUGAACGAAUUUUUUUUUUUUGAAGUUUUCGAAUUGUGAAUUCAUGCUAAACGAGACAAAGAAAAAUCUUUUUGAUGUUUUUGAGAAAAUGAGUGCAAAAGGUAAAAAUAAUCUUUAUGAAUUUUUAAAUUGUGAAAAACAAAAGCCAUAAAAAACUCUAAAAACUACGAAAUUCUUUUUUUUUAUUUUCGACUCACUUGUUCUUCUAUUGUUUUCAACAAUUCUUGCCUACGCCCCUUACUUCUAACACAUGCUUUCCCCAAAUCAGUCCGUCAAAUGACCACGUUACCCUCAAAGAUGCAACAUUUAGCACAUAGGGAUGCUUUAGAUAUGAGUCUCCUACAAAGGUCCACGUGGGUCCCGCUAGGUCUCAAUAUGAUGUAGAUAAGCAUGACCUAAAAGCUGACCUACGCUGGGAUCCACUAACAAGGUUGUUCGAGGGAGAGUAUGGUCGAUAGUGGAUUGUUUUAGUUGUCCACCUACUCCAUACAACCCAACGGCUCCCCCUCCUAAAAUAAAGGUGACUCAACUAUAGGUUAUGUACACACGUGUACUAUGGACUUGUUGUAGAAAGAAAGACUCGAGUUAUGCACAUGAUGCCAGAUAUAAAGCGGUAACACAUAAAGUAAAAAAUAUAAACAAAAAGCACGUAGGCACUCAAAAAUGAUAAACAAUAACACAAAACAACACAAACAAAAUGUUUAUACCCCUAUAGUGUCAAACUAAGCCGAUACAACUUCAAAAUAAACUCGAAUUCUGAAAAUUCCCCAGCAGAGUCGCUAGAGCUGUCACACCCUUUUUUUCACCCGAAAAGAUAUCAUUUUAAAGUUUGAAAGGGUUUUUAUUGUUAAAGUGAUAAAUGAUUAAAAAUUUAUUUCGAAAAAGGACUAUUUACAUUUUUAUUCAGAUUCGCCACUUGGCACAAUCUGGUGUGCCAAGUCACCUUUGAAAAAUCCUUUUCAAAAUUAUUUGACUCUUAAAAACUGGUUUGCGAAUAGUGAUUCCGGCUAAAAAAUUCUGUUGACUGAGGGGAAGGUGUUAGGCACCCCUCGAUCCCGUGGUCGCUUGGUGGAGCGUAUCAACUAAUUUGAUAUUAUAAAAUGUACAAACCACAUAAACACACGAAACGAGCAAACAAACAAAUCAAACAAAAUUCAAAACCAAAAUAAUGUCUAAUCCAAAAUAUACAGUCCAAAAAUAGAAAAAUACAAAAACAGAAAUUUUAUUCUAGACUAAUCCUAAACUAUGCUCCACCUGACCUUUCGGGCCUUGACCAUGCACCAUCUUCGAGUACAAAUUUCUCGAGGCAUUCCCCGGAUAAAACAAUACAGAUACUUCAGGACAUUCCCUGGCCAAAUGAGUACAAUGAGUCGAAUACGAUAGAAAAAACCUUUUCAACACAUAUCUCAAACAUUCCAUCAAUCCACAAUGUCUAGAUUCGCCUACCCGAACCUACUAUUUGCCUACCCUGUUCGACCAAGCAUGAUACUAUCGCAAAAUAGACAAUUAGACACAAAAUCAACAAUAACAAUGAAUCAAAACAACUAAUUUAUUCUUCUUUUAUCAAAUUUCGAUCCCCCAAAUCCAUUAACCAAUGAUUAAUACAUGCUUUGAUUGUCAAUCAAUUUUCACUUGGGAUCCAAUAUCAACAACACACAACAAAUAUUCAAACAUACCAAACAAAUCAUUCACAUUCACGUAAAAAUUAAAGGAGAGAAGAUAGAAUUGGACCUAAAAAAAAGCUUUCGAUUAACUGAUCUUUCCGAAUAGAAACACGUCCAACAGAACCUCAACGUCGAACCUCCAUUAUGAACCAUAAUCAUCAACCUUCAACCCUUUUUGUUCUAUUUUCGCCAUCACAGACUAGAUUUGAACAUCACAGGACCCGAACCCACUUUCCCGAUCAUGUAUAUGCGUGUUUAGUACUGUUGGUCAACCUACAAGCUACAUUAAGCUUUGACAGUGACUGGAAGACGACGGGGAUGAUGUUUCAGACAAGAAUGGUGAGGAAAAAGUGGAUUCCAGAAAUAAACUUGCUGGAAUAGUACAAAACAAUGGUCGUUCUCACUGGUUUUCCUGAUUUGCUCCCCCUUUUUCACUGUUUGCUCUCAAUCCCUCGAUAUUUCUCUCAUGUGAACGUGUCUUUACUAUGAGAAGAAAAGAAAGAAAAUAUUAAAUCCUUAAAAAUGAAGAGCUCCCUUUUUGGACCCCUCUCUCGUCUCCCUACUCUCUACUCGUUCUCCUCUCUUCUCGAACUCUACUAUAUGUAUGUGUGAAGAGCGUGUGCAGCUCUGACUAUUGUAUGAGGUUUUAUGUGUGAUGUGAAUAUGGUGAGGUCCUGAUGAAGAUGAUGAUAAAAGAAAAAGGGAAGAAACUGGGAAUUUCGUCUAUGUGGAGUGUAUAUGUGAGGGAUGAAUGUGAGAAUGUGAUUAUGAUGUGGGUCCCCUAAUUUUUUUGUUGUGCUCCAUAUUUCUGGCGAGUGGAGUGUGUAUAUUUUUCUAAGUGUGGUCCCUCCUUCUAUUUUGAUUAUUUGUAUUAUAUGCCUACUCCCUUUUUUUUUGCUUUGUUUCUAAGAAAGAUAAGGAAGAGGGGGGUCAUGUGGGUAGGUGAAUAGGGGUAUGGGGUGGGGUAGGUUAUUAGGAUGAGGUGUAAAGUUGGUUAGGAUAGGGUUGUUAUUUUUAUAUUUUUGUGGAAUAUAAUCACACGGGUGAAGGCAUACACUAAGAUGAGGGUAAAAUAGUAAGAAUACUUUCGGAGAGGGAUAAAAUUAUGUGUCUACAAGAAUUGUCAGUUUUUCAUCCGGUAUUCCACAUAUCUAUGCUUAGGAAGUGUAUUGGUGAUUCUGUUGUUGUAGAUCCUUCGGAGAGCCUAGAUGUCCAGGAAAGUCUUUCAUAUGAUGAGGUUCCAGUUGAGAUUCUAGACCACCAGAUUCAUAGACUAAGGAACAAAGAAGUUCCCUUGGUUAAGGUUUUAUGGCGAAAUCAGUCAGUUGAGGGCGCUACUUGGGAAGCAAAAGCUGACAUACGAUCCAAGUACCUGCACCUUUUCUCCACCACUUCAGGGCAAGCCGAAGGUUCUAUUCUUCCUUAAUUCAGCCCUUUCUUAUUCAUGGUUCAGUGUAUAGCUAUUCUUAUCAUGAGUUCAUGUAUUCUUUGAAGUACUCAAAGUUGAGAGUGAAGUAGAGUCAGUUUAGCAAGUUAUUUCAGCCGUGUAUCCUCAGUUUUCUCUAUGUUCUUAGCCUAUCGAGAGACAUUCGAGAACGAAUGUUCCCAAGGGGGAGAUAUUGUAAGACCCCGUGAAGUUCCCUCAUCGUUAAGGCUUUUGAAAUGAAUUAAAAGAAGCCUUACACUUAGAAUUUUUGCUAAGUGUUCCAACACUUAGUUUAUUUUUGAGCCUUCAACUUUGAGGAAUUAUUUCAUGACCCUCUCGACAUCCAUUUUUUUAUUUUCAAGUUGCGUUGUGAUGGGGCAAGUCAAUAGAACAUCUCGGGUGAGUUUUGGAAUUUUUGGACCUCAUUUAGGGCGUGUUUGGAUUUCGAACCAGUGAGCCUCCAUGAUAGCGGGUCGCCGCCCUGCUCUCUGCCCCACUCUAAGGGAGGUGCCGCCCUAGGUUCUCCCAGGGCCUAAGCAAGGCGCCGCCCUAGUAUCCCUGUGGUCCAAUAAUUUCAGUCUUAUUCCGUUCUUUAACACAAGAUUUGGGUUCUAAUUGCCAAAUAUUGAAAUACUCAUCAGUUUUCUCCAGAACCCAACACACUGCCUUCCAACCAAAAAUCAAGGUCUAUCAAAAUUCACUCGUUAAAUUUCAAAAGUGAUUCAAGAAUCGGAAUCCUCAGAUCGAGAUCUUUAAGAAGCACCUAAUAAUUUCAGAAUAGAGUUCCGGAAUCAAGAGUUCAUCCAAAUUCAUAAAUUUGAGGUAUGUGGGGUUUGAACAAGAACAAUCCUUCCGUUCUUGUGUCCAAAAGUUGAUUUUAUUUAAGAUUUUAUGAUUUACAGAUGGAGUUAUUUCCAAAUUAUCUUGUUUGAGGAUUAUGAGUUUAUGAGUUAUUCAAGUUGUGUCUUGAUAUUUCUACCUAUUAUGUUUUGAAUUGAGAGUUUAUGUUGUAAGUUGUACCCUUUCUUUACGAAUUAAUAUUGUUGAAUAAUUUCAAGAAUGAUAUUGAGCAUGAAUUAUUAUUUUGAAUUGACACGAGUCAAGUAUUGAAUUUUGAAUCCAAAGAUUUAGUAUUGAAAUUUUGAAAAUAUAUUCUUGAAAGUUUUGAACUAUUAUAGUCAUAUCAAGAAUGAGUUUGGAUUUUUAUGAUGUCAUGAUUUUAAGCUUUCCUCUAGCGGAUUACUUACCAAGAUUUGAGUUAAGAUUGAUGUUUUGAUAUGGAGUUAAAAUAGGAAUCCACAAAUUUCGUAUGAUUUAAACUAAGAGAAAUAUGUCUUGGUCUGCAUUAUAGACCCUUGAGUUAUCACCGAGUUGGGUAUGAUUCCGAGGUCUCAUAUCCCAGAACUACGUGCCACCAUAGGAUUGAGAUUUAUGGGUCUGAGGCCGAGAUAGUAAUCACUAGGUUGAGGUUAUACUCCUUGGCAAGAGUAUGAAGUCUCUCUCCAACGUGAGGUUUCUUCCUUAGGAGGACAAAACGUUAGACUCCAUGUGACUCACAUGGUUUAUAUCGGUUAGAAGAAACUCCCAAAGCAUUCCCUUACUCUAACUAAGUCAAAAGUAUAUAUGUUGAAAGUUUUGUUUUGACAUUUCCAAGUUCCCAAUCCUAAAGUUAUAAAGUCUUAAGGUCUCUAAGUUCCAAAGAAAUUCCUUAUUUUCAAAAGAUUAAGGUGUAAGUCUUGAAAGUUGUUGUUUUAUUAUUCUACCUAGAUUUAUCAGUUGAGAAUAAAGAAUAUAAAUUUAGACAAAAAGUAUGAUAACUCACGUGAUUUAUAUUACAUGUCUCCUAUUCAUGAUUUAUGAGAGUUUUAAUCAAGCUAUGUGAGUCAUUUACAACAGCAUGCAUGUUUUCUAUAAAGAUUUACGAUAUCGUUUAUUUAAAUACAUACACCCCCGUAUAUUCAGUACAUACUCAUAGUACUGAUCACAUACUUGUCUGUGUGCUACAUUUCCUCAUAAUGUAGGUUCAGGUGCCCAGUCCCAGCAGCGUCAGUGAACCUGAGCAUCUUUGCCUACAUUCCUGCCGUGGUGAGUCCUCAUGGUUCGAGGACCUAUGUUUCAGUCAUUCUGUAUUAUCAGCUCUUGUUUUAUGUCCUUUCAUUUGAGUAUGAGUUAGUUGGGGAUCUGUCCCAAUGGAUCUCUAACUGUUGAGUAAUAGAGGCUUUGUCAGACAAAAUUAUUAGUUGUAUUUGGACUUUUCAGUAUUUGAUACUCGAACUAUGUUUUCUAGCUAAUUCAGCUCUAAUUUGAUAUAUAUUGUAGUAUCAUGCUUGAUUUAAUAUCCUUCGUAAGUAGUAUAGAUAGUAGAAGGCUCAAAGGGUUAGCUUAGGGCUACUCGCAGCCUUAAGCACCGUGUGACGUUUCGGGGUGAGUUUUCGGGGCGUAAUAGUAUUCAACUUUGCUUAGAUAUAGUGGAGCUUAGAAAUCCUAAAAAUAGGUCGUGAUUUUUCUUCCUUGAGCAAGGAAUUUUCACAUAAAAUUAUUGUGUCUACUAUUUACUCUUUCCUUGCACUUUAUUAUUAAAUUUCUCCUGGUUCCUGCUAUUUAUGUCUGUCUGGGAACAAGUCCCAAGUUGAGGAGCAACCUAGUGCAGUUAAGUUACCACUUACCUUUCAUUAAAUUGUAACUGUAAUUAUAUUGUAUCAUAUUUAACUAAUCUAUUUGCAUCAUUAGUUAGUUUUAACUUUUUGUUAGUCAUUAAUCGACUGUUAAUGACAAUUAGGUAAUUACGAUUGUUUCAGGUGAUGCCAAGCUGGAUAUAUAUAUAUAUUAUAUAUAUAUAAUAUAUAUAUAUAUGUAUAUACUCAUCAACGAAAGGAAGAGUGUGAGUUCUCUUUUUUGCAAUUUCAAAACACACAUUCUAUCUGUUUUCCCUCUUUCACUCCCAGUUAUGGCUUUCAGUAAUUUCGUGUUAGAUUGAGCUCUCACCUUGAUCUCAUGGAUUUAUUAAUAAGACUUGUUUCACCAACCGAAGCUUAUUUAUCUAAAAACGUUCAUGAAAACACUAUCUUUAUACUUUAUUUUACGCUUUAUAUGAUUGUCCCUUAGUUUAUGUCCAACUAAUAAAUCCAGAAAAAUUAUUCAGAAUUUUAUGUUUUGAUGGUAAAACAGUUUCGACAUACUAAAAAUAUUUUAGUUUCUUCGAUACCAAAUAAAAUUCUCCAACUAAAUAGGCACGACUGUCUUGUGACCACAAAUCCAACAAACAGUACUGAUGCUGACGUAUCAUAAAGGGUAAUGCAGAAAAUUAAAAAAUUACUAGAAACUUAUGUUGACGAAGACUUCAUAUAUAUAGAAAAGAACAACAGAAAACUACAGGUCAUAACGGUGCAGAAUACAUGAAUUACUAGGAAUUUUAGAGUUACGUUGACGAAGACUUAUUCUUGUCUCAGCUAUCACUUUCUCCUAGUGUGUUAUAAGGUACUUAUAAAUUCGUCUCGGUGGAAUUGACGGGUUCAAAUCAGAUCCCCAUACUCGGUGGAAUUGACGGGUUCAAAUCAGAUCCCCAUACUUUUUUCAUCCCAAUUUACAUGAAUGUGAUUGACUGAGCAUAGAGUUUAAAUAAAAUAAAAAACUUUUAAAACGUCUAGUCUAAAAUAAGCCAAGAAAACUUUUGUGGCCGUAAAUCAUCUCAUUAGGAAUAAAAUGAGAAAUUUUAAAUUACAUUAUCACUAAAAAUAGAAAAUAUCAUUUUUUUGAGAAAAAUUCUGAAAUGACUACAUACUAAAAAUCAGUUAUUGAUUCCACAUGCAUCUUGUCUAGAGGCGAAGCUUUUGCAAUUAGCUAUAAUAUGUGUACAAGUCCUAAUCAUAAAGUAGUAUCUUUUGGGUUAUAUGUGUACGAGUCCUAAUCAUAAAGUAAUAUCUUUUGGGUUAUUUAGUCUAAUUUGACGACACAAACAUGUAAUUAGCAGAAUAUAGUGACAUGAGAACAUACUCUUUUUAUCUGUUUACUGAAUGAUUUACGAACUUCACCUGUGGCUUGGAGACACAUACAUACACACUAAAAAAGAAUAUGAGAGCUUUAGUUAGUGAUGAAAACUCGAAUGAUGUGGGUGACAUAUGGUCAAUCUCCAUAUAAGCUCAUGAGCCCAAUUAUUGAUAGCAGAACCAAUAAUUCAACAAGACGAGUAUGGAGAGGGCGAAAUAAUGGUGCGAGGUCCCAAUUAGUGCCUUUGCCUGUCUAUGAGGACUGAUUACUAUCCUUAUCGUAAUUUUGGAGACACAUAUAACAAAAAUCAGUGGCCUAUUGUGAUCGUAAAUACUUGGUUGAUGUGGGUGUCGCACACAGUUAAUCUCUUGAUAAAUUCAUGAAGUAAUGGGCAUGUGGAACUUCGUUGGAUGGAUUUAUGAAGUCCCACAUUGAUAACUAAAAAAACAAGGAGUUACAAGUCAGUUGUAGAGAUACUUUUAAUGGUUUGAAACCUUUUGAAAAGCUCAUGUGGAUUUAAUCCGACGAUGUCCCAUUAUGUUAAUUACAGUAUAUUUGGACAAGGUUAGCCCCACAAUUUGUACUUUUUGUUAUUCGUCGAGUAGUUGACUACUUAAUGCUAUGUAUUCAAUAUCAGGAAAAAAAUGGAUACACAUUAGUACAGUUAUACAAAAGACUGAAAGAACAAUAUGCUGUACUGACUUAGAACUCGAUCAUUCGCUAUAAAUUGAUGGUAAAAUCAACUACUGUUAGUACGUAACGAAACACAUCUUUACAUGAACCAAAAAUCACUUUUACUUUUAAGUCCAAAAAUCAUAUUUUCUUUAAGAAUAAUGGACACUGCCAUUUUUCACUUGGUUUGCUCCUAUAUCCUCCUCUCCUCCUCCAUACUCUUUCAUUAUGCUCACCUAAUUUCAUCUUCAAAAAUUUUUGGAAAUACUACGGAUCAAUUAGCAUUGCUUUCCUUCAAGAAAGGAAUUAUCUCCGACCCACUAAGCAUUACAUCUUCAUGGAACGAAUCUACCCAUUUCUGCAAUUGGAUUGGAAUAACUUGUGGUCGCAGGCAUGACCAGCGUGUCAUCACGAUGGACCUACGGUCUAGCAGAUUGGUGGGUACAUUGUCCCCAGCAGUAGGGAAUCUAAGUUUUCUGCGCCAACUCAGGCUUGACAACAACAGUUUUACCGGACAAAUCCCCCAAGAGAUUGGCAAACUAUCAAGAUUGCAAACAUUAGUUCUCAGAAAUAACUCAUUUUCUGGUGAAAUACCGAGGAACAUUUCACGUUGCUCAAAAUUGAUCAUGCUUCAUUUGGGUAGGAAUAAACUAAAGGGCAACAUUCCUGUGGAGUUUGCAUCGUUGAAUAAGCUUGAGGAGAUGCACGUUUUCUUCAACAAUUUGUCCGGAGAGAUCCCAUCUUGUUUUGGCAACUUUUCUUCGAUUCGAGUGAUCAGCCUACUAGCAAAUAAUUUCCAUGGAACCAUGCCAGAUUUUCUUGGAAAUCUAGGAAAUUUACAGAUUCUUGAACUUGCCAAAAAUAAUCUCUCUCGAGCCAUCCCUGCAUUAGUUUUCAAUUUGUCAUCAUUGCGCAAUCUUGAGUUAUCACUUAAUCAACUCGAGGGACCCAUUCCAUCAAGCAUGGGCUUCACACUUCCAAAACUAGAGGUUUUUAAUCUGGGGGCAAAUCAACUAACUGGACUGCUUCCUGCAUCAGUAUCAAACCUGACAAAUCUUAAACUUUUUGCUGUUGACACCAACAAUUUCAGUGGAGAGGUCCCUAGCUUUGGAAGCUCCAAAAAUUUGUAUUGGCUAGGACUUAGUGAAAAUCGUCUUGGAAAAGGCAAGCUAGAUGGCUUGCUUUUCAUGUCUUUCUUGCAAAAUUGUUCCGCCCUGCAAAUUCUCCAGAUCGAUGACAAUCAAUUUGGAGGAGUUAUUCCGCGAUACUUUGGCAAUAUGUCCAGCCUUUUGUACUUAACCAUGUCAAGAAAUCUUAUCCAUGGAAUCAUUCCAGUAGAGAUAUCGCAACUUCACAGCUUGCAGGAACUCUCUUUGCAGCAAAAUCAUCUCACCGGGGAAAUUCCUGAUUCUAUUGGAGAAUUGGAGCUGCUAAAUGAGUUGCACCUCAGUGACAACCAAUUGUCAGGGAAGAUCCCAUCUUGCAUUGGGAAUUUGACAAUUCUGUCUAAACUCAGCCUUGGGGCAAAUAAUUUGCAUGGUUCUAUACCAUCCAGUCUCGGAAAGAUCAAGUUUCUGUCCCUCCUGGCAGGAAUCAUCUUAGCGGCGAAAUACCAAAAGAGAUUUUGCAGCUCCCAGAGGCACUUCUACACCUAGACUUAUCAAGAAACCACAUCACGGGUUCACUGGCGGGGUCUGUAAACGGCACUAUUCGCUUGAAAAACUUGGUCUAUUUGCGCCUCUCCAACAACAACUUAUCUGGCGAAAUACCAAGCAGCUUCAAAAUAUUGACAAGCUUAACAGAGCUCUAUGUCGAUAAUAAUUAUCUCCAAGGAGCUAUCCCUCCAUCCUUAAGUUCUUUGACAAGUCUUGAAUUCAUUGAUCUCUCACACAACAAAUUUGUGAGUAAGAUACCUGACUUUUUUGCUAGUCUCAGAUCCUUGAAGUACUUGAAUUUGUCCUACAAUGAUUUGGAGGGCGAGUUACCAUCAGAUGGAGUUUUCAGAAACAAAAGUAGAUUCUCAGUUACUGGGAAUAAUAAGCUUUGCGGAGGCAUUCCAGAGUUCAAGCUACCAAAAUGCCCAAAAAAGGAUCCAAGUUCUGGAAAAUCAUCUCGAAUGAUGAUUUUGAUCAUAGCAUUAGUUGUUGGAGGCAUCGUGGGCAUCACAGCAGUGGCAAUCCUUCUUUGGCGGUAUAAUAUAAAAAGAAAGCAGAGGGUUGCUGAUAAUCAGGGUUCGACGGUUGUGGAUGCAGUAAUCCCCAGAGUGACUUACCAAGGCCUUCAGAAAGCAACGAAUGGCUUCUCUCUGGAGAAUUUGAUUGGUUGGGGGAACUUUAGCUCUGUAUACAAAGGCAUUUUAGAUGAAUCAGUUGAUGGAAUUAAGCAGAUUGCUGUAAAGGUACUGAAACUUCAAAUGAAAGGAGCUAGCAAGUCCUUUGUUGCUGAGUGUGAAGCACUGAGGCAUAUCAGACAUCGAAACUUGGUGAAGCUUUUAACUUGUUGUUCAAGUAUUGAUCACCAAGGUCAUGAUUUUAAGGCCAUAAUUUAUGAGCUCAUGAUCAAUGGUAAUCUGCACAAUUGGUUGCACCAAAGUUGUUGGAAGAAUAGUACUACGGAUGAGGAGAAUCAUAAGCAGCCAAGAAGUAAUUUAAACAUUAAACAAAGGCUGGCUAUUGUGAUAGAUGUGGCCACUGCAUUGGAUUAUCUACACAAUCAAUCUGGAAUGCCAUUAAUACAUUGCGAUCUCAAACCGAGUAACGUGCUUUUGAAUGAAGAAUUUGUUGCUCAUUUAGGUGACUUUGGAUUGGCAAGAUUUACGCAAGCUGAUGCCGCCACACAUGUACAGAGCAGCUCUAGCACAGUAAAAGGGACGCUAGGAUAUAUACCGCCGGGUAAGUAUUCCCUCUGGCUGCCCAAAGCCUUCUGCACUUCUUAAUGCUUAUUUUUUUUUUUUUAUGAGAUUGACUUUUAACAGUUCACGAUAUACUCAAUAUUUAUACUAUCAGGUCACUUAAUCAUAGGUAAUUUUAUUCAAUAUUUCUAGUUCAACUUAAUUUGUACUUUUCUUUUUAAUCUCUAUUUAAAAAGAAUGAUCACUUUUUAUAUUUACUAACUCUUUAAGCACGAGAUGCAGAUUAAGAAUAUUUCAACACAUUAUAAAGAGUUUUCUUUAAGUUUAAAAUUCACAAUAUUGGAAAAUUGUCCUUGUUUUUUAAACUCGAUGUUUAUUCAAACUAAGACACACCGGAAGGAAAAUACGAAAUAACAUUGAUUAAAUAACCUAGAAUAAAUGGUGAGUAACAUGUUAUAUUACAUUGAUGAUAUAUAUAACUUAUUAAAUUCAUUUUUCAGAUAAGUUUGCGGAUCUUAUAUACCAAGAUUUUCCUUUUUUUUUUUUGUAAUAAAAAUUAAUUAAUAUAUACGUACCAUGCAGAAUAUGCGGCAGGGAGUAAGUUGUCAACCUAUGGUGACAUGUACAGUUAUGGAAUUCUAGUGUUGGAAACAUUUACAGGAAAGAGCCCCACAGAUGAAAUAUUCAAGGAUGGCCUAAACCUUCAUGAUUUUGUGAAGAUGGCCAUACCUGAACAAGUAUUGAAUGUUUGUGAUCCUACACUAGUUGACCGUUGCCUUGAAAAUAAAAAUGUUAUAAGGACGGAGAAGUGCCUGUGUUCAGUGUUUAGAAUCGGGAUUGCUUGCUCUAUGGAGUCGGCAGAAGCACGCAUGGACAUUGCACAUGUCCUUAAGGAGCUGAAGUUCAUUAGAGAUGAUCUCUAAUCACAAGCGCAUUUAAGAUUUAAAAUUUAUAUGUUGCUUUAGUGAUCUCAAUUAUAUUAAUAUGCAAUAAUUAUAGAGUAAUCCCCAGAGUGACUUACCAACGCCUUCAGAAAGCAACGAAUGGCUUCUCUCUGGAGAAUUCGAUUGGUUGGGGGAACUUUAGCUCUGUAUACAAAGGCAUUUUAGAUGAAUCAGUUGAUGGAAUUAAGCAGAUUGCUGUAAAGGUACUGAAACUUCAAAUGAAAGGAGCUAGCAAGUCCUUUGUUGCUGAGUGUGAAGCACUGAGGCAUAUCAGACAUCGAAACUUGGUGAAGCUUUUAACUUGUUGUUCAAGUAUUGAUCACCAAGGUCAUGAUUUUAAGGCCAUAAUUUAUGAGCUCAUGAUCAAUGGUAAUCUGCACAAUUGGUUGCACCAAAGUUGUUGGAAGAAUAGUACUACGGAUGAGGAGAAUCAUAAGCAGCCAAGAAGUAAUUUAAACAUUAAACAAAGGCUGGCUAUUGUGAUAGAUGUGGCCACUGCAUUGGAUUAUCUACACAAUCAAUCUGGAAUGCCAUUAAUACAUUGCGAUCUCAAACCGAGUAACGUGCUUUUGAAUGAAGAAUUUGUUGCUCAUUUAGGUGACUUUGGAUUGGCAAGAUUUACGCAAGCUGAUGCCGCCACACAUGUACAGAGCAGCUCUAGCACAGUAAAAGGGACGCUAGGAUAUAUACCGCCGGGUAAGUAUUCCCUCUGGCUGCCCAAAGCCUUCUGCACUUCUUAAUGCUUAUUUUUUUUUUUUUAUGAGAUUGACUUUUAACAGUUCACGAUAUACUCAAUAUUUAUACUAUCAGGUCACUUAAUCAUAGGUAAUUUUAUUCAAUAUUUCUAGUUCAACUUAAUUUGUACUUUUCUUUUUAAUCUCUAUUUAAAAAGAAUGAUCACUUUUUAUAUUUACUAACUCUUUAAGCACGAGAUGCAGAUUAAGAAUAUUUCAACACAUUAUAAAGAGUUUUCUUUAAGUUUAAAAUUCACAAUAUUGGAAAAUUGUCCUUGUUUUUUAAACUCGAUGUUUAUUCAAACUAAGACACACCGGAAGGAAAAUACGAAAUAACAUUGAUUAAAUAACCUAGAAUAAAUGGUGAGUAACAUGUUAUAUUACAUUGAUGAUAUAUAUAACUUAUUAAAUUCAUUUUUCAGAUAAGUUUGCGGAUCUUAUAUACCAAGAUUUUCCUUUUUUUUUUUUGUAAUAAAAAUUAAUUAAUAUAUACGUACCAUGCAGAAUAUGCGGCAGGGAGUAAGUUGUCAACCUAUGGUGACAUGUACAGUUAUGGAAUUCUAGUGUUGGAAACAUUUACAGGAAAGAGCCCCACAGAUGAAAUAUUCAAGGAUGGCCUAAACCUUCAUGAUUUUGUGAAGAUGGCCAUACCUGAACAAGUAUUGAAUGUUUGUGAUCCUACACUAGUUGACCGUUGCCUUGAAAAUAAAAAUGUUAUAAGGACGGAGAAGUGCCUGUGUUCAGUGUUUAGAAUCGGGAUUGCUUGCUCUAUGGAGUCGGCAGAAGCACGCAUGGACAUUGCACAUGUCCUUAAGGAGCUGAAGUUCAUUAGAGAUGAUCUCUAAUCACAAGCGCAUUUAAGAUUUAAAAUUUAUAUGUUGCUUUAGUGAUCUCAAUUAUAUUAAUAUGCAAUAAUUAUAGUUGAUUUCACUGUUAUAAAUUUAUAUAGUAUAUUGUAUGAAUUGCUUGAUAGAAGUAUAAGAUUUAUGCAAAAAUUAGUGAAUACUAUACUCUACAUUCGCCACUGCCUCUCUCUUGGCGAAACUCAAGCUACAAAAUCUUCAACGUUAAUUAGGCUACUUCAUUAUGUUCUAAUUUUUAUUUUUCUUGUCUCUAUAUUUACCACUAUCUAUUUUAAUAAAUAUCAGAAGAAAAUAUGAUAUGUGUGACCUUUGGAAGUAUCUAACAUUGACCACAUGUGAAAUUUAUAAAUUCUUUCUGAAAGAAUCAAAUUCUGACCGAAUGAUUUCAAAAUCUAUUGUACGUUACCUUGAGUAAUUUUAUUUCCUUACGUUGCUAAACAAAAUGAAUGGAGAUCUCUAGCUAUUUGGUUGAAAUUUCUACGCCAUAAAAGGUAUUUUUACAAGAAUUGGUCUUAACGCCAAACAAUUAACCCAACAUCACUAAAUUAAAAAGGUUUACACCUUCUCAUAAAUCUAAAUUGCGUUCAAAGUAAGGUAACCGCAUAACUUGUCCACCCAAAAACGAAUCUUUUCCUGUAAAGGAUGAUGAUGUGAGUGAAUAUAUUAUAACAUAAGAAUUUUUUAUUUAUCAGGUUACUUUUUCAUACUAUCGCAGAUAACCUGUCAAUUUUUCAAGAUUACAUAAUUUGUAAAGCAUAAUUUAUAUUGUCUUCAGAAUUGCUCAGUUACUGUUAGGGGCGCAGAAAAUCAGCAAAAGAGACCUAAGUACUUUUUAAAGUCACAAAAAUAAAUGUCAAAAAAUCCCCCAAAGCGCAUUGCGCACCACAAUUAGGGAAUCGUGCUUGUUUGUUAGAAAUAUCGUUUAACUGAAUUUGUAUGAGUUCAAUGACAUGCUUCUUAGUUUAACUUGUUAGAUUUGAUUAUUCGCAGUUAAAUAUUAUGAAACCGAUUAAUAAAAGACGAGCUAAAGAUAAUAAAAUAAAUAAAAGUCAUAUGAAGCAUAAGAACUUGAUAAUAUAUUGUAUGAGAAUUUUGGCUUUCUAUUCGAGGAUGAUUCAAUAAAUAAAUAAAGGCAAAAGCUUAAAGAAAAAUUAGAGCACAAGAAUAUAAAUAUAUUGAUGUUGUAUUCCUCGGAAUCAGAAGUCUGUAAGUAACAGAAAUAGUUUAUUUAUAGGAUACAAAAUGAGGCAUUAGCCAAUUGGGAGACUCCACUCAAACUCUAAAGUACCUCGACCAAUGAUUACUGACCACAUGGAAAAACCAUUAGUGGUAUCAGCUAAUAUUCCUCUAUUGCAUUUAAACUAUUUGUAUGAUUAUAUCUGGUGUAUCUGUCUUUUUUAUCCUUUUAUCCAUGUCAUCGGACACUAGUCCUUGCCUUGUUCAUGGGGACCGACGAGCUCUUGACUUGUCCCCAAUAAUAAUCAUUCUCAUAUCACCGAAAUCUCUUCAAGAAAAUUUCACUAGAACCUAUCCUAAUCCAGCUUUGAUCGGUAAGACAAAUUAUGCAACAGAUAAGCAAUGCAAAUUAGGCAAGAAAAUAAGUAAAUAUGAGAUUCCAGACAUCAAAAAUUUGUUGAACUCUACAAGAUGAGCCCAAUCAUGCUAGGAUUUUUGGAGGCUACUCUACCCUAAACCCUAGAUUGAAAGCUACUCUAUCUAAAUCCUAAAUUACGCCUAUUAAAGGGUAGCAUGUUUCUGUUAUUUUGUACGUUUUCGGGUACAAAAAUUUUUAUAUAUACAACAAUAACUUCAAUACAAAUUCAAUUCUAAGACAAGAACACUUAUGAAGUUCCUUAACACCUUCAACACAAGAUUAUGAAUAAUCUAUCCAAGAAGUAUGUUAUAAUUCAGAAAUGAGAUGAAACAGAAUUUUUAAGGCCAAGUCCCUCGACUUCACGGAGUGUCCUUAAGGAAUAAUUUCCCUAACUGUACCCGAGGUUAUGGAAUCUUCCUCCCAGGAUAAAAUGGCCUUCAAUCCAAAUAAUAGCGAUACCUCAUAUUGUUGGAUUCGUCGAACUCACUCAACAUCUUAAUGAUCACACAGAGUUUUUGUAUAGAAGAAGAGUGUUUUUGCUGUCAAAAUUAUAUCUAUACCUGAGGAAUAUAUCAAGUAUUUAUAGCCUUAAAUGUGUCCUUUAAAAAAGGAUGCAUUGGUUCAGUAGAAAGGCACCUAUUCAGUAGCAGUCACGUCCCUGCGCCCAGUCUGUGCUGGACCUGCACCUGAUCUAUGGCCGCAGGUGACAUUUUCCAAAUUCCAGUAGCUUCUGCGCUAUAUCUGCACCACAAGUUGCGUACCUGUGAUGUGUCUGCGCCCGCAGGUCAUCCUACAAUGCAAAAUAGUGUGCCUUUUCCCUCAAAGGGUCGCAUCCCUUCGUGAUACAUUGUGUAUGCGUUUGCAUGGCAUCACAAUUGUGCCCGCACUUAAAUAAAUAACACAAGUUUCAAAUAAAAUUUGUCUAAAAAGAUAGAUUUCAUCGAUUGAUCCAAAUUCGAAGUCGAAGCCGAGCCGAGCGAGCGACGACAACGGCGUGAGGCACCACCUUGUUCUUGCCUCACUAUCCAUGUAGAGUUAGUGUUUCUUAUUAAAAACACUCCAAAGUUCCCUUCUCCCACCAAUGUGGGAGAAUUAGUGAACUUCUCCAUUUGAGAGUACACUUUCUAAUUUGGUGUCUCUCUUUCUCUCCACUAUUUUCUCUCCAUUUUUUAUUCACAUAUACACUUUGAACCCAACAAUCCCCCACAUGAAUGAGGAAUGGAUAUCUUUUGAAGAACGAUACAGCAAGGACUAAUUGCAUCUGGAUAAGUAGAUUUCCUUUUGAACUUUCUGUAGUAAACAUGUAUCGAAUGUACUCGGUCAAUCGGUAGAUUUGAUAUCUUUGAACUGACGAACUUUAAUGUAUACCUAGACAAUACAUGUCAUACAACCAGCCUUUCACUUUUUAUGGUUCUCAUAAUUUUGUUCUUUUCAGCCAUGAACACGUUUCGGUUUCAUGAGAGCUUAGAGAAUAGGCCUUUACUAACAUUCUCCUUGAAGCGGCUUCCACUUCGCCCUCACAUAGAUGAUUUCUAAACAUUCAAUCCUGUAAAGUAAACUAUUUGGUCAAAUCUGCCAAAUUUAGAUAAUCAUUAAAAGACUUUUCACCUUAAGUCUUAUCUUUGUUUACAAAACAUUGUCUACAUCAUGAGAAUGGGUUGGGUAAUUGACAAUGUUGAACCUGUCAGACACAAAUUUGUUCGAUCUCUUUGAACCUAGCUCUUGGGAUCUCCAGUCUUCUAGGUAGAGUUACCGCCAUGUUAACUUGUUCUAGGCCUUAAACCCAUUCCCUUGGAUGUCCUUUCCACUCCUUCUCUAGAUAGGCCUUUUGUAAGUGGAUCCGACACAUUAUCCUUUUACUUUAUGUAGUCAAUAGUGAUAAUUCUACUAGAGAGAAGUUCUCUAACGGUAUUAUACCUUCGUCGUAUGUGAUGAUAUUUACCGUUGUACAUCAUGCUCCAUGUCCUACCUAUUGCUGCUUGGCUAUCACAGUGUAUACAUACUGGUGUCACUGGUUUGAGACAAUAAGGAAUAUCUUCCAAGAAAUUCCUGAGUCAUUCUUCUUCUUCACCAGCUUUAUGCAAUGCGAUAAAUUCAGAUUCCAUUAUAGAGAGAGCAAUACAUGUCUGUUUGGAUGAUUUCUAAGAAACCGUUCCUCCACCGAUAGUAAAUACAUAUCCACUUAUGGAUUUUACUUCAUUCGAUCCGGUGAUCCAAUUUGCAUCACUAUAUCCUUCAAGUACCACGAGGUAUUUAUUAUAAUGCAAAGCAUAGUCUUGAGUGUAUUUAAGAUACGCUAAAACUUUUUGCAUUGCCAUCCAAUAAGUUUUGUUGGAAUUACUCGUGUAUCGACUCAACUUAAUAAUAGCGCAUGCUAUGUCUGGUCGUGUACAGUUCAUUAUAUACAUUAAACAUCCCAAUACUCUUGCGUACUCCAAUUGUCAGUCACUUUUACCUUCAUUCUUUCGAAGUACAAAGCUCACAUCCAACGGAGUCUUGGUAAUACCAAAUUCCAUAUACUUGAAUUUGUCAAGUACCUUUUUGAUAUGAUGAGACUGUGACAAUGCCAAACCUUAUGGAGUUCUAUGUAUUCUUAUUCCUAAGAUCACAUCCGCAAUUCCAAGGUCUUUCAUGUCAAACUUACUCUCAAGCAUUUGUUUCAUUGCAUUUAUGUCAGAAAUGUCACUACUGAUGAUCAACAUAUCAUCCAAAUGACUUGGUGAUUUGGAGUGUCUUUAAUGUAAGCACAUUUAUUGUAACGACCCGCAAAUUUGGGCUAGAACGUAAAUCGUCUUUCCUACGCGUAGAUAUUCCAAAAGUCAUAACUCCAAUGAAAAUAUAGUGUGUUAAUCAUCUAUGUAGUGUGUGAAUCUAGUUGGGCAUGAGUCGAUAUCAUAAAGUUCCCUUAACUCAAGGACAAGUUGAAAGUUUUUCUAUCGUUCAAGUUUUAGUGAGCGUCAAAACUUGGAUCAACUUCAAUCGACUAUUUCAAGUUGGGUUUCCUUCCUUUCCAUUUUUCAUAAGGAAUUGAUUAUGUCUUACUAUGGGGAACUCGAUUGAGUAUACGAUUGGCUGUAAGGAUAGCCUCUCUCCACAAGUUUUGCGGUAAACCAAAACUUAUCAGUAAGAUAUUCAUAAUUUCCUUCAAAGUUUAAUUUUUUCUUUCCGCAAUUCCAUUAGAUUAAGGUGAAUACGAGGCUGUAGUUUGAUGGACGAUUUCAUUUUCUACACAUAUUUUGGCGAAGGGAGAUUCAUAUUCUCCGUCCCUAUCACUUCUUAUCAUUUUUAUCUUUUUCUCUAACUGAUUUUCUUCUUUAGUUUUGUAUUGCCUAAACGCAUCUAUUGCUUCAUCCUUACUAUUUAGCAAGUAGACAUAACAAUAUCUAGUGCAAUCGUCAAUAAAAGUUAUGAAAUACUUUUUUUCACCACGUGAUGAUGUUGACUUCAUAUCACAUAUGUCAGUGUGUAUUAAGUCUAAGGGAUUGAAAUUCCUUUCAACGAACUUAUAAGGAUGCUUUGCAUACUUUGAUUCCACACACGUUUGACACUUUGAUUUAUUGCACUCAAAGUUUGGCAAAACCUCUAAGUUAAUCANNNNNNNNNNNNNNNNNNNNNNNNNNNNNNNNNNNNNNNNNNNNNNNNNNNNNNNNNNNNNNNNNNNNNNNNNNNGAAUUUGAACUUUUAUUGGUUUCAACAUUCAUUACAUUCAUCUUAUAAAGGCCCUCGGUGAGAUAGCCUUUUCCUACAUACACUUCUCUUUUGCUAAUUACAAUUUUUCCAAAAACGGUUACACAUUUGAAUCCGUUCUUGUCUAGAAGUGAAAUAGAAAUCAAAGUGAAAUAGAAAUCAAGUUCCUAUAUAAUUUCGAAACGUACAAGACAUUGUUAAGUGUCAAGACCUUUUCUGAAGUCAUUUUCAAGCCCACUUUUCCUGUUCCUUCUACCUUGGCCGUAGCGGAGUUAGCCAUGUAGAUCAUUUCUUCUACUUGAGCUGGAGUGAAUGACGAAAACAACUCUUUGUUGGUACAAACAUGGCGGGUGGCACCAGAAUCCAUCCACCACUCUCAAGGAUUCUCCACCAAGUUGCAUUCUGAAAACAUAGCACACAGAUCAUCACAUUCUUUGUUGAACUCAAUCAUAUUUACUUGGUCCUUUUUCUUACCUUUCUUAAGGGAACGGCAAUCCGUGGACUUAUGGACAAUCUUGCCACAGUUGAAGCACUUUUCCUUGAAUUUCUUUUUGGGUUGAUUGCUUCCUUGUUCAACUUUCUUCCUUUUUUUAGAAUUGUUUUGGUCAUCUUCUACAAUAUGUGCUCCAUUAAUUGUAGAAUUCCCUUUUGGCCUUCUCUUGGCAGCCUUAUUAUCCUCUUCAAUACACAGUUGGACAAUAAGAUCUUCGACAGUUAUCUCCUUGUGUUUGUGCUUCAAGUAGUUUUUGAAGUCUUUCCACAUAGGUGGUAGCUUUUCAAUGAUCGAUGCUACUUAAAAUGCAUCAUUUUCAAUCAAACCUACACAACAGUUUAUUUGAGUACUAAGAACAUUUUCAAUUUAUUCAACUAAGGUAUUUUUUAAAGAUAUACUUCCGCUAGGAGAUCGUGGAUGAUUACUUUCAAUUCCUGCACUUGAGAGACAACCAAUUUGUUAUCUAUCAUUUUAAAGUCUAGGAACCUUGCAACAAAGAAUUUCUUAAUUCCCGCAUCCUCUGUCUUGUAUUUUCGUUCUAGUGCCCCCCACGAUUCCUUCGAUGUCUUAGUUCCACUGUUAACAUUGAAGAGGUCGUCUUGGAGACCACUCAAUAUAUAAUUCCUACAAAGAAAGUCCGAGUGUUUCCAAGCCUCUACAAUUAUGAAACACUCUUUGUCUGAGGUUCCCUAGGGCACCUCAGGAGCAUCCUCACUAGUGAACCUUUGAAGACAUAGUAUUGUGAGAUAGAAGAACAUCUUUUGCUGCCAUCGCUCAAAGUCAAUGCCCAUAAAUUUUUCGGGCUUCUCCGCAAGUGCCAUUGGUUGUGGAGCAUUUGCUCGACUUGUUGAGGCAAUACUAGUUGCCCCCACAGUCGUAACCGCAUCUUGCAUUUAACUUUUGUUAGUCAUUUUUUCUGUCACCACAAGACAAUAAAAUUUAGUAUUUUCAGAGUACUACUUAUAAAGUUAAGCAACUUUAAACUCUUCUUCUUGUUUCUAGUUAACAAUGAAGUUUUUAUGACUUCCAAUCGUCAACCGAGUGAUCUUUAACUUGUGAUGAAAAUUUAAUGUCUUUGAAUCACUAGUUAAGUUCAAACGGAGUAGAAAGCUUAAAGCUUUAAUCUCCAAAAACAAGCAAUACAGAUUUUGCAGAUUAUUCCUUAAGAUUGUUAUUUUUUUUAUGGUGUACGGGUACAAGAAUCUGUAUACAUGCAACACAAACUUCGACUAUAGUUCAAGUCUAAGACAAAAACACUUUUGAAGUCACCUAAUACCUUAAACACUAGAUUAUGAAUAAUCUAUCUAAGAAGUGUGUUUAUUUUCAGAAAAUAGAUGAAAUAGAAUUUGUAAGGCCAAGUCCCCCCGACUUCACGGAGUGUCCUUAAGGAAUAAUUUCCCUUACUGUACCCAAGAUUAUGGAAUCCUCCUCUCAGGAUAAAAUAACCUUCAAUCCGAACAAUAGCGUACCUCAAAUUGUUGAAUUCAACGAACUCACUCAACAGUUUGAUUGAUCACACAGAAUGUUUUUGAAGACAAGAAGAGAGUUUGUAUUUUAGAAAAUUCGUGUAUAAACCUGUGGAUGAAAGCAUGUUUAUAUAGCUUUCAUAUGCCUCUUCUGAAAAGUGGCAAUGGUUCACUUAAAACAGGCAGACCAUUACAUGAAUCAAUGUGUCAUUUCGUUGAAGGAUUGCAUCCUUCCGAAGCAUCAAUUUGAAACAGUGCAUCCUUCUGAAGCAUCAGUUCGAAACAGUGCAUCCUUUUGGAUCAUCAGUUCGAAACACUGCAUGCAUGCAUAUAACUAGAGGAUCAAAACACAGAAAAUUUACCGCAUUUAUAUUUUCUCUUCGAAUUAAAUUUCUGUCAAAUAAAUUUUGUCCAAAAAAAUAGAUCUCAUCGAUCCGAAGCCAAGCGAAGACAACGACGGCGCAAGGCAUCUCUUGUUUCUUGCCUCACUUACCAAGUGGAAUAAAUGUUUCUUAAUAUAAACACUUGAAAGUCACAUUCUCCCACCAAUGUGAGAAAAAUAGUAUAUUUUUCAUUUUAGAGUAUACUUUCCAUUUUAGUGUUUUUCUUCUCUAUUUUUCCUUCCACUUGGUUUCCUCCAUUUUUCAUUCACACUUUUCAUAUACUUUGAACCCAACAUAAAAUUGUUAGAGAUUAGACAGCAUUUUACAUGACUUUCUCACGCGAUUCUGAAUCAGUCAAGCUCUAAAUUAAGAAAUUAAUCACGUGUUAAACGCAAAAAAAAAAAGUUCAUGCAUCGUUUUACAAUAGUGUUGAAUAUGGAGUCCAAAAAUUCAUAAAGUUUGAUUUUUAGUUGAAAUUAUGAAAAAUCAAUGGAAUUAACUGAGGAUUUUCUUUUUUGUUUUUAACAGUAUGAUCAAGUAGCUGAGCUAGAAUGACUGUCAAAUUUUGUGGAGGAAUCAUUCUCAAGUGAUGAUCUUCAAAACCUUCAUUAGUUUGUACCUAUACCAAACGUUAAUUCCACCACCCAAACCACCGCCAGUUCCUCCUCCGCCACCACAAUUUCCACCGGAAUUAACUCUCCACCUGUCUUCCCCGCUCCUUGUGACUGGUCGUCGCGUCUUCAGCUGCUGCAAAGCUCGUAGUAUACAUGAAUUUAGGUUGACAAAAAUAUGUUACUAAUUUUUGGAGAGUUCCUUUAAAGAAAAUAGUACUAUGAAAAUUACCUGGCCAAUUUGUGUUUUUAGUCCCUUAAAUGUUAGCAAAUUCUAAUUUUGAUCUUCAUAAUAUUUCGUUAAACAUAUUAACCUUUCUACUAGUUGCGAUAUUAAUUCUUUGUCCUUUUUGUAAUUAAUUUUCACGAACUACAGUUCAACAAACGUCCUAAUUAGUAGUAGUACAUAUUUCCUAGAUGAAGUGGGAUAAAUUGAAGGUUAGAAUGUGUUUUUCUUUGGAAAGUAAAAAAAAGUAGAGAAAAGAAAAAAAGGACAAAAAAUGAUUUGGGUUUUAGAAAAAGUUUCCCAAAAUAUUAAAUCCAAGUAGAAUACAUUUAGGAAAAACGUUUCUUUUUCGUAAAGAAAACACUUUAUGCAUUAAAAUCAAAUAAAUCCAACACAUAAAUUUCAAAGUUCUUUUAUCCUAAACUUAUUAUAUUACCGAUAAAAAUUUCCCCUAAUCCUUUUCCCAUAAGAAUAAUGAUUUUUUUUUUUUCAAUUCUAUAUAUAACACUCACACAUUAAGCUAAAACUAUAUCUUCUGCAUUAACAAGUUUACUGAUUACUAAAUACACCUUCUACUUCAUUAAAAUUCUCCUAUAACUUUUUGUCAAGAUUUCUUUUGUGAAUCAAAUGGAGAAGAAAUCAAGUAUGUUGAAAACUACCACUAUUGAUUCCACUCUGUGGGAAAAUCAAGUGGACAAAUCGAUUACAAAGGGUGCAACAUCUAUUGAUUCCACGAAAAAGUCUAAGUGCGAGAUGGCAUUACAGAUUUUGUUACUUGCAUUAGCUAUAGCGCUCGGGGUUACUCUAACUUUUCGCGUGUUCUAUGUUCAUCAUCGUGAGGAUACUACUAUGGUGCUUCAUAAUCCCAAAUUCCAAAUUGAGUCUGUGUCACACUCUUCGUUUUCUGUAUUAACUCGCUAUGUUCAUCCCUUGAUUUUGCACAACCCUAACAAUUGGAACCUAACUUUCUCAGUCCAAAACCCUAAUAGUGAUUAUGAUUUCUAUUACAAUGAUCUCAAAGUCAACAUAUCCUAUAGCAACACCAUUCUCUGGAGUGCUAAUGUAUCUGGUAAAUUUUAUCAACAUACAAAAGCUCAAACCUCAAUUGAUUCGACGUUUGCAGCUCUGCCUGAGCCAUAUGCAUACUGGAUUGGUACAUCUAUUGCUGAUGACUUUGCUUCUGGUCAGACCACAAGAUUUUCUGUUAACCUAAGUGGAAAAAUUCAAGUUAGUGAUCGUAAAUCGCCUUCUCGCACAAGUUGUCAAGAACUUCACGUAUCUUGUGAAGGUUUACGAGUUGAGUUCUUAGAAGACAUUCAGACUGGAGUAUUAGCGGUUGAUUCAAAAGCUUGUGGCGUUAUCUCUCAAGAUUCAACAUGUUGAACAUUUGGAGAAUUAUUAAUGGAGGGCUUCCAACCCAUUGGGGGAUCAAAGUUUAUUUUGUAUAUUUCAUCUAUUUUCUGUUUUUGCUAGUCUAAUAGUAAGUAUUGUAUCCAUGUUGAAUGUUCUGUACUUUCUAAUACUUCGUUAUGUUCUAACUAUUAUUUGCAUUAAUUUGCUCAUGAAAUCAAUACAAAAUCAACUAUUACUAGCCUACUAUUAUAUAAAUCAAUUGCUGAGGAGUGUGAAUCAUUAAGAACGAUUUUUAUUUAUAAGGAUCAUAUAUUCGAAUAAAUUUGUAGGCACUUGAAUCUUUUAUUAGAACCAAUUGUUAUGCACUUCAACUAUUUUAUUCGUUAUUAUUAAGAUUGACUUUAUUAAUUAAAGCGCUUCAACGAGUUCUGCAACGAUUAGUUUAUUUGAGCGGAUCUAGCUAGUUGCAUACAUUACAUUGCAUAAGAUACUGUUUGAACCAUACAAAAGCACUAGGAUAAUGAAAACACACUAAAUUAUAUGUCCAAAUUGACAUGUAUAGAACUUCAGAAUAUUACAACGAUGUAUUUUACCAAAUUGAAUAUUAAAAUUACAAAUAGCCAUGCAAACUACCAAAUUGAGAUACUUAACUUACCACUUCUUCCUGUCCCCCUUUUAAAACUUCCUUUAUUGUUUGGAGGUUGUUACUUAGUAAGUUGCCUAUUGUUAAAACCUUCACUGAUUUAACUGAUAAAUGUAAAUGUUGCACUAACUCUCAAUACGAGACCAUGUCACAUGUGUUUUUGGAAGGAGAAGCUGCUAAAAAAAAGUGUGGAUGCAUUUCUCCAGCACUAUGGAAGUGGACUUUAAUCCACGUAGCAUCAGAUAUGUUGCUCAAGCUUGGUGGAACACAAACUCUAGAAACAGAGUUCAUAGACAGAUGCUCAACAUCACCCCAAUAGUUAUCAUCUGGGAAAUAUGGAAAGCAUUCAGUGCAUACAAGUAUGGAUAUUGAACAAAAACACAUUUGCCCAUCUAGGAUGAUUUACCAGAUCCAAAGAACUAUCAUGAUUGCUUUAAACAGGAUCUUUCCUAAGUUCAAUCUUAACAUGCCGCUGCAUAGUGUUUGUGACUUAAUAAGAAAGCUUAGACUCAUUCCCGAUUGGAAGAUUGUUUGCAGGAAGAAGCCAAUGUUGUAAAUGAGAAUAUGUCUAAAUGGGAUGCCACGCGGGAUGGGCACAUGGGACUGCCACGUAGGACUUAUAGAAAGUCGAUUCCUCCUAAACAACUUGGAGAUUACGUUUGGAAAGGGACAAGUUCACGUGAAGAAGGGUAAAAUUGACAAACAAGAAGCAUAAAGUAUCUUCUCUCUAUUUCCUCGAAUUUCCUCACUUUCUUCUUCUUCUUCUAUCAUUAAUUAAUUUUUAGCUGCAAAUUUCCUUGUAUUUUUUAUUUUAGAGACUUAAACAGAAAAGCUGCUGCUAUAAGUUGAGUUGGGGCUUAUUAAUACAAGUGUUGUUACUAUUUGUUGUACCUAUUCGUUUCAUUGGUGCUUUCAUCCAAAGCUCUUCCAUAGAUAACCAAAAACUUAAAUCACUUGUUGAAGAAUCAGUUCAGGGUAUGAAGGACUCAAUUCUCGCAGAUAUGCGUUCUUUGUUAAUAGAAGUGGUGGGAAGCAAAACCCAACGCCCAGAGAGGGAUGCACAUGAUGACCGUUUUCCAGUAGCUCCUCACUUCCGUCACAAACCAGCUUCAGUGGAAUUUGGUUGAUUCUGUGGAGAAAAUUCAGAGGCUUGGAUCUUCCAAGCAGAGAGAUAUUUUGAUUUUUAUAGGAUUGCAGAAGUCCAAUAUUUGUCACUUGCUUCUUUUUAUUUGGAUAGAGAUGCAUUAGAGUGGUAUAGGUGGAUUUUCCAGAAUAAAAAACUGGUGGAUUGGGAGCACUUUGCGUUGAAGGUGCAGAUCCGUUUCCAUAAAAAGGGGUUAGAGGCUGAAGGAUGCUUAGCGAAGUUCUGGUGGACGACCAGUGUCGCGGAUUAUCAGGCCAGAUUUGAGGCCAUUUCAAACGAGACCAACGACAUGGAUGAUGAACGUAUGGUACAUCUCUUUAUUUCUGGGCUUCGUGAAGAUAUUAAGAACUCUUUUUUGGUCCAUAAUCCCAAGAGUUAUGAGAAGACACUUAACUUAGCCUAUAUACACGAGCGACGGAUCCAAGCUGAGAAAGGACCCGUUAGGCCAGCUUUUCCCAGAACAACCCCCCCCCCCUCUUGCCUACCCCAAAUGUUACACCCCUAAAUCAAAACCCAUCUUUCUCAAGUUGUACUCCUCUCAAACGACUCACUCAUGCAGAGCUCCAAAGUCACCGUGAGCACAAGCUAUGUUAUUUUUGUGAGGAGAAGUACUCGGCGGGACACAAAUGUAACAAAUCCCCACAGCUCCUUUUACUUACUGAUGGAUCAGAUUUGGGUCCUAACUUGCCGGAGCCUUUUGUUGCUGAUAAUUUUGUAGCCGAGGAAUCACAAUCUUUAGUAUUACAGGAGCAAUCAUCUAUUUCUUAUCAUGCUUUAACUGGGAAAAUUUUCCCUUCCACAUUACGAUUCACUGGUCAAGUAAAUGGGUCACCUGUCCAAGUAUUGGUAAAUGGAGAGAGUACUCAUAACUUUGUGAAACCACGUGCAGCGAAACAUCUUCAGCUCCAAGUAUAGCUCAUUCCUUAUUUUGCAGUCAUGGUAGGAAAUGGACAAAGGCUAUCGUGCCAAGGUAUGGUGAAGCAAGUUCGCUUACUAAUUCAAGGGUGUACUCUAGUCGAGGAUCUUUAUGUCUUACCUUUACAAGGCGCUGAUGUAGUCCUUGGAGUGGCAUGUUUGGCCACAUUGGGGCGUGUUGUGACUGAUUAUGAAACAAGAGAAUUUGAAUUUAAUUUAUAGGGGUCUAAGUAGUUAUGGAAGAGGGAUUCAACCAUAGAUGCUUGUCAGAUCUAGUUACAUAGCUUAAGGCGUAUGACAUCAACUAAAGCUAUUGUUUCUUUUUUUUUAUUGUCAAUGGUUGCUCUUGAAGAAAAUUGUGCAGGUGAAAUAAUCUCUGAUAUGAGGGGUAUUUUGGAGUCAUAUGAUGAUGUGUUUCAGAAACCUACAGGAUUGCCACCUUCUCGUGUUCAAUAUCAUUCAAUACACCUUAUUCCAGGGGUGCAGCCAAUGAUUGUUAAACCAUACAGGUACCUGUACUUUCAGAAAUAGGUCCUGGAGAAGAUGGUGGCAGAAAUUCAUGAGAAGGGAGUGAUACAGCCCAGCAUAGUCCAUUUUUAUCAUCGAUGCUAUUAGUGCAUAAGAAAGAUGGCACAUGGCACUUUUAUGUUGAUUAUCGAGCACUCAAUGCCAUUACAGUCAGUGAUCUCUUUCCAAUUCCAACCAUUGAUGAGUUGUUUGACGAAUUCAUGGUGCUCAAGUCUUUUGGAAAUUAAACUUGUUGUCAGGUUAUCAUCAAAUCAAGGUCAAGAAAGAGGAUGUGGCUAAGACAGCCUUCCGUACUCAUGAUGGUCAUUAUGAAUUUUUGGUAAUGCCUUUCGGAUUGACAAACGUCCCUUCAAUAUUUUAGGCUACUAAGACUGGAAUUUUUCAUCCACAUAUGUGUUGCUUUGUUCUGGCUUUCUUUGAUGACAUCUUGGUCUAUAGUGUAUCUUGGAGUGAGCAUUUAGAGCAUUUGAUAGUGGUAUUGCAGUUGUUGUGACAACAUCAGCUAGUGGACAAACGCUUUGUAAUACCCCGCAUGUUUCUAAGCUAGGAGACGAACCAUUUUUCCUACAUAUGAAAUCUCCUAUCCUGUGAUUCAUACUUGAGUACAUGACUUACAAUGAGUAUCCUAGCGAUAAGAUAGCUUAUGAUGCGUUAAACAUGUUCAUAUGAGUCACUUAAGGUAAUACAAACUAAGAGUUUUUGAAUCUAUCAAGUUUUAGUGUUUGAUUUUGUAAGGGUCAUAUUUGAAUGAGUAUAACUCAAUGUUAAUGUGGUAUUUCUGCAUAUUUCUACCCACCAAAUUAUAGAGAAUCGAAUUAGCUUUUCAACGAUACCAAUUUCAUCAAAAUCCGACACCCGAGCUAGGAGUUAUGGCUUUGCGAAGUAGAGUGCGUUGUCUAACCAAUCAGACAUGGCCACUGGAAAGCAUAUGCGAUAGCAUAUGCGGCGCCUAUGUAAAUAUAGGCGAUAGAAUAUGCGGCGCCUAUGUAGAUUAGGAGAUAUCAUAUGUGGCGCCUAUGUAAAUUUAGGCGAUAUCAUAUGCGGCGCAUAUCUUAUGGUUUCAAGUGACUUAAACACUCCGUUUUGAGUUAUUUUGAGGGUAAUUAAGUCUUUUAACACUCCUUACACGUCCCUAAACUUAACCCUACGAAAUAUAUAGCUCCUAAUUAUAUUACAACCCUACUAACAAAUUAAGUUCAUCGUCCAAGAGCACUAAAGGAGAAAAACAACUAGGAUUGCAUAAUUAAGCUUGAAGAUCCAAUUUCAAGGAAAUUCCUCCAUCAAUCAUCAAGAAUCUUCCUUCUAAGGNNNNNNNNNNNNNNNNNNNNNNNNNNNNNNNNNNNNNNNNNNNNNNNNNNNNNNNNNNNNNNNNNNNNNNNNNNNNNNNNNNNNNNNNNNNNNNNNNNNNNNNNNNNNNNNNNNNNNNNNNNNNNNNNNNNNNNNNNNNNNNNNNNNNNNNNNNNNNNNNNNNNNNNNNNNNNNNNNNNNNNNNNNNNNNNNNNNNNNNNNNNNNNNNNNNNNNNNNNNNNNNNNNNNNNNNNNNNNNNNNNNNNNNNNNNNNNNNNNNNNNNNNNNNNNNNNNNNNNNNNNNNNNNNNNNNNNNNNNNNNNNNNNNNNNNNNNNNNNNNNNNNNNNNNNNNNNNNNNNNNNNNNNNNNNNNNNNNNNNNNNNNNNNNNNNNNNNNNNNNNNNNNNNNNNNNNNNNNNNNNNNNNNNNNNNNNNNNNNNNNNNNNNNNNNNNNNNNNNNNNNNNNNNNNNNNNNNNNNNNNNNNNNNNNNNNNNNNNNNNNNNNNNNNNNNNNNNNNNNNNNNNNNNNNNNNNNNNNNNNNNNNNNNNNNNNNNNNNNNNNNNNNNNNNNNNNNNNNNNNNNNNNNNNNNNNNNNNUCCUGGGGGUACUUGUACCCGAAAACUAUAGUUGUGUGCCUAGAGCUAGUGUUAUGUUUCAAGACAUCCUCAGUCAAGCUAUGAUCCAUAGAUUUUAGUUAGUCACGUGACUUAGAAAAACUCAGAAAUCUCAGUAGUUCAGUAUUCCCAGUAGUUUCAGUACUCUCAGUCAGACCUCAGAUCUCAAGUAGCAUUUUCGUCAGUCAAUAGAACUCAGUGAAUUCAGCUUAGUUCAGCUAAGAAAAUAUUAUCAGCUCAGUUAAUAAGUUUUUAAAUCAGUUCAGUUCAGUUAGUCAGUUCAGCACAGUUAAUCUUUUUAGAGUCUUUCAGUUGAGAGUAGGGACUAGCACCGAGCGAGUGCAGGGAUGGCGUUUUUUCCUGUUAUAAAGGCAGAGCCGUUAGCAGCAAUCCCUGUACUCCAGAACUGUGUAGCCAGUGCAGGAAAGGAGUCACCCAUCAAAUUAAGGCUAUACUUGACUAUUAUAUUGCCUUAGGCUUGAUUUCCUAUUCAGGGUCACCCGUCAGAGAGGCAUGACCAUAGUAGAGGUCUCUACCCGUGGCACGGUAUUGACACCCUUUCAAUCAGGGAAAAGAUUGGACCCCACCAAUACAGUAUCAGAGCAUGUCGGUUAGUUUACUACCUCUCACAGUCACAGUUACAGUUACAAUUUCAGUAUCAGUCUUCAGAGUAGAAAUUAAGAAUCAGGACUGUCAGAUACAGUCAUUGAUCUCAGUAAGGAACUCAGAUAGUUCCAUUGAUUCCUGGACCAUCCUGUCAGAUAGGCUUGGUCCCAUAUUCAAAUGCUUAUUAUUAGAUCUAGAGGUCACCCGGCAGACAGGCUUGAUCUCAAUCUCAAAUUCAGUCGAGUAUUCUCAUUAUCAGUUUCAGAGAUCACUUAUUAGCUAGGACUGAUCUCAGACUUAGAUGUUCAGAUACAGUUUGGAACUCAAAUAGUUUUCCCCAGAAUUAGGACUGUUAGAUACAGUCAUCCAUGUUAUCAGUCAUUCAGUAUCUCAGUAUCACGAAACUCAUGUUGUCAGAGUUCAAACUCAAGUAGUCAGUAUCUCCAUGAGUUCAGUAGCAGUUACAUAUAUAUGUAUGUAUGUAUGCAUUCUCACGUUCAUAGUAGUCAGCAUGUUCAUGCAUAUAAACCCCAUGCAUUUAGCCUAUCCUCACGUAUACUCAGUACUUUAGUUGUACUGACGCAUUUGCGCUAUGGUGCUUUCUUUUUAUUUUACACCAUAGGUUCUGAUGUGCAAAUUCUAGAUCAGCAGUAGCAGUUCAGUAAGCAUUGAGUCCUCAUCUUUCGAGGACAUGAUCGUUACAUUUAUUAUUCCAGUAUUUCAGUUUAUUUUUAAUUUAGGGAGUUAGUUGGAGACAUGUUCCUUCAACUCUUUAUUCAGACAAUUUAGAGGCUUUCAGACGAUUAUAGAGUUUUCAGAUUUAGACUUUNNNNNNNNNNNNNNNNNNNNNNNNNNNNNNNNNNNNNNNNNNNNNNNNNNNNNNNNNNNNNNNNNNNNNNNNNNNNNNNNNNNNNNNNNNNNNNNNNNNNNNNNNNNNNNNNNNNNNNNNNNNNNNNNNNNNNNNNNNNNNNNNNNNNNNNNNNNNNNNNNNNNNNNNNNNNNNNNNNNNNNNNNNNNNNNNNNNNNNNNNNNNNNNNNNNNNNNNNNNNNNNNNNNNNNNNNNNNNNNNNNNNNNNNNNNNNNNNNNNNNNNNNNNNNNNNNNNNNNNNNNNNNNNNNNNNNNNNNNNNNNNNNNNNNNNNNNNNNNNNNNNNNNNNNNNNNNNNNNNNNNNNNNNNNNNNNNNNNNNNNNNNNNNNNNNNNNNNNNNNNNNNNNNNNNNNNNNNNNNNNNNNNNNNNNCCACAUUUAUGUACAGGAGGUUAUAAGAUGUUUUAGGAAUAGUUUCCCUUCUUUCAGUACUCAUAUCGUGCCAGUGAGCAAAAUCUCAAGUUGAACUCUCAGUUUAAUCCUUGUUCCUCUUCUGUUAGCAGAACAUGUCUCCUAAGAAGAGAACAGGGAAUCAGUCAGCCCCGCAGCCUGCAGAUUUUUUGAAUGAGAAUGUGUCACAUGUAGGAUUUCGGGCAACUUUUCAGGCGCUAGCCCAGGCUGUGACCACUAGUGUUCAGGGUAACCGAUAGACUGCAGCCCCACCCUAUCAAGAUGGGGAUUCAGCUACAGCCAGAAUCAGAAAUUUUAUGAGAAUAAACCCUCCAAAAUUCUUUGGGUCAGUAACAGGUGAGGACCCACAACUGUAUCUAGAAGAGGUAAAGAAGAUCACCCAAAUCAUGCAUGUGUCAGGGGAGAAGAAUGUGGAAUUAGCAUCCUAUAGGCUGAAAGAUAUUGCUCAUGAUUGGGUAGUGUUGUGGAAGAAGAGUAGAGGGAAAGAUGCAACUCCUAUGACUUGGCAGAUAUUUCAGGAUGCCUUCUUAGAUAAGUUUUUCCCAUUAGAGAUGAGAGAAGCUCAGGUAAAAGAGUUUAUAAACCUGAGACAAGGCUACAUGAGAGUGAAGGAGUAUUGUCUUAAGUUCAACCAGUUAGCUAAGUGUGCUCCUGACUUGAUAGCUAACCCCAGAGCGAGUAUGAGUAAGUUUAUGAUUGGUGUGUUCGGGUUAGUAUUGAAAGAGGGUAGAACAGCUAUGUUCAAUAGGGACAUGGACUUACAUAGGUUAAUGAUGCAUGCUCAGCAGAUAGAGGCAGAUAAUUCUAAGAAGAGGGAGAGAUCUAAUAAGAGAUUCAGAAUAGGUAGUUACAGCUUUUCUCUGGCUGGGUCACAGGGUGGUAAUCGUUCUCACCAUAGUUAAAAAAAUUCAACCCUUGUUCCAUCUUCAGCUAGUGUGCCCACACCUAACUUUGGAGAUGUUAAACAUGGUGGGGCGCCAGGAUCCAAAGCCUAGAGUAGUGUUAGAAGUAAGCAUACUUAUCCACUUUGUAGAGAGUGUGGCAAGAAUCAUCUAGGUGCAUGCAGAGCUAAUAGUCAGGUAUGUUUUGGGUGCGGUAAGCCAGGCCACAAAAUGCAGGUGUAAAGUGUUAUCUCAAAAAGGUAGAGAUUCACGUGAGCAGGCCGCAAAUCCCAGCACCAAUAGUGGUUAGCAUCAGAAUCGACUCUAUUCACUCCAAACUCACCAUGAUCCAAAAAGUUUGCCCAACCUAGAUUCGGGUACAUUACAAGUUUUUUAUGAUCAUUGUAUGCAUUAUUAGAUAUCUUGCGCUCAUUUGAUCUUAUGUUUCCACAUGAGUUAGUCAGUAAUAUUAGCAGGUCUAGUUCAGUUCAUGUAUCAUGCAUUAGUGUAACACCCCGUACUUAAUUACGUGCAUUAGUCAUUGUUAUAUGUGUUGGGGUAUAUGUAUUGAUCCUAAGUUAGGUAUAUAUGAGUUUAAGUAUGAGUAUUGAUUAUUUUGAGAUGGUUUCAAGUGUAUAGUUUGAUUAUAGGUGUAUAGGAAUCGACUUUAUUUAUAUCGGAAUUUUCCCGUCGAUGGUUCCAUACGAAGGUUAUUGAAUAAGAUUUCCAACGAUAUAAAGAUUUCCAAAAACGGAUAAGUUUCGGAUAUAAGCGAGCUCGUUCGAAACUUUAAAACGGUGGCCGGGAUGUGAACAGUAAAAUGUGCAGGAAACUACUGAGGCCUGCCAGUUUUUUGGGUCAACUUUGAACGAUCAUAACUCCCUCAAUAUAAUGAACUGGUUGAGCUACCAUAUAUCAAAAGAAAGAUCUUUGAGUCUUCUUUCCAAUGAAAUUGGUUUCAUCCAAAUCCAACAUCUGAGUAAGGAGUUAUACUCGUUUUACUUCAGCCUCUCAAAACAGAUUUUUAGGGUCAACUUCAAACGAUCAUAACUACUUGUACAGGACGAACUGGGUGGAUUAAUUUAUAUUAAAUGAAAUACCUUUGAAUUAUCUUUCUAACGAUACCAAUUUCACCCAAAUCCGAUAUCGGAGCAAAGAGUUAUGGCCGAUUUACUUUAGCCUAUCAAAACAGUCCACCAUGGACAGAUUCGGAUUUACUUAAAUUUUUAAGGGCAAUAUGGUCAUUUUCCAUCACCUCAUGGACGAAAAUUGGUCAUUAUAUACAUAUACUUAGCCUUAUAUCCACCAUUUAUCAUCCAAAUCAUUGAAGAAUAAGAAACCCUAGCCUAAGUUCAACUCCAAUUAUCUUGUGAUUCAACCGUAGAAAAUCCAAAUUGAUUCCGUAGUUGUGUUCACCGUCUCAAGGGCUUCGAGAAGCACCCCUUAUUUGUGCCAACAGGACUUCGAAAUCAAAAGGGCCAUUUUUUUUGGUAAGGAUGUAAAUUAUGUUGGUGUUAUUUAUAUGGAUAUGUAUAUAUAUAUAUAUAUGCAUGUGAGCAUAAGAAGUAUGUUAUUUGAUUGUUGUUGAAAGAUGAUUGGAAAUGAUGUUGGAUUAUUCUUGUGCAUGGUUGGAUUAUGUUAAAUUGUGAAGGAAUUUGGGGUGAUGAUGUGGUAUUGAUGAUGUGGUAUUGAGAUGAUGAUUAUAUACAUAUACACACAUAAACCUAUUGUUCAAGUUGGUUUUUGGAAUGUUUUGCAAAUAUUGGUAGUAUGGAAUUAUGGAAGAGAAUUGUGGUGUUGGGUUGCUAAUACUAGAUGCCAAACAUUUCAUUGUAGAUAAGUGAUUUGUAAAGGCGGGAAGUUGUGUUGAAUUGGUAUCUGAAUCUACAACGAGGUAUGUAAAGCAUACUCUAACAAUGUUCUUUGGCAUGAAAACACCAAUGUUCCAUCAAGUAAGAUUCCGAGGUUGUCCAAAAACAUGUAUUGUUCUACGUUACCAACGAAGUUGUUUCCAUCCUAUAAAGUGUCAAAAUGUUCAUUGAUAUACCAAAAGGCUCUUAUUUCAUUGUUGUGAUAUUGAUGAUUCUGAAACAUAUUGUUGAUGUACCAAUGAGUCCUUAUUACAUCGUUAUUGUAUAGAAGGUCUAUUACUUGGUUCCUAUUGAUGUAUCAUUGUUUCAAGGUAUCAAAAAUGUGGUGACGACCGAAAUAACAAUCUCAAAGAUUAAUUGAACUAAGUGAUGAAAGUUCUCUCUUAUCGGGUGGUAUCCCAGGGGCAUAAGCCUAGCAUGGGUCGAUCCCUAUUUCAUGUGUUUAUGGGUGGUAUCCCAGGGGCAUAAGCCUAGCAUGGGUCGAUCCCAGUUGAUAUGUACUGGAGGCAUCCUAAUGGUCACAGUACAGUACAGUAAUGAUUACAAAGACGAUAAGAACGAAGGUAAAGUGAUUGAAUAAAUACAAUGUACAGGUUGUCACAAGUUCUAGUAAGUGUGGUCCACUCCUAUUACGACUUAUUCACUUGUUUCUGAUUUCUAUUGAGCUCCUAUAUCAUAUGUGAUUAUUUACAGCUUUACAUACUCAGUACAUAUUUCGUACUGACGUCCCUCACGGGGGACCUGCAUUUCAUGCUGCAGGCACAGGUACCUCAGCUCAUACACCGCACAAGUAGGAGCCAGGUCAUACAGCUAUUGUUGGUGAGCUCCAGUUUGCUUCGGAGCUUUCCGAGUCGGUUCCUUAUGUUUUGUUAUUGUACAUGAGUCACGUGUGGGCGGGGGUUUGUCCCGACCCUAGUUAUGUCAUGUAUAUCCUAGAGGCUUUGUAGACCUAAGGAAGGGUAAAGUCAUGGAAGUUUAUAUAGUAACGUUAUAUUUGUAUAUGUGGUGGCCCCGACGGCCAAGUAUUAUAUAUAUAUAUUUGUGCGUGUUGUGCUGAUACAGGUAAUUAGACCUUUCUAUAUGCAACGAAGUUCUGUCCAAUUUUUUUUGGUGACAUGUAAGUGAAAGUACAGGUAUUUGAACGGGUUCUCCCGGGCCUUCUCGGCUUCGGGUGCCAGUCCGGCCCGAUGGGAUUUUGGGGCGUGACAAUUAGUCUCAGCUCUCCAAUGUUUAGUUAUAAUCUAGUUCGUAGAUGCCCUGUGCAUCACCCCAGUAUCUCAGCAAGGUAAACAUUCCUAGAGGGACAUAAUGUCCUAAGGGGGAGAUACCCCACCUUUUCUGGAUGCUUUCAUGUUCCCGUUAUUAGUUAUCAAGUGCCAUGGCAUAAUCAGUCAAGCUUUCAAGAGUCAGCUCAGUCAUAUAUUCAGUAGAGAAAGUACUAUUUAUCAGUAUCUUCACUCAUACAUUUACAUAUCAUUUCAGUCAUGUAAUCAUGCAUCAGAUAUGCAUGGAUUCAACAUUUCAGUUGUGCAUCAGAUAUGUAUUCUCAUUUUGAGAAAACUCACUUUAUUAAAAUCCUCAGUCUUAUAUUCAUGAAUCAGCCUCCCAUGCAUCAAAUAUGCAUGUUCAGUAUGUUGUGCUCAGCUUUCAGUCAUGUCAGUCAUGAACCCAUGUUUCAGUAGUGUAUGUCUUGUACGUACUUUAUCUUAUCAUCUCUCCCACCUCAGUUAAUUUCCAUUCGAGGACGAAUGUUCCCAAGGGGGAGAUAUUGAAAUACCCCGCAUGUUUCUAAGCUAGAAGACGAACCAUUUUUCCUACAUAUGAAAUCUCCUAUCCUGUGAUUCAUACUUGAGUACAUAACUUACAAUGAGUAUCCUAGCGAUAAGAUAGCUUAUGAUUCUUUAAGCAUGUUAAUAUGAGUCACUUAAGGUAAUACAAGCUGAGAGUUUUUGAAAUCCAUCAACUUUUAGUGUUCGAUUUUGUAAGGGUCAUAUUUUAACGAGUAUAACUUGAUGUUAAUAUGGUAUUUCUACAUAUUUCUACCCACCAAAUUAUAGAGAAUCAAAUUAGCUUUCCAACGAUGCCAACUUCAUCAAAAUCCGACACCCGAGCUAGGAGUUAUGGCUUUGCGAUGUAGAGUGCGUCGCCUAACCAAUCGCACAUAGCCACUGGAAAGCAUAUGCAGCGCCUAUGUAAAUAUAGGCAAUAGCAUAUGUGGUGCCUAUGUAGAUAUAGGCGAUAUCAUAUGCGGCGCCUAUGUAAAUUUAGGCGAUAUCAUAUUUGGCUCAUAUCUUAUGGUUUCAAGUGACUUAAACACUCUAUUUUGAGUUAUUUUGAGGAUAAUAAAGUCUUUUAACACUCCUUACACGUCCUUAAACUUAACCCUACGAAAUAUAUAUCUCCUAAUUACAUUACAACCCUACUAACAUCUUAAGUUCAUCAUCCAAGAGCACUAAAAGAGAAAAACAACUAGGGUUGCAUAAUUAAGCUUGAAGAUCCAAUUUCAAGGAAAUUCCUCCAUCAAUCAUCAAGAAUCUUCCUUCUAAGGUAUGCAUGAGUUGAUUCAUGGACUCCUUUCAUCCAUGAAGCUUAAAAACCAUCUUCUAAAUUAUGUAUUAUGAUGUUUAUGUUGUUGAUGGUUGAUGUUCAUGUAGUUGGAGUUUGAUGAUGCCUAAGAUGGGAUCUUUGUAUGUUUUGUGUGAGGAUAUGGUGGUAUUUAAUGUAUAAAUAUGUGAAAUUGGUGGUUGAAUAUUUGUAAUCUUGAUGAAUCUACCUAUGCCUAAGAUGUGCAUGUAAGGUGUUUGUGAAAAUACCUAAGGGAAUAGAAAUCAUGCUUUUAUGACAUAAUAAGUCCUAAAUGACUAUUCCAUGUUCUAAGUUUAUGUUCAACGUGAUCCCCAUGCUAUUGUCUUGAAUUGAAGAUGUUGUAUGAGAUGCUCAUGAUAUUAUUGUGAUAUGGAAUGACCAUGUUAUUAAAGCCAUGCAAGUAUAUACAUGUUGUGUGCAUUCUCGAUCAUGUGAUAGUUGGUUGAGAAUCAUUCUUAUUAUGAAAUCCUUACUUAUGACAUUGUUAAUUGUGGACUCUACUCUUAAGAUCAAGUCAGUCAUGUGUGUCAGCUUCCUUCCAUCGAGUCCUAGGGGUACUUGUACCCGAAAAUUAUAGUUGUGUGCUUAGAGCUAGUGUCAUGUUUCAAGACAUCCUCAGUCAAACUAUGCUCCAUAGAUUUCAGUUAGUUACGUGACUUAGAAAAACUUAGAAAUCUCAAUAGUUCACUAGUCCUAGUAGUUUCAGUACUCUCAGUCAGACCUCAGAUCUCAAGUAGCUUUGUCAAUCAACGAAACUCAGUGAAUUCAGCUUAGUUCAGCUAAGAAAAUAUUAUCAGCUCAGUUAAUCAGUUCUGUUCAGUUAGUCAGUUCAGUGCAGUUAAUCUUUUUAGAGUCUUUCAGUUGGGAGUAAGGACUAGCACCGAGCGAGUGCAAGGAUGGCGAUUUUUUCCGUUAUAAAAGCAGAGCCGUUAGCAACAAUCCCUUUACUCCAGAAUGGCGUAGCCAGCGCAGGACGAGAGUCACCCGUCAGAUUAACUCUAUACUUUAUUAUAUUGCCUUAAACUUGAUUUCCUAUUCAAGGUCACCCGUAAGAGAGGCUUGAUCAUAGUAGAGGUCUCUACCCGUGGCACGGUAUUAACACCCUUCCAAUCAGGGAAAAGAUUGAAUCCCACCAGUACAGUAUCGAGGCAAUUCGGUUAGGUUACUACCUCUCACAUUCACAGUUACAGUUACAAUUUCAGUAUCAGUCUUCAGAGUAGAAAUCAGGAAUUAAGACUGUCAGAUACAGUCAUCGAUCUCAGUAAGGAACUCAGAUAGUUCCAUUGAUUCCUGGACCAUCCCAUCCGAUAGUCUUGGUCCCAUAUUCAGAUGCUUAUUAUUAGAUCUAGAAGUCACCCGACAGACAGGCUUGAUCUUAAUCUCAGAUUCAGUCGAGUAUUCUCAUUAUCAGUUUCAAAGAUCACUUGUUAGCUAGGACUGAUCUCAGACUUAGAUGUUCAGAUACAGUUUAGAACUCAGAUAGUUUUCCCCAGAAUUAUUACUGUUAGAUACAGUCAUCCAUGUUAUCAAUCAUUCAGUAUCUCAGUAUCAAGAACUCAUGUUUUCAGAGUUCAAACUCAAGUAGUCAGUAUCUCCACGAGUUCAGUAGCAGUUACAUAUAUAUGUAUGUAUGUAGUCUCACGUUCAUAUUAGUCAGCAUGUUCAUGCAUAUAAACACCAUGCAUUUAGCCUACCCCCACGUAUACUCAGUACUUUAGUUGUACUGACGCAUUUGCGCUAUGGUGCUUUCUUUUUAUGUUACACCAUAGGUUCUGAUGUACAGAUUCUAGAUCAGCAGUAGCAGUUCAGUAAGCAGUGAGUCCUCAUCUUUCGAGGACAUUUCGAGGACAUGAUCGUUACAUUUAUUAUUCCAUUAUUUCAGUUUAUUUUCAAUUUAGGGAGUUAGUUGGAGACGUGUUCCUUCAACUCCUUAUUCAGACAAUUUAGAGGUUUUCAGACGAUUAUAGGGUUUUCAAAUUUAGACUUUAGUAUUUUCAGUUUUGUUUUGGUACUGUGAUACCACCUUAUUUUAGAUAUUUUAUUAUUCAAGAUUGAACCUUACGCCCUCUUUGUUCUUGUUUCCGCAUUUUAUAUAUAUAUUAUGCAGUUACAGGUACAGAUAUCAGUCAUGGGUUAGCUUGUGGUCCUUCGGGGUCAUGAGCACCGUGUAGCGUUAUGGUUCAUAAAAUUGGGGCGUUACACGCUCGAAGUACUUAUUUGGAAAAUCUUCUAUUGAUUACCUUGUCCACAUCAUCUACGCUAAAAGCCUUGGAGUGGAUCCAGACAAGAUCAAUACCAUUGGGCAAUGAUAGACAACACGAUCGGUGAAAGAAGUUCAUAGUUUUUUGGGGCUAGCCGGAUAUUAUCGUACGUUUAUUCACCACUAUGCAGCUAUAGCAGGUCCCUUAACUGACUUGUUACGCAAGGAUUCCUUUAAAUGGAUGGAAGUUGAGCAGAAUUCCUUUGAAACCUUAAAAGAUCGAUUAGGCUCCACCUCUAUUUUGGCCUUGCCAAAUUUUAAGCUGGAGUUUCGGGUGGAAACCGAUGCAUCUGGGCGAGGUAUUGGGGCUAUUCUAUCGUAGCAAGGCCACCCUAUUACUUACUUUAGCCAAAAGUUAAGCUCUAGAAUGCAACAAGCUUCAACAUACCACUGGGAGAUGUUUGUCAUUACUCAGGCUGUGAGCAAGUGGUGACAAUACUUAUUGGGGAGCAGUUCACAAUCCUUACUGAUCAACAAUCAUUGCGUAACUUAACUACCCAAACUAUACAGACCCCUGAGCAGUAGAAAUGGCUCACUAAGCAGAUGCUUUGUCUCGGACUCCAGAAGCUGUUCUCAUGACUAUUUCAGUCAACUCUUUUGAUAUAGAGGCUGAUUUGAAGAAGUAGCCACGAGUUAGUAGCAAUACGGUAGGCUUUACAUCACAGGGAUAAAAAAUUUGAGGACUAUCAGUUCAAGGAAAGGUUAUUAUUUUAUAAAGGUAGGAUAGUGAUUCCCAAGGACUCUCCGUUGUGCCAGAAGUUACUCUUUAAGUUCCAUGCUAGUCUACAAGAGGACAUGACGGGGUUGUAUGCACAUUCUAUCAUUUGGCAUCCAAUUUUUUCUGGAAGUAGAUGCACAAGGACGUACAAACUUUUGUGGCUGCGUGUCAAAUUUGCUAGAAGAUGAAGGAGUCUCACUUGCAUCCUGCUGGGCUAUUACAGCCGUUCCCGAUUCCGGAUCAAGUAUUUGAGGAUAUUGCUAUGGACUUCAUUACUUGUCUUCCGAGCUCAAAGGGAAAGACCACAAUCAUAACAGUAGUAGACCUCCUCACUAAGUACAACCAUUUUAUUCCCUUGCCAUUAAUUUUAUCGACUCAUACAGUGGCCGAGGCCUUUGUUGUAGGUAUUAUCAGGCUCCAUGGCCCUCCUCGUUCUAUUGUGACUAACCGUAAUCUGCGAUUCUUACACUCUUUUUGGCAAGAGAUUAACCGCUUACAGGGAUCCACUUUCGCCAUGAGUACCGCAUAUCAUCCUCAAAUAGAUGGGUAGUCUGGGGCUCUUAACAAGUGCGUGGAACAAUAUUUGCGUUGCUAUUGCUGAGGUACCCUCUCAAUGGGUUGCUAUGCUGCUAUGGGCAGAAUUUUGGUACAAUACUUCAUUUCAAAUCUCAGCUGGCAUGACCCCUUUUCAAGCUCUCUAUGGUCGUAAACCACCUAUUAUUGCUCGAUACAUUUUGGGGAGUACUGCAAGUAAACUGGUUGAGUCCUACUUGCUGCAGCGAGAUAAAGUCUUGCAAGUCCUCAAGAACAACUAAUUGAAGGCUCUGAACCGCAUAAAGUUGUAGGCUGAUAAGUCUUGGACUAAUACCGUCCUUGAAGUAGGUGAUUGGGCAUAUGUCAAACUCAAACCUUUCAGAUAGAAUACUCUACGCUUGCAGCGAGAUCAUAAAAAUUGGGAGGCGUUAUUUUGGGCCCUAUCAGGUGUUAAAAUGCAUUGGCUCUGUUGCUUAUCGGAUGAAACUUCUAAAAUCUGCAAAAAUCCACUAUGUUUUCCAUAGUUCUAUGUUGAAACAUUGUGUUGGCACUCCGGACUAGCAGGUGACUCCUUUGUAUCUGAAUGUUCCGACUACAGAGAAUCCAACUGACUCCAACCUUGAGGACAAGGUUGCUUUAUAGGAAGGGAGUAAUGUUGUAAAUGAGAAUAUGUCUGAAUGGGAUGCCAUGCGGGAUGGGCACAUGGGACUGCCACGUAGGACUUUUAGAAAGUUGAUUCCUCCUAAACGACUUGGAGAUUACGUUUGGAAAGAGGCAAGUUCACGUGAAGGGUAAAAUUGGCAAACAAGAAGCAUAAAGCAUCAAGAGUGGAGCAGUGCACAGCAGGCAAUUUGAUUGUUAUGAACAGACUCUCUCUCUCUAUUUCCUCUAAUUUCCUCACCUCCUUCUUCUUCUUCUAUCAUUAGUUAAUUUUUAGCUGCAAAUUUCCUUGUAAUUUCUGAUUUUAGAAACUUAUACAGAAGAACUACUGUUUUAAGUUGAGUUGAGGCUUAUUAAUACAAGUGUUGUUACAAUUUGCUGUACCUAUUCAUUUCAGCCAUUGACAGGUAGAGUGAAACUUAACACCGAUAUGAGCUAUCUUCAUGAUUCUGAGAAAGCAGGUAUUAGUGGAAUAAUCAGAAACGAAGAUGGCGACUUGCUAAUGGCUUUUGCGGUUUCGGUUGUUUGUAAUAGCAACAACAUAGCUGAGAUAUUGGCAACUAGCUAUGGUGUUGAUCUUUGUCUAAGUUUGGGUCUAUUAGAACUAGAUUUGGAACUGGACUCGGAGAUUAUCACGAGAAUGUUGCAAAGCAAAGUCACCACCAACAAAUGAAUACAACAAUUAAUCAUUGCUUCAGGGAAGCAAAUCAUGUGGCGGAUAGCAUGGCUAAGAUUGCCUCGAGCAAGGAUGUUGGGCUUCAUUUUGACUCGGUCCAUGGCAUACCCAAGGAAACGAGGGGUCACUAUCACUUGGACAAACAACAACUCCCUAAUCUUAGAAUUAGAUAUGAAAAAUCUAAUUUUUUUUGUUAGUUAGAUAGGCUUUGGUUUGUUGGAGUAGGCUCCCUGUAUUUAGUCCUACUCUCUUGCGUUUUGACUGGAUUGGUUAACCAGUCAAGUAUUGUAUUUCUUGAGGUUAGGCUAAACCCCCCUCCCUGUAAUUUUUUGCUGAAAUAGAAUGGACACUACCAUGUAGUAGUUUAACCCAAAAAAUAAAAAAAUAAAAUUACAUAUUACUAGUCAAAUUUUCUUGUUAAAGCUCUCUUAAAAAAUUAAUGUACUCUAAGUUUCACUUGCCUGUUUUUUAGAGUUUAAACACAAGAACUUCUUUGCUUAUUUGGGGUAUCUAUUUGAGACGGAUAAAAGGUUGAACUCAUUAUUAAUUAGAAAAUUUUUAGGAAAAAGGACAUGGGAUGACCAUUUUAAAAAAAAAUGGCUCAUAAUUUAAAAGGUGGAUAUGUUGUAGCCAGUCGGCUAAAGUAAUCCCUUUUUUAGCCAUUUGGUCCAAUUGGGCACAUGCAGUCUCUAUACUCAUUUGAUACACUUUUAUAUGAAAUUGAUAACUUUUAUACUAUAUUGAUGCACUUUUUAAAAAAGAGAAAGGAAAUUCUAUGCAAGCACAUGCAGUCCUUAUCGCCAAUUGAUAUUCUUUUAUACCACAUUAAUACACUUUUAUACUACAUUGAUAUACUUGCAGUGUCCAUAUACUCAAUUGAUACUCUCUUAUACUGGAUUGAUACAUUUUUAGAAUGCAUGCAGAAACUAUAUAGAGUCGUAUAAAAUAUGUAUCUAAAAAAUAAUUGUAGUUAAAAAUUGUAUAGAAUGUGUAUAAAUAUUCUAUAAUUAUUAUAUAGAAUAUGUAUGUAUAUAUAUAUAUAAUCUAUAUCAUUAUUAUAUAUAAAUAUAUAUCUUUAACAAUUCUAUUAUAUUAAAAGUAUAAAUAAUAGGAAGAAAAAAUAUAAUGUAUUGAUUUUUUUUCUGUUCUAACUAUAAAUUAUUGGGAGAAAAAAUUCCAUAAAAUUAUAUUUAAUUGUUAAAAUAAAAAAAAUAACUUUUUAAAAUUUAAAAAAGAAUAGCAAGAGAGAGUGAGAAGAGCAGCCAACAAAGGAAAAAAAAAAAGAAAAAAAGAAAACAAUGAAUUGGUAUAUUAAAAAGGAGCCGAAAUAGCUAAUUAGUGGAAUUACAAUUCUUAGGUUACUUUUGGUGAAAUUUGUUUGGCCGACUGGCCAUUUUUGUCAUGUCCCCAAAUGUUUAUUGCAUGUCUCACACAACUGGCAUUAAUUCUAUGAGUUACUUUAUGUCUUACAAGUCACAAGAACGUGGAUCAAAGUUAUAAUGUUGGAUACACCUUUUUUUGUGAGACAAAAAGAUGCAUCACACAACUAGUGUCAAUUAUUUGAUACACAAAGUAAAAUUUCUCAAUCAACAGAUAUGAAAAGAUGUUAAAAUGUGCUCAAGUCAUAUUGGACUUAAUUAUUUUCAUGCCCUGCUUGCCAUCACUCUUAUGAUUUACAACUCUAUAAAUCAUUCCGGAAUAAGUGUUGAGUCCAAUAUAUUAAUGGCAGAUUCAGAAUCUUACUUAAGCAUUCGAAAAAUAAAAAUGUAUAUGAUGCUUGAGAUUUAAACUUGAAAUAUCAAAGUAAAUUUUGAACCCUCUCAAUCUCUAAACCAACCUUUAAUUUUAUGCUCAUAAGAUUUAAAAUCUAUAUAAAAAAUAAAAAAAUAAAAAUCCCUUAUAUAUGCAGUAUAAUUUUUGCUACCCUCGAAAUUCCGUCCAUGCUAUGGACCAAGGAACAAUCUUGCUAAUUAUGAAAUGACGCAUAUACUAAAAAUAGUUAUUUAUAUUUACUGUCCAAUUUAUGAAAUUAAGAAAAUUUUAUUAAUAGUAGCUAAAUUUAGAGUUUCAAAACACUCCUAAUUAAAAUAUUUUUAGGGAGUGUAUAUAUCAAGUCAACAAAGAUCAAGUAAAUUAAAACAGAAGUAACUAUAAUAAACAAAAAAUGUUGGAAAGGAAAGAAAAUUAAAAAAGCCAAAUAAUAUUUGGGUUUUGGAAAAGGUUUCCAAAAAUAUUAAGACCAAGUAGAAUAAAAUUAGGAAAAACGUUUCUUUUUCUUAAAGUAAACACUUUAUGCCUUAAAUCAAAUUAAUCCAUUAAUAUUACGGACAACAAGUUUCACUAAUCCCUUUCCCAUAAGAAAUAAUAAUGACUUUUUUUUUCUACUCUAUAUAUAACACUCACACAAUAAGCUAAAACAAUACAUUCUGCAUUAGCAAGUUUGCUCAUUUCUUAAUACACCAACUAUUUCAAUAAAUUCUUUUCUAGCUAUUUUUCAAGAUUUUUUUUUGUGAAUCAAAUGGAUGAGAAAUCAAAUUCCUUGAAAAAUACUACUGUUGAUGCAAAGGGUGCAAUAGUUACUGAUUCCAACAAAAAUUCAAAGUACGAUCUGACGUUACAGAUCCUAUCACUUGUAUUAACUAUUGCGCUUGCUAUUACUGUAGCUUUUCGCGUGUUCUAUGUUGAUCUUUCAAAGUGUGUUAUGAGAGGCUAAAUAUGUAUUUUAAGGUGUGGGGUCUUAAGGGUUUGGGGGUGGAAAAUGUCUAAAGUGUCCUUAACUUAUAAGCUGAAAAUUGAGCGCAGGAGGGUACGAUCACACCACCCAAACCGCACCCACAAUAUACGAGUGGUACCCACCACUCGUACCCUUGGCAGCAACUUGGACUUCAACACUGUCCAACAUACAACCACAAGGGCCAACUCGUAUCCAUAACAUAUGAUUGGUCCCCUUAAAUCGUACCCUAGGAAGAAUCAUCUAAGCUAAAGAUAGGACAUCAUACAGUUUGGCACUAUACUUCUCGUACCCUAAUAUACAACUAGUAUGAUGCCUUAUCAUACCUUAGACAGUAAACAACCAAACCACAUUGAUAAUCAUACGAGUUGAGAACCCUAAAUCGUACCCACAUUGAUACAAGUACGACCACGAAGAUGGACACAUGUGAGAAUGUAAUGAACCCGAGGCAUGGAGUGUGCAAGUGGAGGAAUUAAAACACACCAAACCGACCCUAAUCUCACACUUGGAGUAUAAAGAGAAGCCUUGGAACACAAGAAGGCAGCCCCUAAAUACACUUGAAGGGAGCCUAGCUCUUAAAAAGGCAUUUUGGAUAUUUUUUAUUUUAUUUGUAACCUAGUAUAAAUAGAACAUUGUAGGGCUUUUAGACUUAGAUUAUUCAUGAUGUUGUAAGUCUUGAAACCCAAAGAUACACAAGUCCUCUCUCCUUGAGGCACCAAAACCAAAAUUAGGCAUAGAGAGUGCGGAAUCACUCUUGUUGAUCUCAUGGCUUGAAAACGUGAUGCUUGGGAGGUGGAUUCCGACCUUGUGUCUUCGUAAGAGAUAGGUGAACAUUGUGUGUAGUGUUAAGGGUCCAAGAGUGGAAUAUGCUCUUGGGUUCUUAAGAUUCUACCUUCAUUAAGUCUAUCUAACUAUCUCUUUACUUUUAUUGUAAUCUUGUAGUAGUUUGUGUUCUUGUAACCGUUUCUAUCUCUUGUUAGUAAAAUCGUGUGUUGUUCCUAUCUUGUUAUUGUUGUCCAUCUCGUCAUAUUGUUGCUGUUUUAGUGUAUUUACACCUUCAAUAUCUUGUUGUUAUUGUGUUUUUAUUGUUGUAGUGAAUCCGAGAGUGGUCACCAAAGGGGUCCUCGAUUCUUCAAACUUAUGGACUGAUUUGGUGUUUGUUUUGUGUUUCCCUUGUGCAUUUUUGUAUAAUUUGGUAUCAGAGCAUGGCUUGAUCUUGUUCCCACAAGAUCAAUCUUGGGCUUGUUAGUUGAAAAAUAAAAUUAAAAAAAUUAUUGAAAAACUGAAAAUUCCGGAAAAGGUGCAAUCUGCCCGUGUUGUGUUUUUGGCCGAGAAUUGCAUUCUUGUUGUGUCUUGGCCGAGAUUUUUGUUUGUAUUGAGUGUUUAUAGUGUUAGCUUUGUUCUUCACUAAUACUUGAGUCCAUAUCUAAGUUUGAGCUUUGUUGUUGUUGUCGUGAACAAGUAAGACCUGUUGAAAUACUUGACUUGGCCAUGUGUGUGAUUGUUGUUGUUGAAAGGAGUGUUGUUGUUGUAGUUCUUGGUGAAUGUUGUUGUGUUCUAGAAGUUCUUCACAACCUUCAUGUCUUGUUAAAAUCGAAGACACAACACUAAAGAGACUUGGCCGUUUGUUGUUGUGGAUUGGAGUAGGAAUUGUUGUUGUUCUUGAAGAUUGUUGUUAUUGUUCUUGGUGUGGUUGUUAUUAUUCUUGAAGUUCUUCACCUUCCUUCAUAUAUUUUUAGAACAUAAAGUGAGUGCUAGAUUCUAAAAGGUGAAGGGAAAAGGUGUAUGUACUUGUUAGUCUUGAAAGACCCCUAACCACCAAAAGACUUUAUAUCACUUAUCAACUACUUUUUCAUGAUUUAAGGACCCAUGUUUUAAGGAGAAGUACAAGAAAAAGUCAAGUCUUGAAAAUUGAAAAAGGCUCCAAGAUUAUUUUUCCUCCUAAAACAAAUUCCACCAAUCCAAAUUAAUUUUUGACCAAGACUUGAACAUUUGAGAAUAACCACUUGAUAAAACCGAAUCAAUACGUGGCCGCCACGUCAUCACUGUUACUGUUCACACAAUAUUUUCAAGCUCAAAAUUCUAGAUUUCUUAGUUUCAUUUCGUUGUCUCUUAGUUUCAUCUAAUUGAUCCUAGUACUAAUUAACAAGCUAGUAAACUUCUACUAGCUUGUCACUUAGUUCUUGAAACUGUUGUUCGUGUCUACGUUUCUUUUGUGCUUUUUCUCUUUUGUGAAUUUGUUGUAUCUUGUUGGUUCAAUUCCGUAAGUAAAUUUUAUUUGAGUCAAAUCAAACGAAAAUCUAUUCCAGACCAAGGUGGGCUCCUCCCUCAAUCACUCAUGAAGUACAAGCCGGCUUUCAACACUUGUGAAACCAAGUGUGAGGUAAAAAUUGAGACUGAGAGUGUGGUGAGGCAUUUUUGAGCUAACAAGUUUGUUUGUUUUAUUGCUCGUUGUUGUCUUUUCUUAGGUACCAUGGCUGCCACCAAUCUUGAUGCCACAUUUGACCGCAUCACCGAUAAUAUUGAGGACAUAAAAUGGCACGUUGAAAGGCUACGUCAAUUGGUAUCCACACUUAUCCUAACAAAUCCAAAACCUAAGGUCCAAACACCUUGAAGUGAGAGCUUCCCGAAGGAAAUUACUGCCCAAACUUGUGAAGGACUUUCACACCAAGGUAAAGAUAAACGUACUCAUAGACGUCAAGGUAAAAUAGCUAUCUCUUACACUUUGGUAUAUGUGGAUGAUGAACGUGUGACUAAUAAGCCGUUGAGUGUGAGUAGUAUCUUACCUACAUAUGAGUAUAUUGAUUCCUUACCACUUGUGGAUGAUGUACAUGUUAUGCAAGUGGAUACAUUAGUUGAUCCUAUAGAUGACCGAAUCGACUCUUCUAGUAAGAUCGAUUUGUGUCUACCUAGUGUUGAAGCUAUUGAGUUUAAUGAAAGUACAUCGUCGAGUGAGAUUUGUGUUGACCAACUUGUGUGUAAAACUUGCCCACAACUUGAGAAUAUGUGUGAUGUGAUUAAUGAUUCUCAAGUGAGUGAAGAAUUUGAAAAUAUUGGUCAAGAAAAAAGGAGUGAACCCAUGAGCCUAUGUUGUUGUAAAGAUUCUAAUGUUUGCUUGGCUCAUAGGGUUAAUCGUGUGCUUGAUAUAUCUUUGAAACUUGAUAAUGAUUCCUUAGAGAGUGAAAGUUCCAAAUCAGUCUGCGGGUUAGAUCAUUCACUCUUUAGGUACAAUGUCUUGUUUAAAGAUAGUUUAAACACUCCUAAUAGACCUAGUGGUGAAAAUGAUGGUAUAGCUUGCCUUGGAAACUAUAGCCUAUAUGCUAACCCACUGUGGUGCGACAACAUUCCUCCUAAAGAUGGAAAUCUCUUCUUAGAAGAUGAGAGUACUCUUAAGGGUAAGGGAUGUGUGGUCUUGGAAACUCCUUUUUCUUCUACUUUGUGUGGCUUUUCCGAGGACACCAUAGUAGAACUAGAAUUGAAUGCCACUUUUCUCUACUCUCUCUUUACUUGUGAUGAUAUGUAUGCCAAUGUAGAGAGUAGAUCGUGUGGUUGUGGUAAAGACUACAGGAAAUGGGUAUGUUUUUUAGAACCAUGUCUAUGGCCACUCUUCCCAUUUGAUCCCGGUGUCAUCUAAGGGUGGGGAAGAUUUACUCUCGGCUUAGGUGCGUUUCUUUUGGGUGCUUAUCAUAGCCAAGUCCUUGGUGAAUUUGUAGAUGGCUUCAUAAUGUUUAACACUAAGGACUAUUGGUUAUAUUUCAAAUAUGAACCACCUUGGCAUGUAGAGACUUGUUGUUGGCCGAGACUUGAACUCAAAGGGUCCUCGGUUUCUUUUUUUGGGGGGGUGGGCUGUUUUGAGUGCAUACCAUUAUUGUUUAUUUUUGCUAAUCUUAAACCUCAUUCCAUGAGGAAGUGUGAUUGUUUGUCUCUCUUUGAUUUUGCAAGGCAUGGAUUCGAGGUCGAAUCCUUUUUAAGGAGGGAAUGAUGAUACAAGUACGACCACGAAGAUGGACGCAUGUGAGAAUGUAAUGAACCCGGGGCUUGGAGCGUGCGAGUGAAGGACUUAAAACACACCAAACCGACCCUAAUAUCAUACUUGGAGUGUAAAGAUGAGCCUUGGAACAUAAGAAGGCAGCCCCUAAAUACACUUGAAAGGAGCCUAGCUCUUAAAGGGGCAUUUUGGAUAUUUUGUAUUUUAUUUGUAACCUAGUAUAAAUAGAACAUUGUAGGGCUUUUAGACUUAGAUUAUUCAUGAUGUUGUAAGUCUUGAAACACAAAGAAACGCAAGUCCUCUCUCCUUGAGGCACCAAAAUCGAAAUUAGGCAUAGAGAGUGUGGAAUCACUCUUGUUGAUCUCAUGGCUUGGAAACGUGAUGCUUGGGAGGUGGAUUCCGACCUUGUGUCUUCGUGAGAGAUAGGUGAACGUUGUGUGUAGUGUUAAAGGUCCAAGAGUGAAAUAUGUUCUUGGGUUCUUAAGAUUCUACCUUCAUUAAGUCUAUCUAACUAUCCCUUUACUUUUAUUGUAAUCUUGUAGUAGUUUGUGUUCUUGUAACCGUUUCUAUCUCUUGAUAGUAAAAUCGUGUGUUGUUCCUAUCUUGUUAUUGUUGUCCAUCUCGUCAUAUUGUUGCUGUUUUAGUGUAUUUACACCUUCAAUAUCUUAUUGUUAUUGUGUUUUUAUUGUUGUUGUAGUGAAUCCGAGAGUGGUCACCAAAGGAGUCCUCGGCUCUUCAAACUUGUGGACUGAUUUGGUGUUUGUUUCGUGUUUCCCUUGUGCAUUCUUGUAUCACACAUCAUACGACAAGUAACCUCAAGUCGUAUGAUGUCCAGAAGCUCAAACUCAAGGAAUUUUCUAAGGGUCAAAACCCAAGGUGUUUCAAUUCGUCCCCGAAUGACGCGUAAAGGCAAGCACAAGCACCAUUUAGCACAAUAAUUCCCAUCAAACUUCCCUUUAAUCAAUGCUAGAAAACAAAGACAUAAAACAAAGAUAUUAAGAACAACACAUACCUCAAGCACGAAUUUUCGGAACGGGAAACAAAUGCGGAUACUUGGACAUCAUGUCAUCUUCCGCUUCUCAAGUAGCUUCUUCAACCUUGUUGUCCCUCCAAAGAACCUUUACCAAAGCCACAUUCUUUAUCCACAACCGACGAACUUGUCGAUCAAAGAUUUCAACCGGGACUACCUCAAAAGAUAAGGAAUCUGAAAUAUUCAAUCCUUCCAAAGGAACAACCUAUAAAGAAUCAUCUACGCACUUUCUCAACACAGAGACAUGGAAAAUCGAAUGAAUUAAGCUCAAACUAGAUGAUAACGAUAACUCAUACGCAACAUUACCAACCCUUCUCCAAACCAAGUAUGGACCAAUACACCGGGGACUAAAUUUUCCUUUCUUACCAAACUACAUUACUCCCUUCAUGGGAGACACCUUCAAAAACAUCCUAUCCCCAUCCCCAGCCUGCGUCACACUACUGUGGUGCUUCAUGAUCCCAACUUCCAAAUUGAGUCUAUGUCACACUCUUCGUUUUCUGUAUUAACUCGUUAUGUUCAUUCUUUGAUUUUACACAACCCUAACGAUUGGAACCUUACUUUCUCAAUUCAAAACCCUAAUAGUAAUUAUGAUUUAUAUUACAAUGGUCUCAAGAUCAACAUAUCCUAUAGCAACACCAUUCUUUGUAGUGCUAAUGUAUCUGGUAACUUAUCUCAAGAUGCAAAAGCUCAAACGUCAAUUGAUUCAACGUUUGCAGCUUUGCCCGAGCCAUAUGUUGAAUGUAAAAAAGAAUCUGUGUGGGUAGGAAUGUACAAAAAUCGAAUCGAUAAAAAUAUUAUUGGUUUAUUGUUAUUGGGUUAACGAUUUUUUAAUGAUUUUAUAAAAAAAAAAUUAUUGGGUUAUUGGUUCGAUUUUUUCUUAUUGGGUAAACCGGUGGCCCAAUAAGAAAAUAUAUAUAUAUUAACAAACCUAUUAUUUCAAUUAUACAAACUCUUAAUUUCUCUUAACAACAUUUAGUUCAAACAUAAAGAUUAUUGUAAAUAAAAACACAUUAUGUAGGAUUUUUGUUUGCGACUAAAAUUCAAUUUUUUUCAUAUUAAUUACUACUAUUUACUAUUUCUAUUUUAUGAGCAUUUUCUUAUUGGUUAAAUCGAAAAUCGAACCGCUAAAGACUAAAAACCGAUAAAUCGAUAAAAAAUAUCUUAUUGAUUUAGCAUAUUUAAAACCGAACUGAUAAUAUGUAAAACCAAACUGACCGAUGCACUGGGUGGGUAUGGGGGUUAGUUUAAUUUGCGUCUUCUUUUGUGCUUUUGUAGAUAACUUGUUAUGUUGUUUUCCAAGACUUUAUUAUCUUCUAUUGGCAUGUUUAAUUUGCAUUUGCUCAGAAAGUUGCUUCAUUGGAAUUUCAAUACAGAAUCAACAACUAUUAGUUAGUACAAAUCAAUUUGAUUGUUAAUCACUACGAACACGAGCCAACUUGUACACACUUCGACUACUCCAUCGGUUACCACUAAAGAUUACACUUCUGUCAAUUUAAGCACUUAUGGGAGUUGCAAGAAUGGAUAGUAAAAACACAGUAACUUAUAAUGUUGCUCAAACUCUUCAAAAAUGUCACCGGCCGCGUGUCCAAUACUCCAAAAGUAGUGCAUUUUGAAGGAUCCGACAUGGGCGUUGUAGCAUUUUUGGAAAGCCAGAGCAACAGUGUAAGAGAAGACAGUUGUAGAGGCAUAGAAGCGAUUAAAACACAAUUUCUACUAAUUGAAUGCUUCGUGGUAAGAUGCAUUUUUGAAGUGUAUCAAACUUUUUCAUUGUCUUGUCUGUCAACAAGUGAUGGAUAGAAUCAUAUUACAAGAUCAGAAUUUCUUUUCCUUGAGGCAGUUUCAGAACAUACAUUACGAAAACUAAUUUACUUGACAUCUCGCGUUAGUCCAGAAACAGAGAGUAAUUUGUCCGCGCAAGUUUAGGAUAAAUGUUGCAGAGCAACUAACUCAAUUCAUUUCUGUAACUAUUGCCGUCUCCUGGACCCUGUCAUGUAAAUUAUACGCUAUUAUAACCAGAAACAUAUAUAUUGGUUCGACUUUUGAAACUUAGAUUCACUUGGCUUUGCUAAUAACAUAACAACUGAACAUAGAUAUUGAUGCAUUUCAAGAUGUGAAUUCUCAGAAACAACACAGUGAAAGGUGAGAGCACAAGUUGUUUACCUCAAAGCCUUUUCUCGGUCAAAAAGAUAUUUGGUUCCAAUCUUCAGAAUUGACGUCUUGGUGGGCGAGCUUCAGCAGGGCUUACACGGAUGGUCCUGCCUUCUAGGUCCUACACCACAAAAUUAAAAUGGAAAAAGCAAUCAAAACCACGAUAGAUAGGGAGGUAGUAAUACAGUACGACUCAAAGCUCAUUUUACUGAAAGAAAAUCAAAUAGAAGUUUACAGAAAAGAAUGUGAAACUGAUUCAUGAAUGAUCUCAGUUUGAUGGUAUAUCACAUAUCUACUAAAUGAAGACAAAGAGUAAUGACAGACACCUAAUAGAGUUUAAGCAGAAUGACAGACACCAUCCAUGCUUUAAAAAUUUUUUACGAUAUACAAAAAUACAUGUGAAAGUUAACUCGGUAUACAAAAUCAGCCUGAAUGGAAAAUGUGAUCAACGUGUAAAGACACGUGAGCAUACAGAACAUAAAGUAACAUACAUAAUUUAGCCAAGUAAGAAAAACUUACAACACCGUCCAAGCUUUCAAUUGCAUUGUUGACCUCCUCGGCAGAACUGUAUGUCACAAAUCCAAAGCCCCUUGAUCUACCGCUAUCUCUAUCAUAGACUACUUUGGCCUCCACGACUUUUCCUUGCUCACUGAACAAGGUCUCAAGUGCUAGUUGGUCAACACCCCAUGCUAGGUUUCCUACAUAGACUCUAUUGCCGCUGUCCAUGCUUCCCCCACCCCUGCCUCCACGGAAAGAAGAAUUGUCCCUGAAAGAAUUCUCCCUUUUGGGUGGUGGUGGCCCAGAGUUCACCCUCAAUGGCCUCCCGUCAAUUUCCUACCAAAAGAAUCAAAACAUUUGCUCAGUGUCGAAACAAAUUAAGAUAUCCAAGGCCACGAGAAUUCAAAACUUCUGGGAAUAUUUAGACAUGCACAUUAGAGAAAAAUAACCAAGAAAGACGACAAAGAAAAAGACUUUACAUAGCCAUUAAAUUGUUGACAGGCAGCUUCGACUGCCUCUUUUGAGGACAUUGUCACAAAGCCAAAACCUCUGCUUCUUCCUGAAAGCUUGUCAUAGAUAACCUGCAAAAGUUAGCAGCUCCAGUAAGUCCAUUUAAACCACUCAUCCAACUGUUUGCAUCCUCACUCUCCCGAUCAAGAUUGAAAACAAUGGCCUAGUCAUACAAUAAGAUUAUCAAGAACAAACCUUAAAGGCUCAACGUGGUUAGUUAUUCAAAGUUUCAAACACUGCCAAGCAGAAUUUCAAUAUAAUAAGUCCAUUAGCCUACCAUCAACUCAUUAACACUCUAACUGGACAUCCAAACAUCAAGAGGCCAAAACGAUUUCCUUCUUUAACACCUUAAGGCAUAAACAAAAUUACGCAGUAAGAAACUUGUUGAAUAGUGAAAACGGCCUCAUUUUAAUGUUUAAGUUGUUAAGAGAAGACACUUAACUUAUUACUCUUAGAUAGGCAACAUGUCCUCUCAUGCUAAGUUGCGCAGAUUCUUCACUUUUGAUGCCAAAUAUAACUACUUUUGGAGAAUCCGAUAUGCACCAGCUGACAUUUUCGAAGAGUCCGAGCAGCAUAGCUCUCAUGUACUCUGCUGCGUUGAAUUGCAUCAACAUCUUAUCUAAGAGACUAAACUUUCACAAAUAACCACUUCAAAUUUACUAGUUUUAGGUUUACAUAGACCUCAAGAUUCAACCUUCACAAGGGUAGUUACUUAAACAUAGCCAAAUAAAACUUCAUAUCAUCUAACAAAGAAGCCCACUUACAACAUAGCUCUAAUAACACGUGAUGAGGAAGGGUUCUAAUGCUCCAGUGCGGAGGUAUGAGACACUGACUCUGGAUGAUUUUGGGCAGGGUAGAGGGAGGCCGAAGAAAUAUUGAAGGGAGGUGAUUAGGCAUAAUAUGGAGCAGUUACAGCUUACGCAAAACAUGACCUUUGAUAGGAAGGUGUGGAGGAUGCAGAUUAGGGUAGAGGGUUAGGGGUGAGAGGGCGUCGGUCGCUGAAGUUUCUUGUUCGUGGGUUGUGUGUUGUCUAUGGUUUCGAAUAUAUAGUUUUAGUAGUAUCUUGUGCUAGCGGUAGUUUAUUUUGUCUGUACAAGUUUAUAUGCAUUUAUGUUUUGUUGCUAUACUGUUAUUGGUUCUAAGCCGAGAGUCUAUCGGAAAUAGCCUCUCUACUUCUCCUGAGGUAGUGGUAUGGUCUGCGUGCACUCUACCCUCCCCAGACCCCACUAGGUGGGAAUACACCGGGUAUGUUGUUGUUGUAGAGAUAGCCACUUUAAUUUCACUACUUUUAGCUUUGCCCAGACCUUAAAGAUUCAAAACUCACAUAGUUCAUUAAAUAUAACCAAACAAGCCCUCAAACUAUAUAAACAAAUAAACCCAUGAAAAGGAUUAAAUAUUUUACCUCCACAAGGUAGGGGGUACAAACCACUCUCCCCAGACCCCACUUGUGGGAUUACACUAGGCAUGUUGUUGCAAUGUCACAAAAUUACAAGCGUGCAAAUGCAUAACGAGCACUUCAAUUUUACUACUUUUAGGUUUGCACAGACCUUAAAAGAUUCAAAAUUUACGAAGGUACUUACUUAAAGAUAGCCAAACAAUACCUCAAAUUACCUAAACAACUAAACCCACAAAAAGAUUAAAUCUUUUAUUGCCUCAACUAUCUCAACAUCUACAACACGCUCAAAAAAGAACGCAUCUUUACUCUUCUGCAACUCUUUAAUUCUAAAUUUCCACACGGCAUAGUUAACACCACAAGAUUAAACGACAUUUUGGUACAUUCUAGCAAUCUUUAGUUUAAGACAACAAGAUUCAAAGGUCUUAUUUACUUUAUUAAACUAUGUUUCAAGUCAAAAACAGAAAACAAAUUGAGUAAAUCCCCAAAAACAUAAUAUCUUUAAUUACCUCGACCAUAAUAUUAAACGGUAUUUUGGUACAUUCUACCUCUACUUAGCUUACGACUACCAUAUUCAAAAGUGUUCUUCACUUCUUAAAUUCCGUGCACGUCAAAAUCACACAAACAAAUUGAAAAAGGAGUAGUAAAACCCACAAAAAGAAAGAUUUAAUCUUUAAUUACCUCAACCAUCAGAUUACAACAACAACAACAAUAUACACCAAUAUAAUCCCACAAAAUUGGGUAAUUACCUCAACCCUAAAAUCAAACGAUAUUUUGGUACAUUUUACCUAUCUUUAGUUUAAGACCACCAUAAAUACGUCACUGGUACGUAACUCAACCAAAAAAGCUAGCUCAAAAAGCGAGAAUUGCCCAUGUACAUACAAACAGACCACUCACCCAUUCCCUAACCAUUGUGUAGUCUAACCUUACUCUAAAAAGGGCAGCCGGUACACUAAAGCUCCCGCUAUACACGGGUACGGGAAAGAGCCCCACUACAAGGGCGCCUUACCUUGCAUUUCGGACAAAGCCGGUUUUCAAGGCUUAAACACUCUCCAACAAUCACAAAAUUCAAAAUUGAUUAAUUAUUUUCUUGAACUCCGCACCAAGUCAAAAAUAAAACAAACAAAUUGAAAUGAAGAGAGUAAAAGUAAACCCCACAAAGAAAAGACAAAAAUCUUUUACUACUAUAUUACCU
rnacentral:lncRNA from 1 species